rnacentral:lncRNA from 1 species
UUCCGAUCUCCCUCGUUGGUCGUUCUUUUCUUCUCUGUCCUGUUUGGUCCGCUGGUUGAUUUCGACCCGUCCAUCUACCGCCGCCACCGCCGUUGUCUGCUUCCCGUCAAUCCGGCUCUUUCCGGCCAACUUGCCGCUCGGGCGCCGGCCCCGCUGCUGCUCGCGCGUGCGCCGCUCGACGCCGCACCCUCGCCGCCUCCAGCCCUCAACGCUGCUGCCCGCGCGCGCCGACCUCCCUUGCUGCUCGCCGGAGGGAGAAGGGAAAGAGAAGAGAGGAGGAAGAAGGGAGGGAGGCACAGGUCACAGGAGGGCGCGCGCUGGACUCCGCUGCUGCAGUCCGGCGCCGCCACGCGACUGCUGGCGCCGGCCUGCUGCUGCUCCGCCCCGCCUGCUGCCCGCCGCUGGUCGCUGCUCGCGUGCGUGGAGAGGGCGCUCAGGUCGCAGGCAGAGAGAGAGAGAGAGAGAGAGAGAGAGAGAGAGGGGCAUCCAUGGCGGUCUGGCUUCUGUACUCACGCGCAGGAGAUAAGACAGGAGGGGGAGGAAGGAAGUUGCGUGGAUCACAGAGGAGAAAGGAAAGGAGAGAAAAUGGACAGAGACGGUCAGGUGACGUGGCAAAAUAUCUUUGCCGGAUGCUAGACUGUGGCCAAAGGUUAUUUGGUCUUUACUUCCGGCAAAGACAAAAAAAAAUUGCGUGUACACGUUUGAUAAGAUUUGUUAUGUUUUAAUUUUGUGUAUUGUCCUGUAAUUUUUAUGCUAAACUUAUAGACCCCGUACAUGGCGCCGUGCAAAAAAAUGUUAAUAUUUGAUAAAGUUUUAGUAUUAUUUCAUUUCUUCCUAUCAAACGUCUCUAGAAAAUGAUGAGUAAUUAUUUUCACAUUACUCAUUUUAAAAGCUAAAUGAAACCACAGUAAAAAAAUCAACUCAAAAACUAGACAAAUUAUUUCGAAACUUGUUCCGGGAUUUGAACUUGGAGGGUUCAUUUUCCAGUCAGAUGGUAGUAUCUUUGAUGUGUUCGCUUAACCUGAAGCACCCUGACACAACCAAGUAUUGAAAAAAUGCAAAAUAUUGUAUUUCUCCAUUUCAUGAUUAUGCUAUUUAGUGUAAUGACGUGCUUAGUUUGUCGAAAAAUGUAUGUAUGGAAGCGUUGCAUUGAUACAAAACAAGUACCAAAUCCUGUUUCAAUUCUUAACUUUCAAUAUAGCAUUCGUGACCUGCAUCCAACUAUCCGAGUAAAUGACGUUGUUCGCUUCGCUCGCUCGCUUAUAUGCAUUUUCUCACAUAUACUAAUUUGUAAUUUUUCUUAUUUGUCCACUCCACCUCGACAGCAACUAUUCAACAUUUUAGAAUUAAGUACCGAGACUGACCAGUGCCAGGCAUAGUUCUAGGAAAAAAUUGCACAUAGAACGUGACGCCGCAGCGAAGCGCGGUAUCCCAUCUAGUAUUUUCUAAGUGUACCGGUGCAAAUCUCUUAAAUAUUCUGAUAUUAAAUAUCUCUACCUGCGAGGACUCUUCAUUGUUUUGUUACAACUACCAUUCAUAGAAAUCUCCCCCCACCCCCACCCCACAUGAUCUAUAUAUGCUCUUGAUCAGUGCACGCCAUUGUUUUAGAUGCCUAUGCGAAAGCAGAAAUGUGCAUGUGUUCCUUUGCUUCCUCGGAAUGGAUGGCAUCUGAAACCACGCUCUAGAGUAAGUCUUUCCACCACGUCAGAAUACCCUUUCCGUGAACCCCUCCAGUGACGGUUUAACAGGGUCAAAAUAAACACCGUCAUUGGAGGCCGUUUGGUGCAUCCUCGCGCAACACCACCGCCACUUGAAUUCUCAUCAGUACCACCUGUGUUCUUUCGAAAAAACACGCAAUUUGGUGUAGAAGAGGUGGCAGCUUUCUGGAUUGUCGAUCUUAUAAAAGCCGUCAUUGGCCCGCAAUGUUCUUUCGUAGAAGGUUAGACUUUGAGACUGAAAUGGUCGCCUUUGCUGCCCUCGGUGUUCCCGGUGCCUCCAAUUCCUAACCAAUACAUGCAUCAAUGGCUUAUCAAGGCUUCAAUUCAAACAACAUAGGUAAAUAAUAAUUAUCUGGGGUAAGAUCAAGCUAGCUAGCUAGGACUAUAUAUAGAUUAGUGUCGUGUGGACUAGCUAGGCGGUAACUAUCAGUAUGUUCUGGUACUUCUGGUAGAUGGUUUCAAAUGUUGUGGUGUAUGGUAGGCAAUAUAUAGUGUAGGGAUGAAUGAGGAAAUAAAUCAAGAAAUGGACAUUGGCAAGCCAGAAGAUCAUGUGGGGGAUGUAAAUACACUACAGGAAAACCUGACUUUGCCGGCGGCAAUUUUUCGGUUUGUCAAAUAUAAUACUAAAACAUUGUCAAAAAAAGAACAAAUUUUGGUUUGGUGUCAUUUUAUGGGUACAUAAACUUGGCAUAAAAACUACAUGUCUAUACGCAAAAUCAAAAUGAUACAUGCUUCACAAAUUUUAACAUCUUCGUAUAAGUUACCGAACUUAGUUCUCAAACGUCCAAUUUGAGUUUUGAACCAAGUUUGGCUAUAAUGUUUUCACUUUUUGAGUUGAUUUUUUUACUGCAGUUUCAUUUUCUACUAAAGCUGAGUAAUGUGAAUUAAAAUCACCAACUUUUAUCUAAAAAUAAUUAUUUAUCACUUUUAGGAGCCGUUUUAUAGAAAAUAUGCAAUAAUACUAAAACGUUGUCAAAAAUUAUAAAUUUUUGGCAUGGAGUCAUAUUAUGGGUAUAUAAGGUCAGGGUAAAAAUUUCAGGUCAAUACACAUAAUUAAAAUGGGACAAACCUCAUCAAAUGUGUACAUGCAAAAAAAAAGAAAAAAAAAUCUUUUGCCAAAGGCACUAUAUUAUCUUUGCCGGCGGCCUAGCCUCCGGCAAAGACUGUUUGCCAUGUCACCGAUCCGCAUGACCACGCCUCGGAUCGGUCACGUGGCGUGCUCCUAACCGUUCAUCUGAAAGCCGAUCCGAAGGCUCCCAGGCACUAUCGUCUCUCUUAUCUCUCUGUCUCCUCUCCCAGCCACACAUCUCUCUUAUCUCUCUCCCUCAAUCGGUCCUGUGCUCCUCUCUCUCCUGUGGCCGGCUGGUGACUGGAGGCCGAAGAUCCUCCGCGCUGCUGCUUCUGCUCUCCACUCUCCCUCUCCCUCCUCUCUCUCUUCUGCGAGAAGCCGCGGCUGUGACCGGCCUGCAGCAGCACCGGCGGCGCGAGGAGUAUGUAGCGGCGGCGGCCUACAGCAGCAACGAGGACGAGCGGAGGCGGCGGGCGACUGGCGAGGAGCAGCGGCAUGCGAGGCGUCGGCGGGGGCCGAUCCUCCUGUGCCUCUCUCUCCCUUUUUCCUCCUCUCUUUUCUCUCCCUUCUCCCUCCAGCGAGCGGCAGCGGCCGGUGCGCGCGAGCAGCAGCAGCCGUGGCCGGUUGGCUGGCGGCCAGCAAGAAGCAGCAGCGGCGGCGGCCGGUGUGCGCAAGCGCAAGCAAGAGCAGCAGAAGUGGCGGCGGCCAGCAAGCAGCAGCAGCAGCGCCGGCCGGCCGCGUUGCUUUUUUUUUACAUAUAUUUUAUUUUCUUUGCCGAGUGCUGCAGUCGACGGCAAACAAAUGUCUCGGCUGCUUUUUUUAUUUUCAUGUGGAAUUUCUUUGCCGAAGGUCGGCCUCCGGCAAAGCCAUCCUUUGCCGUUUCAUGCCGUUAGCUACUUUUCUUUGCCGAGUGCUCCAAAAAUACUUUCGGCAAAAGCUUUGCCGAAGGGCCCGUGAAAAAGCCUCCGGCAAAGAAGCAUUUACCGGCAGGUCUUGGUACCGACGGCCUUUGCCGGAGGCCCUGACAGAAAGCAGCCGGCAAAGCCUUUGCCGGAGGUUUUGGGUCUCCGGCAACACCCGUUCUUCCAGUAGUGAUAUGUGAAAUGAGUAUAAGUCAAUGGAACUAGAACAAUGAAGUGCGCCACUAGUACUGUACUUUUGUGUGCCUGCAUUCAAAUUCUUAAUUUGGUCUGCGGCGUGUAAGGACCGAACGACGCUAUAUGUGUAGUACCACCCAGUGUUAGCAAUAAUCAUAAUUGUAGAUUAUGCUGAGAUCGAGCUGAUUCGAGCGCUGUUUGUGGAUUGCUCUAUACGACAAGUGUUCUUUGACUUAAGUUACCUGUCUUUGUGAGGCUGACAAGUAUAUAGACCAUCAGAACCGAAUGAGAUCUGGACCGCCACUGCCACUGCCACUGGCGAGCAAAUUAAGAGAAAAAGCUGAAAAACCUGGGAGGCUCUAGCGCACCUACUGCAGAGAAGAUGGGUCGAUUAAACAGAAUCACAAACGACGGAAGGACCAAUUGCCUCCACCUGAGGUUUGCAUAGCCUCUGUAUCCACCUAACAUUUUUAAGAGUGUCGAUCCAUACAUGGGCUUUAUACAUCUAAGAAAACAAAAAAAAAGGAAUUAUAUAGAUCCCAAAAAAAAUUACCCUCUGUACAGUGCAGGUUCGAUGCUAAGUUAUUCCAGGAAUUCACCGAUAAUGUCUCGCCGGCCGUGGAGAACUACGGAAGGUCCUCUUGGCCGGACAGAGAAUCUCUGCGUGAUGUGACUACAGAAACAGACAGCUUGGCACGUAAAUUUGCGUGUCAGUCGGUUUUGGUAGCGAAACUGCUGAUCGACCGGACACAGGUAGUAGCAGCGUGGCACGUAUAUAUGUGCCUGGAUCCAUCUUCCUGCUGUACCCAGCGACUACUUGUCCCAUCCUAGAAUACCUCUUCGUCAAGGAAUUUGGCUGUGUAACCCUGUACUAUGUCGCUGUUCUUGUAGACAUCUGUCUAAGCUAGAGACGUACAAACAAAACAAGGCAAGAGAGAAAGAGAGGGAAGAGACACGGGUCUUCUUAUGGUUUUGGAUGGUGCAUGUACGUUGCAUGCGUAGAGACCAGCUAGAACAAGUGAAUAUACUUCCUCGGUAUAACAAAGAAUACCUAAAUUUUGAUUAAAUUUAAAUGUAUUUAUACACUAAGUCAUAUCUAAAUACAUCUAAAUUUCAAAUUUAAGACAUUUUAUUGGACGGAAGAGUAUAUGGAACGGUAACAGCGACCAUCGGGAAGACAUUAAAUUUUGUAGGAGCCAUAUGUAAUCUAUCACAGCGGACACUACUGGCUGAAAAGACGGCUUCGUCUCCAAUUAAUGGUCAGCACAAUCCGGUCCAGCCGCUGUUGUAUGCGAGGUGAUUUGACCACUGCGGUGUCCUGGUAAAAACCUCUAAUGAAACAGACAGUGCUGGAGCUGGAGGUGAAAUCGCAUCAAACUACUGGUGGCAUGUUUCAUUUGGAGUUGGAGGCACACAGUUCAUGCAACACCGAACAUUUAGUAUACGAAAGCUCAAGAGUUAAAUACAUUUAUGGUCACUGAAUCUGUCCGCUAUACUCAGAUUAAUCUCACCAUCUUUAGAAAAGUACAAAUUGUUGCAGCAAUUGAAGUUGCUAGAGGGGUCACUAUACUAUAGCUCCUUUUGUCCGGCAUUUUAGGUACUAGCAUAUUUUUCUUCCGAUCAAUUAACGUUCACCCAGCUCGUUUUGGGAAAUGUAAAAAAAACAAAAAAAACUCAACAUGUAAAGAUGGUCACUUGUCAGUCACUUUUUUUUUCAAGAAUGCAACCCGGCGGGUACAUCAUCCAUUAAAGAAAAAAAAGCCAGAAAUCUAGUACAACGCCGGAGAGGACAUACAGCGCCACCAGGUGACACCAAACACAAAAAGACUACAUGCUAAUAAGCCACCUACUCGCCCCAUGGGCUGACAAAAAGAUACUACCCUAAGCAGCCUGGCAUGCGUCCAUCGCGUCAACUCAUCCAUGAUAGUCGAAAUGACCACGUGCAUUGAAGGGAUUGCGCCGUUGAAGACCACAUCGUUCCGAUGACGCCAAAUAGUCCAAAAGACCAACUGGAUCGCCGAAAGGACGUCACGCCGAGCACGCCGCGGAAGGGGAAGCGAGGUCCACCACUCACGCAAGUUGGAGUUCGCAUCUGGACACCAAUCGCCAUGGCCCCAAAGCGUGAGUAGGCGGCUCCAAACCUGCCUCGAGAGGACACAACCUAACAGCAAGUGUGAGAUGGUCUCCUCCCCCUGAUCACAAAGAGGGCACCUCGCCGGGUGUGGAAGACCCCGUCUUGCAAGCCGGUCCGCCGUCCAGCAACGGUUCCGUGCGGCAAGCCAUGCAAAGAACCGGCACCGCGCCGGAGCCCUCGUGUACCAGACCACGGACACCAUCGGGUCACACACCCGCCCUGCAAAAAGGUUUGCAUAGGCGGUUUUGGCCGAGUAGAUCCCAUCCUUAGACCAGUUACAAACCACGGUGUCGACCACCCCGUCCUCCAAAUGAACCUCCUGGAUCCAUUCCCACACCGUGAGAAACUCCCCAAUAGCCGCAGCAUCCAAGUCCGGCCCCACAUCCUCAAGCCAAGCGCCAAGGAGCGCGUCGCGGACCGAACGCUCCUGGAUCCACUUGGGCCGGACCAAGCUCGCAAUCCUGGGAAAUGCAUCACGAAUGCGAAUCCCCCACAGCCAUCGAUCGGACCAAAAAAAAAUCCUCCUACCAUCUCCCACACGCAAGGACGUAGCUGCCUCGAAGAUCACAUCGACCUCAUUGGAAGUCUCCAAGGCCAGCCCUCUCCACGGACGCGAGUCGUCAGCCCGCUCCAGCCACCUCCAGCAGACCCUAAGGGCCCAAUUCAGCAUGUGAAGGUUGGGAACACCGAGGCCACCGAGCGGCUUGGGAGAGCAGACCGCCCGCCACGCCACAAGGCAAUGCCCCCCUCUAGCCUCUUUCUGACCCUUCCACAGAAACCCACGGCAGAUCUUGUCCACGCCCUUAAUGAUCUUGACCGGCAGAUCCAGGGACAUCAUCGGGUAGACCGGCAUUGCCAUCAAGGUGGAUUUGAUGAGCACGAGACGACCCCCCUUCGAAAGGAGAGGCGCCUUCCACUAGGGCAGUCGGCCCUCCACCUUAUCCACCAACGGCAGGAGCUGAUUCGCCGUCUGCUUCCGCAGCCCCAGUGGGAGGCCAAGGUAAACGCAAGGGAAGGCCCGGACCUCACACUGAAGGAGGCCCUCAAUCAACAAGCGCUGCUUCUCCAAACACUGGAUAAGGUGUGCAGAGCUCUUGGCGAAGUUCGUGCAAAGCCCGGAGGCCGCCCCGAAAUCAGCGAUGACCCACGAGCACCCCACCACGUCCUUUCAAGUAGGGCGAAGGAACGUGACCACAUCGUCGACAAAGAUGGACGUGCGGUGUCGGAACCCUUGGGCUGCGAGAGGACCAGCAGCCCCACCUCCGCCGCCUUCUCCAACAUGGAGUGAAGGACGUCCAUCACAAGAAUGAAGAACAUUGGCGACAGAGGGUCCCCUUGCCAGAGGCCACGGCGGUGCACGAUGGAGUCCCCCAAAAUGCCAUUGAGAAGGACUCUCGUGGUAGCCGUGGAAAGCAGUCCACAAAUCCACGCCCGGAACCUCGGGCCAAAACCCCGCCGCUCCAGAACCUCCAAAAAGAAGGCCCAAUCCACCGUAUUGAAGGCCUUAGUGAUAUCCAGCUUAAGAAGGACGACAUCAAUCCUGGCACGGUGGAGGCUACGCGCCGUGCCCUGAACAAGCAUGAAGUUAUCAUGCAAGCAACGCCCUUUAACAAAGGCGCACUGAGGCAGACCGACCAAGUGGGGAAGGGUCGGUGCCACCCUCGCCGCCAGGACCUUCGUGAAGAGCUUAGCCACGCUGUGGAUCAGGCUGACCGGCCUAAAGUCCCGCACCUCCCGCGCAUCCGGCUUCUUGGGCAGCAGGUUAAUGAAAGCCACAUUCACGGCUUGCAUCCCCCUCACAUCCAACAGGGCCAAGGCGGCAAAGGCCUCCACCACAUCAUGCUUGAUGGUAUCCCAAUAGGCCACGAAGAACCUCCCAGAAAAACCAUCCGGCCCAGGGGCUUUGUCAAGCGCCUGGUCCUUAACCACGGCCCAAAUUUCAGCCUCCGAAAUGAUCGAGGCGGUCGCUGGUGGAGACCCCCAAGAAGUCAAGAUCAAGGGAGAAGGCCCUAUCCGGGGCCGAGCCCAACAAUCCAGAGAAGAAGUCGUCCACAGCCAAGGCCUUCUCCUCAUGGCCCGCCACCAAGACACCAUCCACCAAAAGGUGGGACACGAAGUUCUUUCUCCUCCGAUGGCUCGCAUGCAGGUGAAAGAACUUCGUGCAAGCAUCGCCCUCCCGCAACCAAAGGGCCCGCGAACGUUGCUGGCAAUUGACCGCUCCAAAGAGGCAAGGCCGAGCAACUUGCGCUUGAGAGUCCUACGCAGCCCCCUCUCCUCCGGGGAAAGCGUCCGAGACUCCAUGGCCACGUCAAGCCGAAGAAUGAUCUCGGUGACCACCAGAAUUUGCAGCUUGGUGUUGCCAAUGAAACGGUCGCUCCAGCUCCUAAGUCGCUUUGCCGUACGACGCAACUUGGAGUCCAAGCGCAGGAACGGGUUGACCGGAUCAUCACCGAGGUCCCACGCCACCUUGACCACCUCCUAGAAGCCUCAACCUUGGUCCAGAAGCUCUCAAAAUGAAAGCGACGGCCCCUAAGGAGCUGGGCCUCCAAGACCACGAGCAAGGGACAGUGAUCCGACGUCGCCGUGCUCAAGGCAGAGAGGAAAGCGUUGGGGAACGCAUUCUCCCAAUCCACCGAAGAGAAGGCACGAUCUAACUUCUCGAGUGUAGCCACCUCCCUCUUGUUCGACCACGUGUAGCGCCUCCCGUUGAGAUAGAGCUCCUUAAGCUCAAGAUCUCGAAUCAACUUGCGGAAUUUACCCAUCAUCCUCCGAUUAAUAAGAUCAUUGUUCUUAUCCGUCGGAACCACGAUGAGUUUGAAGUCUCCCGCAAUGAACCACGGCCCUGCAAUAAGAUCGCGGACAUCACGCAGCUCCUGAAGAAAAGCCACCUUGUCCCCAUCGUCCUAAGGGCCAUAGACGACCGUGAUCCACCACGCCGGGCAAGGGGUGUCGGAGACGGCGCCAACACUAGCCGUGACCGCAAAGUCAGUGAUAUGUGGGUUGGCGAGAUGCACCAUGGCGCUUUUCCACGCCAAUAUCACCCCACCGCGGGUGCCAUCCGCCGACAAAAAGAAAAAGGAAUCAAAUUCCGAACCACAGCACUCGUCGACCACGUACCGCAAAACCAAAUUUAACUUAGAUUCUUGGAGUCCAACAUACAAGCUCCGGAAGAAGCCACCACAUUACGGACAGCAGUGCAUUUAGCAGGGAAGUUUAAACCCCGCACAUUCCCCGCUAAAAAGCUAACAUUCGCGAAGGACAAAGACAUAGGAAAGUCCACCAAAACCCACGGCCUGCACCAGGGAUGGUGCCUAGACCAGCACCUCCCCUCCCGUGCCUUCCUCCAUCGGUUGGCAACGGACUCCCAACCGACAAGGGACAGGAUCGCGGUGAUGUGCUCAGGCGCUAGAGGCUUGUCGAACAGCCCAAGGUAGGCCUGCAAAGUGUUGUCUCCAAUGCGCUCGCCUUCCCUCGCAAAGCCCAGCCGGUGGAUGAUGGCCCGCUGCUGCCUGCUGGCUCCCCCAGCCGAAGCCCCCUGGCCAGCCAGGCGCUUGCUGCGCUUGACCAAGCACUGCGGCUGCACCGCCCGCCUGGGCCGCCUAGCCAGAGGCCUCGACAACACCGGCGAGACCGCCUGCCGCACGCGCAAGUGGAAGGCCUCCACCUCCCGGGUCGCAGCCGCGACCUCAGCCUCGCCAGACAUGGUGGGAGAAACAUCCCCCAAACCAGCGACACCAGCAUCCCCGAUGGGCACCACCACCUGCAAGACCUCCGACAAGAGAGGGGGUGCCAGCGGUGACGGCGACUCCACCACCAACCCGCCCUCCGCGCACGACGGCGAGAGGCACAACCGCGAUGACGAAGCAUUGCAAGAUGACCCAAAGGGCGGGGCGGGGACAGCCAGGGGGACGAGGCCUCCAACCUCAUCGGAUCCCAACCGUCAUCAACGCGCGGGAGUGGAGCCGCCCACUCCAGGAGAGGGUCAACUCCCAGCAGACUCUCAAUCCUCAGCGGCCUGAACUCCGGCGCCGCCGCUGAGAGCCGUGGCAUCAAGUGAGCACCAUCCUGGCCACCCACCGUCCUCGACCGGAAGUCAUCUGGGUGAUCCCCAAAAUCAUCCACAUCCAUGCGACCCCUCGAACAGCUGAAGAAGUUCUGUCUCGGACCUCGGGACGGUCGCCAGUCACCCUCGGUCCCGGCCUCCCCAUCAUCGGAAGGCUAGUCAUCAGACGAACCGCGGUUCGUAGAGGCAGUGGAGUCCUCUACCCGCAGGAGGUGGAUAAGCACCCGGUACUCAAGGAGGUUGACCUCAGAGGGGAUCGCCAUCUCAGAUGGCAACAACAAAUCAGCAUCCUCCUCCUCCUCAAAUGUCGGCGCCUCAGGAAUCUGCGACGUCUUCUCACGAGCAAUCAGACAAGGGUCCGACGUCCAGGCAUACACCCUGAACCGUCCCAUAUCCACUCGGCUGGAAGUGUCAGAGCCCAGCCGCUCAAUACCACAAGACGGACCGAGCAACGCCGCCGCCGUGCUAGCCGUCCCCGCAUGCGGAGGCACGCCCUCCAUCUCAAGAUGGACACGAAACAGAGCCGUGCGACCCACCGCCUGCCGGAAGAGGUUCCAUGGCAAGAACCUCAGGGAAAACCCGCGACCGUCGAUCGACCCGACGGUGAGAAUGGCGUCGCGCGCCAUCCUAGAGUUGAGCACCACGAUGAAAUCGUCUGGCUAGAACGUGUGAACCGUGAAGCAUCCCACAAGCUUCGGCAGGCUCGCCUCGAGCACCCUGGAGACCGUCGUGGGCGCUAUACGAGGCUGCGGGCCCGUGACGGCAACCACGACACUCCACUGCAGCGCCCUCUCCGCAGCGUCGAUCUCAACGCAUCGCGGGAUGAUGCAGAGCUCGCCCUUCGGCCUCAAGGACGCUGCGCCAAGCGGCAGCACCUCCACUGCCGCCACCCCUUGGGGGGCAACCGCCAGCAAAGGGGGCGGGGGUGGCGCAGCCUGUGCAGCCUCCACCACCGGGGCCGGCACCACAACAGGCUCUAGCACACGCGGGCCAAGCCGGGCCAGGAGGGCGGGCCACGGUGCCGGCCUCGGAGCCGGCGCACCGCACGCCGAAGGGGCCACCUGGACCGGGGCCAGAGCACCACGCGCCGGGGAAGCCGCCAGGGCCAGGGCCGGGGUCGGAGGAGCCACCACGGGGUCCGGAGCACCGCGCGCCGAAGGCGCCGCCUGGGCCGGGGCUGGAGCACCACGAGGAGCCACCACGGGAGCCAGAGCACCGCGCGCCGAUGGCGCCGCCUGGGCCGGAGCGCCACAAGGCGCUGACACCACCCCAAGACCGAGCCGCGCCGUGACCGGCCCAUGCGCCGCAGCCGCCGGGGGAGAGCCGCCGGAAGGACUGCGCCUCCCGCGGCACAACCUCGCCACGUGCCCCUCGCCGCCGCACCGGAGAAACUUCGUCGGAUUGGGACAGAGGGCCGCGACGUGGUCCACGGCGAGGCAAUUGAAGCACCGGCCGACGAGGUCCUGCGGCAACUCCUGCCGGACGGCCGCCACGGGGAGAGGUGCAAUCGGACGGCGGGGCUUGCACGGGUUCUAACGUCCCUGGUGCCUCCAGCCGCCACCAUCCCCGUCCUCACGCCCGCCAUCACCAGCCGCGGCCGAAAUCACCACUGAAGCAGUACGUCGAAGAGGUUGUGUGCCCGUAGGCACCACAUCACCCACCUCCAUGGGGACGCGGGGGGGGGGGGGGGGGGGGUGCCGUGCCACUCCGGAGCACUUCGUAGUAGGAGCGCUCCGAUCCCACGCUGCCGGAGGAGGGCGACAACUCCCUCCAGCGCAGCUCCUUGGUGGACGGCCGGGGGCUCGCCGGCGUGGACAUGGAUGCCAUCCACCAGAGAAAAAAAAGGGGGGGAGGAGGGGAGGAAGCGACCAGGGCAGGGCCGAGGAGGGAAAGGAGGCCGCCGGCGGGUCGUGGACGGCGGUGGCGGAAACGGGGGGAGGGAGCGAGCAGGACAGGCCGAAGGAGGGAAGGGGCCGCCGCCGGCGGGGGGGGGGGGGGGGGGUGGACGCCGCCGGCGGGGGCGGCGGAACCCUAGGGUCUCUGGAUUUUUUCUUGGUGACAAUGGGGGCAGCAUGAUCAAGCGGUGGCUUUCUACAAUUCUCUAAAAAGUUUCAGCCGUUGCUCCGCUUCUCUCUCUCACUGGUACGUGCUCUCACCGUCAUUGCCCAAAGGCCCAUAUCUUGGGCCCUAGAAGAUAGUCAAAGGAGUUGUUUCAUGUUCUUUGGCAUGGACUGAUAGUCUGAUAUGGAUCGUGACUCCUGAGAAGGAAACUACUAUAAGCAAAAAGAUCAAGCAGAGAAAUACUCCCUCCGUUAUAAGGUGUGUAACUUUUAGGCUAAAAUUCGAGAGAGACUUGGGUGAUUUUUCUUUUAGAACCGGUGUGGAAUUUAUUCCCCCCGUCUUCCUUGAAAAAAAAUCUGUUCGAAAAAAUAAUCUGCAUGUGAAAUAACUGGUUCUAGUAGACUUCUAAUAGAAAUAAACUUCUGGUUUGAAUACGUACUUGUGGCAUUGCUGGUUGGUAAGACCGUAAGAAUAUUUUCUCCUAUGGAUCAUGACUGUGUUCUGUUGACGUCGGGCACGGGGGGGCAACUCGCCGAGAAUGUCUCGCCAGUUCUUUCCACCAUGGAGAAUGUCCUCGUGGCCGGACAUCUAUACAUGAUCUGACUACGGCAGCAUACUACUCUUUGCUUGGGGUCUCCAAUGGGUGAUUUCAGGCACAAUCGAGGUUUAUGAUGACUCUGUGGCCCAGUUUUGGUACCGAAGCUGCCGACCGGACACAGGUUGUAGCAACAUAAACUUGUAAAUGGUCUGAUCCUGUGAUCCAUCUUCUUGACGCCACCCAUUCCGAGCGACUGCCGACUACUUGUCUCAUCCUAGAAUACCUGGCUCUUCUUCAAAAAGAGCCACGGAGAAGUUAAUUCAUUCCAGAAUAGGGCGAAAGAAAGCAAUUUGGUUGUGUCUUCUUAUGGGAGUUUGGUUAGUUGGAUGGUGCAUGUACGUUGCGUGCGUAGAGACCAGCUAGUAUAGAGAGUUGGGCAGAACAAGUGAAUAUAUAUGGGCUGUGUAUCAGCAUGCUGUCAUCGUCGCGAAGACAUUAAAUUUUGUGGGAGCCUUAUGUAAUUAGUUAUCGCAGCCACACUACCGGCUGUUUUCCUUCAAAACGAAGAGAAUAAUGUAACUUUUCCGAGUUUUUUUUGUUUGAAAAGGAAGAUAAAACCUUCUGACAUCUGCAUCUUUGGAUGUGUAUACAGUCAUUAUAUUUUUAUUUUAAUAAAAGAUACCAGGUCAAGCCAAGACAUCGUUGUACGAGUAGAGUACAUGAGUACUAGCAACGAAAUAGCCAUGACAAAAGGACAAAAAGAACACUGACGGCUAUGUUUCCGAAGCAAUACAUUGGAGAUGAGGGAGAAAAACACUCCUGCCACCGGAACCUGCGCGUGACGAUUCGUGAAAUUUUACAAAGUUCGACACCCAACAAAAAUCGUGUGCCCUAUUUUUUGGAAAGGAGCGAGUACUAACUCAUCGUAGUAAAACUGUCAAACCCAACAACCUUCUCAAGAAAUAAUUCAACAAUAACAAAGAUUUGCAUUAAUUCAUGCAUACAUCUUCUCACUUAAACACAUGAUUACUUUAAUUAGUUACCGAUCCAUAAUAAGUGUCACUAAUUUAGUACAACGAGUAAUUGAUAAAUACAAUUGGUAAAGUAUAUUUACGCACACACACGAUUUCUCUUGUACAAAUUUUAUUGGAACCAAAAGUGGUCGACCUCCACCGCUUCUUUUUGUAAAUAUCUGUUUUUACAAAAAGCACAAGAAAAUAAAAGGUUACCACAUUGAUAGAUAGAUGUCUAUCUCAUCUGACACAACAUUUUUUUUGAACCGAUUUCUUAUAACGAUACAACAUACAUGCAUGUUGUUCAAACUAGAAAAUGCAUCAGCUUCAUGAAAAACAAAGUUACGACCUUUUUUUUUUGCGAGAAGACAAACAAGUUACGACCUACGGGGUCGAUUCAGCAUGAGAAGGCUCGCUGCGACAUCGAUGGUCUUUGAUCCACAUCAGCGUUAAGACAUUCCAUAGCGAUACCUGCAAGGCUACGAAGAACCUCCAAAUCUCCUGGUACUGCAAUUUCUGUGUCAAACAACUCAGCUGCCCUAUUUUCCUCAUAAAAUUCCUGGAAUUCCGUUACUAAAAUAUUUCCGUUUUCAGAAUCACGAGUGGCCUUCUUUCGUGUAAUAAGCUCCAAGAUCACAAUCCCAAAACUGCAGACAUCACUUUUUUCAGUCAAUCGGCCUUCUCUUCUGUACACCGGAUUCAUGUAAGUCAGGUCACCAAUGACAUUCACGGUAUGUUUCUUAUCUCUUGCAAUUAACCUCGAUAUGCCAAAGUCUGAGAUCUUGGGCACAAAGCUAUCAUCUAAGAGUAUAUUUGCCGGUUUAACAUCACCAUGUAUAAUUUUUGUGUGGGCUUCUGAAUGCAUAUAAGAUAGACCACGAGCUGAUUCUGCGGCAAUUCUUACACGCACAUUCAAGCCUAGAGGCUCCCUGUUGCCCACUCUGUGAAGAAUGUUAUCGAGGCUUCCUUUGGAGACAAACUCGUAGACUAGCAUGGGUGUAUCCAGUCUAGGCAACAACCUAUGAGCCAAAUAUUCUUGUGGAUGAUUUGAGACUGGAUGAUGACUUCAUUUGCAAAUUGUUUGUUCUCUAGCAAACUACCACUAAUCGGUUUCUUUACUGCAACCAGUUUGAUUACGGGGUAUAUAAUUUGACACUCUCCUUCUCGCGAUGACGAGGGAUAAGCAAAAAUAUUUACAAACAGUUGACCAUGCAUCAUACAUGCAUGCGACCCAUUAUGCUCAUCUCCUUAAAUUUUUUUUUUGCAACAAUCAUACUCCUUCCACAUGCUCCACAAACGGUGUGUAUGGCUUGCCAGAUCGGUAUGCCAUCGUCGCCCGUGUAAAGGCUACCACCGUCCUAGAAAACCAUUGCCACUCGUCAAGAAAAAGAAGGCCCCUCCCACCCUUGGCAAUAGGGCCGCCGCCACCUCAGCAAGGCCGGAGACUCUGGCAGUGAGGAUGAUCCAAGGGAUCGGAGGGAAUUUCUUGCCUUAGUUGCCCCCACACAUUUAUAUACUUGAAGGCUUGCAGCGCCAUUUGCUUUGGGACCAAGUUGCAUGUCUAAUGUGAACUAGCCGUGUGACCCGCGCGUUUGCACAGCUAGACUCACUAUAUAUUAUGAUAGAUUACUGUAUAAAAACCUUGUGGACGAAGACAGAGUUCCCUGUCUUGAACAGAAGCACACCUCAGAUUUGCCUCCGAUCGCUCGCUAGGAAUCACUUUCCAGCUCCGUCCACCAUCGAGAAGACCGUCCUUGUCGUGACCUGAUUGACCUCACGUUCAGUGGGAACUGUUCUAACAGCAGCUAGGACUUUGUUGGAGAAUGGCCACUACCAUCCAGCUUUUUCGUGAUUUUUGGUGGCCGAGUCGUUGCGGCAGCUGCUAUAUAGUAGAGAUUCAGUAAGUACAUGCUUUGAUUCGUUAUCCUGACGCCGCCCAUUCCUAGAACCAUCUCAUCCAAAAGUAACUCAUUUGAUCGUGGUCUAGAAGAGACACCACAACCAAUAUCUUAACUCCUAUAAAAGAGCCAUGUGGUGGUGGCCGAACGUCACAUCCCACCAGUCUCUUACCGGUGGUACUCUAUACUCCCGUCGAAGGGGAAAUGCAAAUCCGGCAGCGUACUCUAUGCUUCCGUCGGUGCUACCGAUGCAAACCGCUCGAUGGCCCAGAAUUUCCUCUGCUGGAAUCAACGGCAGAGAUUUACCGGUGGCCCACGCCUGACGAGCUCCCUUCCGUUUUUUGAAGUCCCUUCGCAACUGGACAAUUCGCCUUCGUUUUUACCGCUACUGCUGCUGCAACAGUCAUCAGAACGAGCCGCCUUCGCAAGCCACGCUCCAGGAGAAACAACAGGAUAAACGGCAGGAGACUCAUGAUACUAGCAGGAGUACAGUCAGAGUAGUACACCAAGGAUGCGUUUGGUUGUGGUGUGGGCUGGGUUGGGGCGGCUCGGCCCAUUGUUUUUUGCGUUUAGAUAGAUGGUUGGGUCUGAACGGAACGGUGAAAAUUAGGCCAGAAAAACGAUUCGGCCCGUUCAGCAAAAUCUGCUGGCCCCGCCUGGCCCAACAACCAAACGCCCCCUAAGCGAUCAAGCAUGUCCAUCGCCGCCGUGUUCCAACUCGACGCACCAGCAGCAGCAGCCACCAUCGAGGACGCCGCCACCGUCACCACCAUAGUCGUCGACAUAAUAAGCCAGCAGCAAACUGAGCAGCCAUCUUCGACGAGGCAUCAAGCCUCAAGCUCGCGCGCUCCUUUUUCGCCGUGGGCUCUCUCACCAUGCUCGCUGACGUGAGCACGAUGCUUUACCAGCCGCCCAAGGGGCCCGUCUUCGCCGACCACGGCGCCACUUACAACGGCAUCCUCGCCGCCGUGCUCACCGUCAUCGCCCUCGAAAUGGCCAGAGCCUACCGCCUGUCCCGCUCCAUGGGCGGCGCUUUCUCGCUUUCGCCAAAGGUCUUGUGCGCUUCGCUGGCUUGCUGCUGCUGCUGCUUGUCCUGGCCGACGGGGGUUUCGCUCUCACCGCCGUGGAGGCGCCCUGACAACAACUUCCAAGCUGUUCCCUUCCACAACAGAGGGGAACGACUCGUGCUACUCCCCAGAGGCCCAGACCCAAACCCAACUGCCUCCUUAUAUAUCAUCACCAAUUGGCAAUUGGGCUUGCUCGUUUUUAUUAUACUUUAAGUUCAGUUUCGAAUUAAUAAAACUGUGCAAUCUAAACCUGGCCGGCUGUGUGGUACUGCUCACAAUAAGAUCUGUGUGUUUUGAUUUUAGUUUCUUGCAGCCGAGUGGAUUGAAUUUCCGAGCAUGACGGAGCUUUGUUUAGCUUUGGGUUUUGGCAGCUCUAAUAAGCCCGUCUUCGGUUUUGCCGUGUCUUAUGGCGAGUACCAUAGUGCUGAUCGAUUUCAUGAUUAAAAUAACGGAAAACUCUGACCGGGCUGCCCCACCUGUCUCACUGUCUGGCGCCAGCUGUCUCUUGCCUUCGUCCCCCUUUCGCUUCCCGCAAAGGAAGAGCAGCUGUGCGUUGUUCGACGCUGAACCCUAGAACCCAUCCCCGACUAGCCGGCGGCAUCGGGUGCAUACGGGAUCUGGGCGGGGGACACCCCCUCCUCCUCCUGACGGGACAUGGCCACCAGCUCCUCCACCACCUCAUCCUUGCGCUGUGGCGGGAGGACAUGGCCAACUCCACCAGUUCCUCCUCGCUCUUCGGCUUCUCCACCGCCUUCUCCGGCCAGGUCCUCACUCCCAGGGAAUCUGGGUUCUCUCGGGCCAGACCUCCUUUUUUAUGUUCCAACGCUCGGCUGUUUCCUUUCCUUGAUUCCUUCGAUUUGGCGCGGAAUCUGCGGCGUAUUGCGCUGGGACGCUGCUAGUACAUGUAGAAUGUGCAGACUUAUAUGAGCGUUGUAUGGUGGUACCUAUAAACGACAAGGCAAGACGAGGCGAUCGAGAAUGAGGGAGAACCGGAAGAAGGGGUAGUCUUAUAUGAGCGUUGGAUGGUGGUACGUUGCAGAGAGUUCACAUGAAGACUAUAUGAGAUCACUGAGCAGGCUGUGUCAUUAUUGGUGUGACCUAACAUUGUAGGGGAGUAAUAAUCUAAGUACUUCACAGGGUUGCGACUGCUACUCCUUAGGAACGAUCGAAUAAAGCAGAAUUUCUCUCAGCUUAAUUAGUUAGCCAUCCAUAUGCACACACUCUUUUUUUCAAGGUGUCACGGUACGUUCAAACCCAAAGAUGGAUCAAAAGAGAUUUCAGUUGUUGUCGUUGCUGGUAGCUGCAUAUAUGUGGACUAUGAGACCGUAAGGUGUGUACUCUAGAUCGAUCAACGAAAUGUCCAAUUGAUAAAAUCGAAUAAGAAAAUUUAGAACAUGCAUGAGGCCAUGAGGGUACGUAAGUGGGUCAGCUAAUCGAUUGUAAAGAGUGUAGGUUUAAUUGCAUGCAUGUGAGAGAUGGGAGCUGGAGCUUAAUUGGAGGUACCCUGAAAAGUGAGCUAGCUUUAAUUUCUCCCAGCCUCCCAGGUGCUAUAUAUACACGCAGCUAGCUAGCUCAGCUGAUAUCCCUGUAUGUUCCUCCUCGUGGCUAGUUGCAAACUUGCAAUAGCGCAUUGGAGCUAGGAGUUGCAUUUUCCUCCGAUACAGUAACUGGUUGUAGAAUGAUGAAGCAGAGGCAGUGCGUGGAUGUUUAAUAGAGUCACAGACUGAUUGCUUGCAUCGACGUCGUCGGAAUGAGGGGCACUGGGAAGCAUGUGAACCGCGUGUACGCAAUCAGAGUCCGGAUCGUCCAACGCCAUCGUACGUCGUCCUUUGCUGGAGUUACCGCUCGGGAAUCUGGUCGCCCAUGUAUCGUCGGCGCGUAGUCAAAGGGCCCCUUAAUGGCUUAAUUUCGAUGUGGUGAUGGGCUCCCUCAUCUCGGAGCACGCAACUGGGCUGUGGGCGGACGGCGGCUCAGUUUUGGGACUGGUUGGUCUGCCAAUCGCGGGCCACGCCGAGGAUAAAUCUAUGAUGGUGGUCUUGUUAAGUCUGGCUCGAACGCCCCAGAAGUGGAGGUCAGCUAGGCUAGUUUGGAUGGCCCUGUUUCCGUCGAUGAUUUGGAAUUUGGCUAAUCGGGUGGGGGAAAUUUCUGGGGUAUUUGGCCGUCCGCUAAUUUGGAGUUCGCUAACAAAAUCACUUGCCUUCUACAACCAGGCACAUCUGGUCCUGCUGCUAGUGUCUUGUAUGCAAGGGAGCUAGCUAGUUCGGUUCGCAAGAGCAACCUCCGUCCUCAGGUGCCCAUCAUCGAAGUUUCAGUCCUCUAAUUUGCCUUGACUGUAUUCCUAUUGUUCUUCAUAAUUUCCCUAGCAUGCUGAAUAUGUGUAGAGGCUGCGGACUCUGAGACCGUAAGAUGUACUGCAGAUCAACAAAAUGUAUUCCCUUCAUCCUAUAUUAAGUGACUUUUAUUACAUCUAUGUAGACGCUUUUUAGAUCCAGACACAUCCAUAUUUUGACAAAUUUGAGUCACUUAAUAUGGGACCGAGGAAGUAGAAUUGAAUGAGCAGAUAAUUUAGAACAUGCAUGAGGUAGGUGGGUCUACCAAAGUACCAAUCGAUUUAGAACAUGCAUGGGCAACAGGGCAAGUGUGCUCCUCGCAGGGUGCUGGAGCUCCCAGGUGCUAUACAUACAUGCACCACCAGCAAGAGUACUCUUUAAUUAAGUUUCUGCACACGACCUGCUUCAUCCUUCCUCACCCAUGCAUGCAUGUUUACUUAUUACACGGCUUUAUAUACCCAUAUGCAUCCAGCAUACACGAACUGGCACUAGCAGCAGCUAGGCAUAGAGAUAUAUAGACAGUCAUGUAUUAAUAUUUCACAGAGCAUAAACCGAUUACCAGUGAUAUAAUGUUCCUCCUCAUGGCUGAUUACCAUUCGGAUCUCUGAAAGGACGGAGCCAGAAAUUUGGGAUGAGGGGGGCGAGAAAAAGUAAAGCCGGCGAGAUGAACUCCAUAAAAGACAUAUAGUCUUGAUAUCCAAUAUAUAUAGGCAUAUCAUAUCAAAUAGAGUCAGAUCUAAGUAGUCAAAAUAAAAAUGCAAAUUACAUUUCUACUAAUUUAAAGUUGGCUCUACGACCACGAAGACCGCCACAAAGAUCAAAGGCAUCAAUGAUUUUGUCGGAACUGAACUUUGUUGCUAGUUCCUUCUCGAUGUAGACUAUCAUGCAAUGGCGGAGAUAAUCGCCACCCAAUUUAGCUCGGAGACGUGUCUUAACAAGUCUCAUAGCAGAAAAUGAUCGUUCUGCUGUUGCAGUAGACACAGGAAGAGUUAUCACCAGUCGUAGCAACCUCUCGACCAUUUGAUAAUCAGAAGAUUUGCCGGUCUUAAUUAUUGCUUUUGUCAAAUCAGCAAGUGAUUUGCAUACUUUGAUCUCCGGAUGGUUCAAUGUAUCAAGCUGGAAAUGCGGCAGCUCGCACUCUAACCGGUCUCUUUCUUGACUAGAAAAAUCUACGGGGUAGAAUUUUUCUACUAGUCUACAUACCUUUGACUUGUUGAAUGUGUCAUGUCGUGGAUCCAAACACGAGCAAAGAUCCAGAAGCUCGGUUACUUGAGAACUGAAUCGAUCAUUCAACUCAGUCACUUGUUGAUCUAUAGCAACAUUGAACACAUCUACUCUGUAAUGAUGGAGUACCGUGGUAUUGUCCUGCUUGUUUCGUUUUUGUCUCACAUCAUUACACCUAAGAUUGCAAUGAUAAAAAAAUUAGUAAUUAUUUAGAAGAUAGAUCAGUAAGAGACUACAUCUAUACAUUGUAAUUAAUAUUGGGAGAGAGGAAAAAGAGACAUACUUUUCAUCCAUGUCCGGUAUGAUAAUCUCAUGUUUCACACAAAAUGAUUUGACCUCUUCUAUAAGAUUGUCCCAUCCAUCUUCUCUCAAUUCAGCAAGUAGCGCUUUUGUGUUAGCAACACAAUCCAAUGCAUUUGCAAUAUUUUGUGCUGGAGUUUCACACACAACACAUCAGUGAUCUGCAUAAUUUUUUCCAUGAGGUGUAGAACAAAGACAAAUUCAAAUGUAAUCAUGAUCCUAAGGGCACCACUAGCUUCUCCUCUAGAAUUCCUUGUAGCUGACCGAUCAUUAGCUACACUUCUCAACACUAAAACAGUGGCAGCAAACAUUUUUAACAAGCUCUUGAUCGACUUGUAGUGGGAACUCCACCUUGUGUCUCCAGCCCUUUGUAAGGAUCCUAUUUGAUUUUGGCCUCUUCCCGUGUCAAGCUCUCCCAGUUCAAUCUCUCUUGCAAUUUCAGCAGCCUGAUUGUCUAGUAGCUCAUCAUUACGCUUAGGAGAUGCACUAACAGUAUUCACAAUAAGGUUGGCAUGCUGAAAGAAAUUGUGGACCUCAGCUGCCUCCCUUGACGCAGCAACAAGAGCCAGUUGUAAUUGGUGAGCCAAGCAGUGAAUAUAAUAUGCAUAAGGGCAUAUAUUUUGAAUUAAAGCCUUUAGGCCAUUCCACUCACCACGCAUAUUUCUUGCGCUGUCGUAGCCUUGCCCUCUAAUGUCUUGCACAUUCAACCCAUUAUCAGCUAGGACAGCAACAAUGGAGUUCUUGAGAGUCAUAGCAGUAGUAUCACUAACAUGAAUAAGAUCAAGGAAACGCUCCAAUAUUACUCCUUCUACGUUUACAAACCGAAGAACUACUGCCAUCUGCUCUUUUUUAGACUCAUCUCGAGAUUUAUCAACCAUGAUAGAAAACUUGCUAUUACCCAUUUCUUGUUUAAUUGAGGCUUGCACUUUUUCAGCAAAUAUCUUAGCAAUUUCUUUCUGCACAGUUGGUGCGGUAUACUUUGCGUUUCCUGGAGCAUUAUCUACUACUUCUUGUACUUCCUUAUUAUAAGAACCCAAAAGCUUGAUCAUUUCCUUGAAAUUACCUUGAUUUACGGAAUACUCAGAUUCGUCAUUGCCUCUAAAAGGGCAUGCUUGGAACAUUAACCACCUGAUACAAUCAAUAGUGAAUAGUUAUUAUUAUGUUAUACACCUGAUACGUAAUAAGAAAACCUAUUUUUUUGAAAGAAUUAUUGCUUCCCUCAUGGCAUCGAUGGAAGUCUUAAGCCUAAGUCUUGCAUCAGCAACCUGUUUUUUAGCUUACUUUACAAGGACCUUAUCAAUAUGAUUCAUACUAUUUUUCAGAGUUUCAUAACAUCGAACUGAAAAAUUAUGAGCUGAACUAGGAGUCUUGCCCAUAUGUUUAAGGAAAGCACAUUUUUUCCCUUCAUUGACCUUCUUCCACUUAUUAAAUCCAGUGACUGUGAAUGCGUCCGAACCACAUUUCCCAACUGGCUUCUUUGAAAAGAGAAAACAAGGCAGACAGUAUGCACUAUUUGUAUGUGAAGAAUACUCCAACCAAGGAAAAUUUGUGAACCAAUCACUAUUGAAUCGCCGACGGUUUGCACCUGUUUUGAUAUAUUCAUACUUAUCCAAUUUCGGUUGAUAGGGACCCUUAGAUAUAUAAAACCGCCGAGCAUCAUCUUGCUUGUCUGCUUGAAUUUGCCAAAUCUGAACACGCCUUCCAGGGUCUCGAUCAUAUUCAGUGGUUACAAUUAUAUCCUCUGCGCUGACUUCUGAUGGUUCAGGAAUAUCAUUGGUUGCAGUGCUAGUAAGAUUGUGAUUAGGAUUUUCUGGUUCUUCACUAAGCUGCACAUCCUCGUGCUCUUCAUGUGGCUGAGCAUCCCCAGGUUGAGAAGUCUGAGAACUUGAAGCAAUUGGAGAGAAAAAGUUCUGAAUAGGAGGUUGAUCGCUUCUCUUCCUCUUCAUGUCUACACAAGUAUCAGUUGAACAACAAAAUAAAUUUGUUAAUCUGAACACAAUCCUGAACACAAUCCUGCAAUUCCUAUGGUCUAUGAACAACAAAGUAAAUUUAUUAAUCUGAGUAGAAGUAGAUUAACCUGCUGCUGCUGCCUUCUUGAUUGGGGAUCGAAAUUAGAUUGGGGAUUGCUCUCUUCACGCAGCCUGCUUCCUCGCGCGGCUAUCCUGCUGCUGGCUGCUCCAGAGAUUAGGGAUUUGGGAAUUGGGUUGUCGUCGCAUUGCCUUCUGCAUGCGCCAGGACUCGGGCGAAGUGGCCAGGCGGGCGUCCCUUCGAGUCGCUCGAUCGACCAGUCGAGGAAUCAGGAACGCCAAGCAGGCCUGGUCGCUUCGUGGGCUGGUGGGCUGGUGGGCAGUCAGGCAGUGGGCUUGGGGGGCGCGAAAUUAGUGGCCCAUCUGGAAAACCAGGCGAAUUACUACUACCGUUUAGCGUAUCGAGCCGAUCGUUUGCCCCCCCCCCCCCCCCCCCCCCCUCUGUGUGCCUGGAUCUCUGUAGAACUAGCUAGCUAGCUUGGAACUUUCUGGGAAUGAGAGGCACCAGGAAGCAUGUGAAUUCGAACUUUCAAAUUGACCGCGAGAGCCUGCAGCUACGUGCAUAUUGGCGGAGCCGAGGGAAAGUGUUCUUCUGCAAAAUCCCGGGUAACGCAAGCGGCACGUUGCUGCGGCUGGGUUGUUUCUGCACUAACGGACGGACUAGAUUCUGGCAGGUGUGAAGAAAACAUCACGACUCACGAGCACGGCCGCGGUUCGAAUUGGAGAAAGAAAAAUAAUUGUUGGCUCCUAACUUCAGCUGCUUUUUUAGCAUGAAAAGACUGUAUCAUUCUCUUUUAAGUUUCAAAAUUUUCAAAAAAAUAUUCGGACGUGUAUAUGUUGGAAUGAACUAGCCAUACUUUGUGGAAAAACGUUUCCCUUUUGUACCUUGCAUGAAAAAACAUCUAGGCAAUUUGUAGAAAAAUGUUCGAAAAGGUUCCAUAUGACAGUGCCUAGUUUUAGGAACCGGACGGACCGCGGUUCGACCGGAAAAAAACAGAACAAAAAAAACCGGAACUGACGCCUCUGCCGGUCAGUUAAGAAGAAUGGACCGGACAGCCAACUGAACCGGGAAAAUUCCGGUUGAACCGGCAGUUUUGCAUGGAACCAGGGAAAACCGGGCUAACCGGUCCGGCCGCUGCAGGCGUAGAAAUUGCGAACUCAGUAAAAUAUAUGGCCCCAUGCAGUAUCGAACUCGGGACCUGCUGUCUUCAUCAUUCAAUUCUCAUGUCCUACUGAUAGCGAACUAGUCCCUCCUAUUAAGUGAUUUUCUAUUACAUGUAUUUAAACACUUUUUAGUCAUAGAUAUAUUUAUAUUUGGACGAAUUUUAGUAACUUAAUAUGGGAUGGAGGAAGUACUUUUAUCGGUUCAUCGGUUACGUGGAAAUGUAGAAUUAGAGUACUAAUGAAAAAUACUCCGAUAGAACUAUCGUGCAGAACUUAUACGGGAAAAAGGACAAUAUGCAUACUUGAAGUCCGCUUAAAGUAAAAAUGGUCUCACCUAUCUAAAAACACUACGCAUGUACUCCCUCUGAUCCUAAAUUCUUGACUUAAAUUUGUUCAAAUAUGAAUGUAUCUAUUCUUAAAAAGCGUCUAGAUACAUGUUAUAUUUCGACAACAAUUUAGGAUCGGAAGGAGUACUAAUUAAGUAAACAUACUCUAAUCUCUCCCAAAGGAAAAUACACACACAUGCUACUCUGAUGGCCAACAUAUUUCACACCUACCAAGUACCAACCCAUGCAUCACUUGAAUGUUCGCAUAUCCUACUCCAUACAUCCGCGUCUAUUUAUAUCAUCUCCUACUCUGUAUAUCUUAAGAGACCUGUUGUGCAUCUCCCGUUGUGUCCUCGGACACUUCAGAUUCCCUCAAUCAAGAGCAUUCGAACCGUUGCAUCUUAUAUUUUCCCAUUGAUCUCCGUAUCGAAAUGAGCGGCACCGGGAAGCAUUUUGUGACGAUUGCAGCGUCUGGUACCUGCCCUCAACACGUUAAAGCAGUUAGCAUGGCAAUGAAUUGACUGAACACGUGCGGUGGUUUUUUCAGCGGUACACGAACUUGCAUGUUGGAAGUGAUACAGAUGGUGAACCGCAGAUGAGGAAGCCUGCAUAUGGCCUAAUGGCCAGUAGAUUUUUUGCGAGUACAUAUGGCCAGUACUUAAUUGACCAGCACAUAACUUGGCCUCUUUCCACUGAGGCGAAAACGUUUAUCCAUGAGGAGAAAACGUGGCGAGCUUGUACAACUGUAUGCACGUCCGAUAUAUGUCAGCAACCCUUCUAUUUCUGUUGUACGGGUGGGCUCGAUGAUGGGCUGCAACCCUUGGGCUUGGGCCUGCUUACACCACAUGAGGCAGCCACGGAAGAGAUUGGCUUGGAUCGGAAGGCUUCGGCCUGCUUCAGAAUUGAUGCCCUUGCUUCUCGCUUCCCCAGUUCUUCGCUAGCUCCUUCCAUCUCCUAAUCCCCAUCCAGUGUAAUGGAGAAUUGAGUGUAAUGGAUGUAUUACAUGCUGGGUGUUUACAUCCGAGCUAAUUCUAGGCCUAGAGAUGAUUCAUACACAAGGCCGGGUUUCUUGCGAACAAUUGUUGAAGGUGGUCAUGUGAAAACGCCACAACACCAUGUACAAAAAGAUUGUACUAACAACUUUACUUUAAAAUUUGUCAGAUCUGUUUUUAGAAGAAAAAAAAUAUAGCUUGGCUGAUGUAGGUAAGUAGGAUACCCGCUGAAUAACAUUCCUACCUGAAGAGCAUAAGACUUCUGGUAUAAUAUGACUCGAUCGGUUCUAAAUAUAAAUAACAGAUCCCCGAGGAGAGGAAAAAUAAAUAUGAGUACGACUGUCUCACAUCUAAGUCGUAAUUGCGUUAUGACUCCGUAGCUAGACUCAAUAUAAAGAGGCCGGUAAAUUAAUCAACAUGUAUAGUAUUCCCUGCAUUAUCAUCUCUGUAGUUUUUUCGUUGCUUUUCAACAUGCAUCGACGAUAUAUACUGGUUAAUAAGCUAGAGAAAACUUGGGUGUGUAUCAUCCUUGCAGAAGAGCAUGUGCAUCCACUAAAUUUUCCUCCCAUGCACCCGACUCCCUUUUCUUAUCACCUGCCUGCCUACACUGCUAGGUUGAGCUCUUGAUUGCUAGAGCUAGAUGAUGAAGUUGUGCUUAUCAGGAGUUUGGUGCGAUGGAUAUCUCCCUGCUUUGGAAUGAGGGGCAUUGGGAAAACAAGACUGGAGUGUGUAUACAUGUUCCUGACGGUUUUUCGACUUUUCCUGACGGUUUCGAGCCGUCAGCCAUUUGCUGUUUUGGGGCAGUGGUAAUCGGCUGACCAUUUCUGACUGUAGCAGUCGUUUCGAUAGGCUGCUGCAGGUUUGGGUCCUAGUUUUGAAAACCGGAUCGGUGACCGAACCGACGAGGCUCUCGGUUCAGGUUUGGUUUUUAACAUAUAAAAUAUUAUAUUUUUAACCAUAUCGCAACACCUUCGACCAAAUCCAACCAAAUCGAUAAGCAGCAGCAACUCUGAAGUUCAAGAACAGAGAAGGAGCAGCAGCAAAUCAGCGUCUCUGUUGGCAUCGGGCGUCAGCGGGAGGCGAUGGUGGCGCAGGCGGCGGGGCAGUGCCGAAGGCGGGUGGUAGGGCGGCUCUGAUUGGGGCAGUGGGGCGACGGAGCGGCGUGGUCGGCGAGGGUGGCAUGGCGGCGUCGGAGGCGGCUCUGGUUCGAGCGUCGGCUCGGUGGCGGCGGUACGAGAGCAAAUCGUGGGGGAGAGUAGACUGAGGAGCAAAACCUAAACCUAGAGAUUAAUCAAAAUACCGUAUCUACCCCUGCACUAUUAGAACGAAAAUAAAUCAAACAGGGGGUAUUUUUGGAAGGGGAACUGAACCGGACGGUUCGAAUCAAACCGUCUGGCUCGCCAGUUUUCAUCAAAACCUCCCGGUUUACCUGAUUUUUUCUGGUCCGCUGGCCCGUCCGGUCUAGUGCGCUAAACAGACCGCACUCCGGUUCCGUUUUUUUCCGGUCGGACAGCCGGUCCGGUCCGGUACGGUUUUCAAAACUAGGGUUUGGGUACAUUGCCGGUUCGUGUCGGCUGACACUUUCUCCCAGUAGCAGUUUGAGUCGUGACCGCAUGAUGUUCAAUGAGCUUGGAAAAUAAAGCUUCGUCGGAACAAAAUUUCGUGUAAAGGUCUCAGUCUCGUAGUCUGGCAAGCUUGCAGCGCUGUCUGCUCUUAUAUGCGAAAAGAAAAGUAAGAGCAAGAAGCAUUAGCAUAUUGAAUAAAACUAACCAGAACUCGAAAUGAAGUAAGAGGGGGCCGAAGUUAAAGUUUUUAUACAUGUCGUUGAAUAGCAUCAGAUUCUUGAUGCAGAGGAGGAACGCCUGGUCAUCUACGCCUACAAGGCAUCGCUGAAAACGAGCGCCGAGACCCGAGAAGGCCGCCCGCUAGGUGGAAUUCGAAGCUGAGGAGCUCGUGGCGGGGCUUUGGAGCUGAGAAGGAGCAUCAGAGGACGACGGGGCAGUGGCGCACAGAGGCGCAGCUCCAGACGCUCCUCCCGCUCUCCAACGAGGAGGCUGAUUGAGCCUCUUCAAAAGACAUGUCCUCAAGCCAUUUAGCACGAAGUAUUAUGAUUGCCAUACGGUUUGCAAAUCCAAUGGCGAGAAUUCGGAAUCCGGAUGGAUGGCUUAGUACUAGUUAUUUUAUAUGUAGUAAUUUCAACUUAAAUGUAUUAUUUUGAAUUAUGAAUAAAAAUUAUGAGGUUUUUAAAUUAAAAUCGGUCGCCGUGUUGGCCGCACCCUGCGACCCAAACAGACAUAGGAUGGAUAGGGCCUCUCCAGUCGGCCCGCUGAAGUCGCCCUUAGCUCGCACAAGUCCUGCUCACUUGCCUUUUUUUUUUACCUACGCUCUUAAAUACCUCGCCUACCAUGCAGGACUCUUGCGUAUUCCGUGCAGGUAUAUACAUACACCGGCCUUUUUCUCACUCUUUUCCUCGCAUGCAACACACACAAGUUUGAUCCUCUUGGCAGGAGCGCACACGCACAACAAUAUUUGACGUAAUAGAUGGCCACAUCGGGAUGGAGAAGCCCAGUUCCUUAAUAACUAAUUUACUUCAUCGAUCGGAAUGAGCGGCAUCAGGAAGCGGCUAAAGGGUUGAAGAGGAGUUUUGCUGUCCUUAUCUUCCGUGACCUAUCUGUAUUGGUCCAUAGGCGUGGUUUCAUGGUCCAUGAGAUCGCUCAGGCUUCAAUGGGCUUCUACGAUGGAUCUGGGUCGAGACAUUCUCAUGGAAAUUUGAGACCAGGGCCUACCUGGUGAACCUGCACAACAAGUAAUCCACCAGCGGGAGGAUGAUCGAUGGUAGCCUAUCAUGAAAUCCCUGCCAGGUGUUCAUGAUCGGCAUACUAAUUUAGAUCGUUUUGCAAGCAUUGUUGUUUGUUUUUGUCAUGGGUACGGUCUCACCAAGUUCCGAUAGCAAAUUUCCUGGCAAUACACAUCAAACUCGAUUUUCUUUUCAUUUACUAAUAUAAUGAAUAAUGAGGCAUAGAAGCCUGUAAAAAAAUAUGGGAGUACCUUUUUUGGGUGAAAACAUGUCCUACUUUUAAUCUAGUCGAUACUCUUUCUCGCUAUUAGGUUCUUCUUCUUCUAAUAUCUCGGUCCCAAGUUUGAUGCUUGUUUCCAUACAUGAUGUACAUGCACAUAACACAUUUAUACAGCAGUUCGUGCAUGAAUGCAACUUUAUAAACGUGCAACGCACUGACCUUCCACCAGGAGGCGUACCGUACCGUACAGGACAAUAGACUCCCAUGACAUGAAACAAUAUUCAAUAAUACACCAUCAAGUCCAUCUGCCAACUCCAUCGCCGUGACUCAGUCAGAGUGUUAACAAGUUUUGUUCUGUUCCAUCACUCAUCGAUCCAUAUAUAAUACCGCCCUUCCGUUAUGUCCAUAUAUGCACAAGGCUCUCGCUAUUAUUGGGUUGUCCCGUUUCGGUGUCUUUCGGUUAUACCUUUUCAUGUACUACUCAAUAUACCUAGCCAUGUCUCUAAUUUUGUCAGGGAAUGAGAUGCUUCAGGAAGAGACACAUGGUGACUUGCUGCCAGUGUACACCCAAUUGCUGGCAUCAUUGGGCUCCGGUCUCACGCAAUAUCCACCAUGAGUAGAAUGUCUUCUUGAAAUCUUCAUGGUGGAUAUUGUAUUCCUAGCACGUACAAGACCACCGACUCAACCAUGGACUUCGAUAGGGGUUAAAACAUGUGUGGGCGCAGGGUUUUUUCAGCUCGUUUGCACCAUGGAAUGACUGCUCGUAACCGGAAAUAUGUGCCGUGUGACAAUGAAACGCUGGCAGGACGACCGUAUAUGAACUCUUGAAGAAACUCUGAGAGCCUACUCUGCAAGCACCCCCAAGACCUUCAACGAUGGACACGAGGGAAAGUGUUCUUCUAGGAAUCUAGCUUCCUGCUGCGUCCGGGAUCGCUGCAAACGGAGGAGAUUCAGACAAGUGUAUUUUUUUUAGGGGAGAUUCAGACAAGUACGUGUUGAAUAUUUGUUCACUUUCUGGAGCAGGCAGAUCCACAGAGAAAGAAACUUUGGGUUCCUAACUGCAGUUUGCAUAGGCUGGAGGAAUAACAUAGUAAAAGAACUGCAGUUGCUUCUUUAUCAUGACAAAAUAAUAAUCAAGAACUGUAUUUUGAGUUUCAAACAAUUUCAUAAAAUGUUCUGACGUGUAUAUGUUAGAAUGAACCAGGAAAUUUUCGUGGAAAAACGUUCCCAUUUUUAUACCUGCACGAAAAAAGAACUAUAGUAAAAAUUUGUGGAAAAAUGUUUUCAUUUUGUACCUUGCAUGAAAAAAAAGAGGGGCCAACAGUGCAGCGCAAAUGAAGUGUUGUUUUUUGCACGGAUCACAUAAACGUGUAUUCAGAGUUGUCUUUCCUUCUAACGACAAAUUCUAGCACUAAACACUUGACAGUUAGAGAUCCCUUUGUGUUUCCCCUCCUGACAAAGUGUAUACAUAGUAUUGCUGUAAAAAAAAGUGUAUACAGAGUAUCAAUGCAAUAGCAGAGCACCUGCUAAUUUACUUUUAAAAAAACGGGUAUCAAUGCAUACAGUGAUACCCACAUGCAUUCCAAAACCAUUGCACUUUCAGUCAAUCUGAUAUCUGUCUCCAUGACGAUUAACUUUGCUACUAGAUAGAAUUAAUGGCUUUCAAUAUCAGCGAGUACUAGCAAGCUAAGAUCAGUUCAUGGGUUAUGUGGAAAUAUAGAAUUAGAGUACUAAUGAAAAAUAUUCCGACACACACUAGAACUAUUUUGCAUAACCUAUAGGGAGAAAAGGUCAACAUUGCAUACUUGAAGCCCGUUUAGAGUAAAAAAAGUCACCUAUUUAAGGACAACUAGCUAAAUGCAUGUACGUUGAUACGGAAUUAAAAUAUAUAUUACAUGUAUGAGUUACUUUAAAUAGUCAUGUGAUUCGUGUUUUCUAAUUUUAUGUUAAAUAAAAAUUCUCAAAAUAUUAAUUUAAGAAGUAAUUAUCCCAAAAGUACUGCAUCAAACUAUCAAAAGAUCAUGAUACAUAAUAAAUGUACCACAUUGAAAUGGGUGGUAAUCAAAUGACGAUCAUCUAACAAGCUACAUAGUAGUCUUGGGUGAAUUGACGACCACCAAUUCAAAUCUUUAUAAGUGUAUAGAUAAGCGUAUCAGUACGUAACUUAGUUAUCUCUCCAAAGGGAAAAAGAAGCAAGUAGAUACACACACAUGCUACUCUGGUGGCCCUAAUAAAUCAACAUAUUUCACCUACCAACCCAAGCGACCUAUUAUACAUCUCCCGUUGUGUCUUUCGACACUUCAAUUUCACUCACUCAAGAGCAUUCGGACCGUUGCAUCGUAUAUUUUCCCAUUGAUCUCCGUAUCGAAAUGAGCGGCACCGGGAAGCAUUUUGUGUCGAUUGCAGGGUCUGAUGCCUGCCCUCAACACGUUAAAGCAGCUAGCAUGGCACUGAAUUGCCCUCAUCCUCUUGUUCAGAGCGCACCGUUGCCUUAAUUAGAUUCCAUGCCAAGGCAGAAGCAUGAGUUGGUAGGUAUUCCGUGGUACUCCAUCAACUGAAAAUCUCCAACAUGCCUAUGUAUCCAUAGAGAAGGAGAUGUAUUUAUCUCGCUCUUGUUCGUGUGUUCAUUCCCGUCAUUCAUCUCGUAAUAGUCUUUGGUCGGACAAUAAUAAGCCAGAGAAUGUAUAGUUCUAUUUAUCUGUGAUCCUUCGUCCCAUCCAAAAUUCCAUUUUCCAAUGUUUAAGUUCUUAAUCCGUAGAGCUAUAGAUGUUGAAGUCUUUAGGCAUGAAUGGCAUUGGGAAAUCAGACGUGACCAGGCGUUCCUUGCAUUCUAGGUCUCCUACUGCACCUGCAGUCGGUUUUCCAUUCUUUCGUGCACUCCAAAGCUGCCGGAUCGGAACCACCGUUACUGUAUUACUGUAUUAUGUGAUCGAUCCUGUUGCAUGUGUCUUCGUAGUUCCAGAGUACAACUGUCUUUUUUCUGAGAGGGAGUAGGCCUGUGUUGUAGAGUAGUUUCAAAUAAGUGGAGAGAGAGAACUGCAUCCGGAGCUUGAUUGGAUAACUACUUAGCAGAAAUGGACGUCUUUUCCGGAUAUUAUUUUAUUUCAAUUACUAAAAGUGGUGUCAAAUGAUCCAAUCUGCAAUGUGCCGGUGCAUAUGGCGAGCACAGGGCUCGGCGCGCUCAGAUCACAGUCACAGGCGCACCGCAGCCACAAGCCGCCGCGCCCAAGUUUCUAAUAAAUAAAUUUUGUAAACGUUAAAAACUUAGUUAAGACAAAAUUAGAACAUCUUAUAUUUAGAAACGGAAACAGUAAUAUAGAGUAGAGAUGGACGUUUUUUCCGGACAUUGUUUUAUUUUCAUUGUCAAACAUUUAGGACGAAAAUUGAUCUUUCGUGACCAAACUUAGUGAACUGCUCUGAUUUGUAAUGUGCCUGUCAAUUCUAGAAUGCUUUGGAGAUAUGAUCGGCAAAAAAUGCACCAGUGCUAAUUAACUAAAUAAUUAGUAAAAAUGAAUUUUCCCAAAGCUUUUGUUUUCCUUGUCAAAAGUGGCACUAAAUCUGUUAUGUGCUGGGGCAGAACUGCCGCUUGAGCAUUGGUUUCAUUUUUGGAUGAGCCUAAGGGAAAACAAUGCAAGUCAUGAAAAAAAAAACUUAAAGUCACUUAUUUCCAGAAGGAGCAAGUAGUUUUAAUUAUAAAGAUGGCCUCAUAACAAUGGAGAUGCCACACCCAGUGGCGAAAUGGCAAGUACACAACACAUGCUCAUGCAGACGCAAGGACGGUUCUCCGCAAAAUCUUUAUGUAACUGCCACAUUUUGACAACAUUAUAUGUCACACCCAACACCUUUGAUGUCAACAAUAAAAGUUGGUAAGUAGCACGGUACUCCACUAAUUCACUCCAGAUCUCCAACAUGCCUAUAUAUAGAUGUGUGUCUAGCUUUUAUUAGUGUGCCCAUUUUCAUCGUUCAUCUCACAAUAGUCUUUGAUCAGACAUAACAACUUGUGAUCUUUUUUUUCGGGUAAUAAGUUUGUGAUACUAGCCAGUAGAGCUAUAGGUGAUAAAGUUUUUAGGCAUGAGUGACAUUGGGAAAUUAGACGUGACCGCACGUACUUGGUGCCCCGAGCCCUGUUGCCCAUCAAGUCAGUUUUGCGUUCUUUUUUGCGCUGGCGGGAGUUGCCGCAUCGAUACCACCGGUAUUGUAUCAUGCAACCCUGAGCUGCAUGUCUCUUAGUGGCUCCGUAACUCUACGACGUGAAAAGGAGUUCUUUACCGAGGUGGACCGUGACAAGUUAAGGGAUGGGGCAUCCAGGCUGUCCCGGGUGACUUCCGAGGUGUCUCACGCUCACAGAAACUGGAAGGCUACGACAAUGCAAAGUGCAAGCUGAUGUUUAGGAGGCAGAACGUCGUAUGAAAGUCAUCAAAUUCUGCAGCUUCAUGUCGUCAACCUUGUUGUCAUUAUCGUUUUAGUUGUUAUGCUGGAGUGUUUGUGUACAAUCCCUAGCUAUUGUCAUUUUUUGCUUACUGUUAAAAACCUCUAGAACCUCAUAACAUACAUUGCGGGAGCCAAGCUCCUUCAUUCGAGAAAAAGGAGUUCUCUACUGUUAACGACGAUGCGAUUUUCUGUAUAUAAUUUCCUUCUCAUCACCAGGGCAUCAAAUCUACAAUUAUAAGAGCAACUUUAGCAGUAACCGUAAAGGGGCGGCCCGAACUCCGUUCUCGGUUUUGGGGAAAAAAUGGCCCGAGCAGAUACCGAAAACGAGUCCGGCCCGAAAAAAUAAGUUUGGGGAUCCAAACCACCCUCUCCGCAGCACAUAUAUCCGAAUCGCCCUCUCCCCAAAUCCGAAGCCCUCCGUCGCUGCUCCACCCAAACUCUCCGCUGCAAAACCCCCAUCGCCGCCAUCUUCGGCGACCCCGACUCCGCCAAAAUGGAGGCGCAAGACUCCUCCUCCCACUCCAUCGCCUCUCCCCGUGGAUAAGUUUGUUUGACUGAUGUGGGUAAGAAGAUACCCACUACAUUCGUACAUGUGCGUGGGAAGCAUACUUCAAGUAUAAUGACUCAAUUGGUUCCAAAAAUUAUAUAAGAGAUCGAAAGGAGAAAAUUAACUAAAAUAUGUGUUUGAUCAUCAUGUCUAAAUUAUAGUUCCAUCAUGACUCUAUUUAUAGCUACCCUCACGCCCUCAAUAAAGGUAAAUUGGAGUAGUAGGUACAUAUAGUAUUCAUGGCACAUCACCACCACACCUUACAUACAGAGCUUCAGCUCUUUUGAGUUUUCUCUUGUGUUUCAACAUUCAUCUUACAAUAAUUACUGAUGAUCUAUAUAACUAUAUUGGUCGACCCAUAAGUUAGAGAAAACAUGGGUGUUAUCCAUGCAUGCGAAAGAGCAUGCACAUAAGUUAGGUGUCCGUUAAAACCUCCACAAAGCCUACGAAUUAUUAUAUAUGCACUAUUUUCAUUUCAUUUGUGAUUUGUUCUCACGUCCAACUCCUUUUUUUUUGCUACGCUGCUCUCUUCAUCGGUCGCUAGAGUUAGAUGACAAAAGUAUAUAUUGAGGCAUACAUUGCGAGUAUCGAAUUAUCGAUAUGCCUUCCCUACUUGGAAUGCAUGGUAUUGGGAAAUCAGACAUGACAAUCAUUGCUCUUAGUUCUAUUGUUCUUUGCCAGUCAUCCUGUUUUGUGCAGGCAAGUGAUCAGUGAAUUCUGGCAGGCAGAAACUAGAUGUUGGUUACACGACCUAGUUUACGAUAUCUUCAAAACCCAGUUGCGUGAUCAUGAGGUGUGCUAUUACUAUUAUAUCGACUCGAUUUGUAUAGAUUACACCUCACAAUGUGCAUAUGUACGAGUUUAUACUAUACUAUUCAAAACAAGGUAGAAAUGGACGUUUUUUUGGGAUACUAUUUUCAUUCCGUCGUUAAAAGUGGCAUCAAAUCUGCGAUUAUAAUGUAACACCAAAUCUGUAAUGUGCUACAUAUGGCAAGAAGGGGGCAUAAUUGCAUCUUGAGCAUUGGUUUCAUUUUUGGAUGAGCCUACGGAAAAAAAUGCCAGUCAUGUGAAAAUAGUUGUAAUCAUGGUUGAUCUGGAGAAGAUGACCUUGUAACACUGGAGAUGCCACACACAGUGGCUUCACCACCGAUGGCUGAGUACACAACCCUUGCUCAUGCGGACACAAGCACAUUUUCCCCACAAAAUUUGCGCUAUGCAACAGCGGCAUAUUGACAAUAUUACGUAUUACAAUCAACACCUUUGAUGUUUUUUUUUUGCAGGGAUCACCGGUACCCUUGAUGUCAACAAUAAAGGUUGGUAGGUAUCACGUGGUACUAUACUAAUUCACUGCAGAUCUCCACCACGCUUAUUUAUAUAUAGAGAGAGAAGAGAGGUGUGUGUAGCUCCUUUUAGUGUGCCCAUUCCCAUCAUGCAUCUCACAAUAGUCUUCAAUCCGACAAUAAAAGGCUAGUGGUCUUUGGUUUCAUCCAACUUCUUUCCCCACUGUUUAAACUCUUCAUCGGUAGAGCUAUAGGUGUUAGAAGUCUUGAGGCAUGAGUGGCAUUGGGACAUCAGACGUGAAUAGAUGUAUUUUGUAAUCCAGACCUUGCUGCAUACCUAGUCAGAUUUGCGAUCGAUUUUGCGCUGGUAGUAGCGCUCUUAUCAGAACCACCGAUAAUGUAUCAUGUGACCCUGAGCUGCAUGUCUCUUCAUGGUUCCAGGGGUGUACGAAGGGGGAGCAGAAAUGGACGUAAGCAAUAAAGAGGUCUUUACUGUUCAAAAAAGAGUAGGAAUGGACGUUCUUUCCGGAUAUUAUCUUUCCACAGUUAAAGGUGGUGUCAAAUCUGCAGUUGUAGUGUGUUGUGGCAUAUGGCGAGCAGAAGAACGAAGCUCACUUGCAUUCACAGGCGCACGGCAGCCACAAGCCCCCCUGCGCCCCCACAAAAUCUGAUCACGAGGCCAUGCCGGAUUCCCCUUUGCCAAUCGCCUGCGCCCACCUCACUUCCCCCUUAUCCCCGCCUCACCCAUCUCUUAUCCCCUCCCUCCUCUUACAAACCCACAAACUAAUUGGCCGCGCACGCGCCUCCCCUGAUCAGCCAGGAAGGAAUCCAACUCCCACCACACGCCCCCACGACGCGCGCGCCAGCAGCAAUGGCCGCCCUCGCCGCCUCCAUCGCCACGUCCACCGCCUUCGCCUCCAAGCCGCGCCUCUCCUCCCCCACCCCGCGCGCGCGGCUCUCCGUCUCCUGCUCCGCCACCGGCGACAACAACAACAACAACCCCUCUCUGGCCACCGCCGCCAAGACCUUCUCCGCGGCACUCGCCCUAUCCUCCGUGCUCCUCUCCUCGGCGGCCACCUUCUCCCCACCCCCGGCCGCCGCCGACAUCGCCGGCCUGACCCCGUGCAAGGACUCCAAGGCCUUCGCCAAGCGCGAGAAGCAGUCGGUCAAGAAGCUCACCUCCUCCCUCAAGAAGUACGCCCCCGACUCGGCCCCGGCGCUCGCCAUCCAGGCCACCAUCGAGAAGACGCAGCGCCGGUUCGAGAACUACGGGAAGUUCGGCCUGCUCUGCGGCUCCGACGGGCUGCCCCACCUCAUCGUCAGCGGCGACCAGCGGCACUGGGGCGAAUUCGUCACCCCCGGCGUGCUCUUCCUCUACAUCGCCGGCUGGAUCGGCUGGGUCGGCAGGAGCUACCUCAUCGCCGUCAGCGGCGAGAAGAAGCCCGCCAUGAGGGAGAUCAUCAUCGACGUCGAGCUCGCCGCCAGGAUCAUCCCCAGGGGGUUCAUCUGGCCCGUCGCCGCCUACCGCGAGCUCAUCAAUGGUGACCUCGUCGUCGACGACGCCGACAUCGGAUACUAAUUGGCGGGCCGUGCGUGCACGCAUGGUUGGCUAGUCGGUCGGUCCCCGGUCAGGUGAACUCUGCUUCCAUUCCAUGGCUGCUAGUGCUCUGCUCUGCAUCCUCUGCUCUCUAAUAGCUCAAUCACUUAAUGAUGGAUGAUUAAUGUAUUUGUUUCCUCUUUUUUCAGCUGGGCAAUGGGGGGAUGUGAAGGCUUGUGGUGCCUGUGUGGGCUUGGUGUAGGAGCUGAUCGAUAGGAUAAAGGAGGAAUGGAAGCUCUCUUGUAUCUAAGAAACUGAAAUCUUGUAUAACUGUACCUCUCUUGUGUGUAUUUUGCCAAGUUCAAAUUGUUGAGAACGAUUUCAUGUUGCAGAGCAUACCACGAUUCAAAAUCUGUGAACAUAAACAGGGACUCAACUGCAGAAAAAAGAUUGAUCAACAGAAUUAUACAAAUUUCACCAAUUCAAAUUCGUGUUCGUGGUAUUGAAUACAAGCCGAAUUUCUUCGUGUAACCAGCAGCAAAUAUAAAUAAUCUCUGGUACUACUUAAAAGUAAAACACCACUGACUUUUACAAACUAAAUGUUUAAUCACAAUGAAACACAUCGCUCCGGUAGAGGAUAGCCAGUUACAGUUGUUUCACGUUUGAUCACCAGCUGUCGUUGUUAUGUUCAGAAGUCGGAACCGUGGAAUUGGCUGCCAGAAUUCGGAAGUUGUGCUGAAAUAAAAUGAACGCACGAUCAUGACAUGCAAUAGAAGAUCUUAGGGCAUGUACAAUGGUUGAUAAGACUGUCUUAUCUUAGGCAUUCCACGUCAAUUAGAAAAGACAACAAAACAUGUUGUAUAAUGGGUUAUCUCUUAAUGUUUUAUCUUAGAAUUAAUGUUUAGAUGAAUAAAAUUAACUAAAUAAAUGCUAAGAAAAGGUGAAAUCUAAUACAAUGGUAAAUUUGCCUUAUCUUUGCCUUAUCAUUCUUGUGAAAAGAUCAUCUCUUAAUUAAGAGAAGGUUUGUGCCUUUUCUUCGUUUCUCUCUCUUCCACAUCAGAUUUUAUCUUAUGUGGCAUCGCUAAGAGAAGGCUGACGUCAUCCCAUUGUACAUGUCCUUAAACACCCAGUUUCAACUUUUAAGUAGAUGGGAUUUCAACGAUUUGGUAGUCAUCAGUCAAGCAUACCGACUCUAGUUAUUACUAACUUAUUAUGAGCGUAAAGUAAACAUCAAUUUGCAAUCAUCUUAGUUUGGUAGUCUAAAAGUUGUGAUUACUGAUUAGAAAGGACGUUUGGAACAUUUUAACACAAACUCUAUGAUUUAGCAGCUGAGUAUUAACACAACUUCGUAUGGUUACCAUGGAUACGAAAAUAGCAUACCGCUGUUAGCUGGUACAAAUUCCAGGCCUGCCACAUAUGAGUCUAGUUCUGACAAUUCCUGGACCACGAGAACAAGAGUCAUCAUGAUAUAACAAAGGAAAAAUUCUAAAGCCAUGCAACUACUAUAGACUGAUAAAAUUCAGUCGGAUGAAAGAUAAUUGUUUGGUUCUGAAGAGUAACCAGCUUAUUCAAAAGAAAACACAUACUUCAAUUGAAGGUAACCCACUGAAGAUGUCAGUCUGCGGGUUAAGUGAAGAGGUUCCCUGACUAACGCCACCUGAGGAUGUUCCAGAACCAACAUUUGAUUGAUGAAGAGUAAGCCAUGCAACAUUUCAGCACCCAAGUACCCAGUAAUGCAUAAUGGCGAAGUGAUUCAAUUGAUGAUCUAGAACACUUCAUAUUCAGUGAAAUUAGAAUAAGAAAACUGGUGUAACAAGCAUACCUGUUACAGGAAAAGAAGUACCAGGACCAUGAGUCGUCCAGGAGCUUGAGUACUGAUUAUGUUGGGUAGUUAGACUCACACCAGUAACUAAAUAAUCCUCCUCGGCCUACGUUCAGUGAAACUUAAAGUAGUCAAUGAAAAAUUGCGGGAUAGAAUAGUUGACUGUGUCACAGGUAUCUUUACUUACUGGCACAGAAUUGUGGGACGGAAUAAUUGACUGUGCUGAGAAUGAUCCCUGACCAUCUAAGAUGUUUCCAUGAGUCAAGUAAGGAAUUUCAUUAAGCGGCAUAGGAGGAUCCUGCUGACAUAGCUCUACAGAAAAUUGAUAGCCGAAACUGUGAGUGCGAUAAUAGUUUUUUCUAAGGGAGAAUAGCAAUAGUAUUACAUUUUGCAAUUGCAAGGAAGCAGCAAUAAUAAUAUGGACGAUGUUAGAUACAAAACCGUGCAUGUGUUUAGUAUUCACCUUGAUGUGUAGCCUGUUUAUAAGUGUAUUGUGGAAACACUAGUGUUUCUUGCCUCGAAGGACCAGCACCAUUGUUUGAGAAGACUUGUGCCGGUGAGAAUCCAUUCUCCUGCUGUUGCCGCUCACCAAAUUCUGACAUAAUUGAAUUUUGAGAAACACGUAACAACCAAGGUCAGUGAUGGAACACAAUAUUAAUAUUCACCAUGCUGUGCAGUCAUGUCAUUAGAGCAUGGCCAUGUCGUUCUUGUUUGUAUGGAAGUACUGGCAUCAUUGUUCUGAGGCACUGCCCGGACAGGGCAGCCAUUGAUCAUGAAAUAAUCAGGGCUAAGUUUCCCUGAGUUCUCCAGAUCCUCAAAUUUCUUAUGUGCACUCAUUUUCCAGUUGUUCACUUUAACCUGUAACAGAAUACAUCAGUAAUUAAUUCAUACCAUUAAUUAAUAUAUGGCAUCACCUUCAUGAUGUACAAGCAGCCAAGACUCAAGCACAUGCUUGCAUGUAAUUUUGGGUACAGGAAAGCAUCUAAUGCUCCCACCUUUAUGAAACCUUCUGGAUCAGCAAAAAAGAAUACAGGAGUUUGGGAUGGAAAUGUAAUGGCGCAGGAAACAUGUAUAUUUUCUCUGUUCUUUAUAAGGAAUAAAUCUGUCAUCCCAACUUAGAGAGUUUGGGACUUCGCAUGAAAGGGUAAUAAGGUGGUCAUUAGCUCCUCCAUUUCUUGAAUAUUGAAUUCCAUUGUGCUUGAAGGGGUUUACAUGGUGCACGCACGGGAACACCGCAAGGUGUGAAUCCAAUUGCUCUAUACAUUUGUCCUUCUAGGUUUCUAGAUGUUGCAAACAAAAAGGGGUAUUCAUUGAACAAACACACUUUUAAUCACGAGUGAGUAUGCUCAUAGGCAAAAUAAACUCCACAGUAGAAACAGACGCUGGAUUUAGCGAUAAGAAUUCAUUCAAUCCAUGUGUUUGUCCCAACUAUACGAAAAGUAAAUGCCACAGAUAAAUUAGUCAAUAGCUGUUCACUGUGAAAAUAUUCCAAUUUCCAAAAGUAAAUCUUGCUAUAUAGUACCUCAUAACCAUUACCUUGUGAGGUAAAUUGCCUGCACACUACUAUUUUAGUGAAUAUCAACAGCCUAAUUGCUAUGGAAAUGGAACAGUGUUCAACGUAAUACCUGCAGAAGCUGAUCAAGGCCGCUGUAAGGAACAUAGGCUUCAUUGAUCAUGAUGCCGACAAGAUCAUAGAAAUCAUUGAAUAAGAGUUCAUAAUUUUCCUCUUCAACUCUAUGAGAAUAGAUCUCCGCCCCAGGAUCAGACGUGGUUGCAUGUUUAAUCAUGGUACUCCAACUCCCCUUCUUCAUGCCAGUAAGCUAAUUGCCAGAAAUCAAGAGUUUUCUUAGAACAAAAUGAAAUGCUAUUAUAGUGCGCGAAAAGACAUAUAGCAUUACUUGUAGCCAAAUAAGUCCUAGGAGAUGCUGGAUAUUUUAUUUCCAAUCCAUGACAAUGAUUAACUUGAUUAUCUAUUGCAUGUGAUUUGAAAUUUUGCAGCCUGUAGAAACAUGAUUACAAUUGCAUAUUUACCUUUUGGAGACCAGAACUAUCUCUAUAAUAAUGACGCAGUAAGUGCUUCACCAUCGUAAUUUUUUUAUCCACGAGGUCACCCCAACAUUUUCCAUUCAGGGAAAUCUUCUCCAAUCGAUGUAUAGCUUCGUCCUUAGGCGGAGGAUAAAUCUUUUCAUUGACUGAAAAUAGACAAAAAGGUUGGGUGUGUUAAGACAGGAUCGCUUGUAUGAAAUAUUUUCACUCUGGUUGUCUUUGCAUCUGACUGCAAUGGUAGUUAGCAAAGGAUUAAUGUACAUGGAAAGCUAUAACGGAUUUCCAUGCAUAUUAUUAAUCUACCAGCCAAUAUAUAACAGUAAAGAAAUAUACAAGGUGCCCACACUAAAACUACAAUGGUGCCCAUGCAUAUUAAUGUUAAUGGGCUAUGGCAAAGAACAAUGUUUCACUGCCUGAUCAAAUUACAGUGUAUAAAAAUUCCACAAUUCGGCGUAGUUAAAAGUCUAGACCUUCAGAACAGAUAAUUGGAUAUACUCACAUUCACUUCGGCGGUCUUUCACGACAAAUGGAUCAGUGAUUGCUUCUUGAAUUCUGACCGCAAGAUCCUUCCUUUUCACUCUUGCUGUCAAUCUUAACCUUUUCCUGUAGGAGCUCUCUGGAAAGAAGACGGGACCAAGAUCGGCCUCACCGUUUUUUAGAUUAACGGAUGUCAAGACUGAAUCUUUCCCUUUAUAGAUAUAUAUCUGCUUGUCGAAUUCCUCUUUGGUAAAAUCUACUUGUCCUCGCUCGGUAAAGAAAUCAGCAUGGACUGACAAAAUCUCAAUCUGCAGUUUAGAAAGAUCACCCUGCGUGAUUUGCCUCUCAUUUUCAAAUAUCGCUACCUUAGCGUUUUUUCCAUGCUUCCAUUGUACUGGACAACCAGUGUAAAGUGGAUCAUUCGGUCUUUCAACAUUGAGAAAGCGUAACUUGAUCAUUCUAGCUAUGCUUCCAGUUCCAGGAAAACCUUCUGAUGUCUGCCUAGAAUUUAAAAUAGGAUGAGAGUGAGACAACAACAGAAAAUAACCCCAGAUUAUGUAAAACGCAAAUUUACGUAGUUUGCCAAGCUUUAGUAUCCUGACAUGAAUCAAAAAACCUGUAAAGAAUAUUUACCAGAGGAACUAUGCAUGUUUAGUGUUCAAUUUUCAAUGGAGAAUUAAUACUCACAACUAUAGAUGGAGGGCAGACAAGAAAAUAAAAUGGCAAAUACCUAGGAGACGCAUAAACGUAAUUAGGAAGCGAAGCUGCUUGUCGCUCCUGCAUCUAUUGCAUAACAUAGCGGAAGGGAGUUAAGAUAGAGUGCAGGUACAGAAAGACAAAACGUUUUACAUUGAUAAAGAUUUCAAAUUACCUCUGUCUGGAUAACCGAUCGAAUCUUUUCUUCUAUGGAUCCCAUAAAAGAUCUAGGAUACAACACAACAGGAGAUAAAAUUAAUUAAUUAAUUAAUUAAAUGAAGCAAUAUGGAAGCAAAAUCCAUCACAUUCACAACAUUCAAAAGUUGCGUACUCAAUACAUAUAGACCGUUUCAACACUGCAACAUUUCACCCAUACCAUUAUUGAAAGAAGAACAAAUCCAUGGUUUAUUCAAUCCAUGAAUAAUUUGAUAUAUUGUAAGCUUGAAAUAGUACUAUUAUAGUAAAAAAAAUCUUUUUACAAAAAAAACGAGUACCUAUGCAUUCCUCUAAAAUAAAUGGCUGUCAAUGUCUCAGAGAAUAAAGCUCACUUUGUACUUCCCUACAAUAUGCAUUUCCUAUUAUGCCGAUUUCCUAUGUUGCCAUAAAAGGCCGAUCCAAGAUGCCAUAAGUGGGCGUGAAUUCUGAGAUGGACAUGUGUACCUCUGAAAAGAAAGCUGCCGCGCCAAAAAUCUCUCGAGGGUGGCCGGUAUAUCGCGAAUCACCCUUUCCACCGAGACAAGCCGCGCAACAAGCACCAUGAUAAACAUAAGCAAUUUGUGUAUAUCGAGUUGCUCCUGCCGCACGGAAACAAGCCAGAGCCCAACAAAAUCAGAAGCACAACCGGAGGAAAACCUCUAAAAGAGGAAAAAUCGGAAAUGCGGAGAGGAACGGGAAAUAGCGAAUCCCACCCUCACCUGCCGAACCAUCUGCUCCGUCUGAUCGACACCGGCCGCUCUCGCCCUCCUCCUCUCCCUGCGGCGACGGCGCGUCCGCGGAUCCGCGCGCGAAGCAACAACCGCGACCAAUGAGUUCGAAUUAAGGAAGCAAAGGGAGGACCCAUGGGCACGGUAGAAGAGAAACAACGGGCAACGGCUCGAUAGAUAGCAGGCAGGACACUCACAGCCACAUCAUGACGAGGACCGUCCGCCGGAACCUCUUCCUCGGGGACGGCGGCGCCGCCUCCCGCCCCGCCUCGACGGCGUCCAGCGCCCGCUUGCGCGACAUCACGCGGUUUCGGGGGAGGGGGCGGGGGCAGGGAUCGAGGGUGAUGGUGGUGGUGGACUAGCACGGCAGCGAACCGGGUGGGGGGAAUGGAGAUGGAUUUGGGGCGGUGGUCGUGAUUUGUAUCGUGGGGGCUUGUGUUGUGGAGCGAGCUCUGCUGCUUCUAUGUAGGCGGAGGAGGAGGGAAGACGAAAGGAAGUCAAGCGGAGCGAGGAGAGGAUUUGGCAUUUGUCCUCUUCCCCGCGCGCACUCCCUCCCGCGGCCCGCGGGCCGCAGCGCAGCCCAGCGCGGAGCCGCACCGCGUGGCGUGCGACGGGUGGGGGUGGGGGGGUGGGGGGGGGGCCUUGAGCGUGUUUUGGCGGGCAGGGGCUUUUGAUAUCAUCCGACAAGGCCGGUGGUGGCCGGUGCCUCGCCUCCCCGGCCGCCAUGGCAGUAUGGCACUGGAUUUCGCGACUCUGUUAUUCCGUUCGACGAAAAGGUUCGAAUCUGCCAAUAGAUUGGGUUUAUGUGCUAACAGACUCAUCUCCUAUAACCAAACGGCAUUUAUUAAAAAAACAUUUAUUCUAGAAAAUGUGGUCUCUGCUCAUGAGAUUAUUCAUGAUUUACAUAGGAACAAUGAGGAGGGGAUCAUUCUGAAACUUCACUACGAAAAGGCCUACGAUAUGGUCGACCAGUCCUUCCUAAAUAAGAUGUUAGAACAAAGGGGUUUUAGUUUGAAGUGGAGAAAUAAGAUCCAAGCUCUAAUGAUCAAAGGAUCUGUUGGAGUGGGAAUAAAUGAGGUUGAAAGUCACUAUUAUGAGCCUGGCAAAGGAUUGAGACAAGGGGACCCACUCUUUCCUCUGCUGUUCAACCUGGUGGUAGAUGUGUUCAUUAAAAUGCUCUCUAGAGAUGCUCAACAUAACCUUAUUUUUGGUCUUUUGACUAGACUUACACCUGGGGUGUCAUUAGCCUACAAUAUGCUGAUGACACUCUCAUUUUUCUUGAAUUGAAAGCACAAAUUUUAAAGUGGAUCUUGGCUCUUUUUGAGCAGCUUUCAGGGAUGAGAAUCAACUUUGAUAAAAAGUGAUCUUGUUCUCAUAAACAUCUCUGAGACUGAUUCCAGUACUCUUGCCCAAGUUUUUGGGUGUAAACUAAGUGAACUUCCUAUUAGGUACCUGGGGUGCCUUUACACCACAGUAAAUUAACCAAAGAUGACUUACAACCUAUGGUUGACAAGGUAAUUAAAAGAGUUGCUGGGUGGAGGGGGAAACUUCUUUCCUAUGGUGGCAGACUAAUCCUCAUUAGAGCCUGCUUAGCUAGUAGACCUAUCUACCUACUUUCUAUUAUUAAAUUUCCUGCCUGGGCACUUCAUGCCAUUGAAUCCCAGAUGGCUCAUUGUCUUUGGGAUAAUUAUGAGGGGCACAGGAAAUAUCACUUGGCCAAUUGGGAACUUGUUUCCAUGAAAAAGGAAUAUGGAGGUUUGGGCAUUCCAAACUUAAGAGAUUUGAAUGUUGCCUUACUUGCUUCUUGGAUAAAAAGGUAUCAAUUAGAUGGGCAGAAAAUCUGGAAACAAAUUGUGGACUAUAAAUAUGAUGACAUAUACCCUAAUAUUCUUGCUCACUUCCCUCAAAAUGCCUCUCCUUUUUGGAAAGGGAUUAUGUGGGCUUGUCAUGCAGCUAGAUAGGGCUAUACCUGGAUAGUUGGUAAUGGGCAAGCAGUUAGAUUUUGGGAGGACCAAUGGGUUGGCAGCUCUAGUCUGGCCACUCAAUUCUGGGAGCUGUAUUUCAUUUGUAAUGAACAAAAUGUGGUAAUUUCUGACGUUUGGGGUGGAAAUGAACUAAAGCUAUCAUUUAGGAGAGGUUUUGAUGACAGAAUGAUGCAUAAAUGGUUUGAAUUGAUCAACAUUGUUGAAAGUGUGGUCCUCUCUGAGGAACAAGUUUAAUUAAUCUGGAAGUUGCACAGUUAUGGUGUGUACAAUGUACAGUCUCUGUAUGCCAUCAUCAACUUUAGAGGGAUUUCCCCUGUCUUUAUCCCAUCUAUUUGGAAACUACAUGUAACACAUAGGGUGCAUUUCUUUCUUUGGCUUCUAUCACACAAAAGACUGCAUAUCAGGGAUAACCUGCAGAAACGACAACAUGUUGAAGAUAAAACAUGUUUUAAUGUGUUGUGAACCAGAAAUACUAGAACACUUGUUUUUUUCCUGUGAUAUUACUAAACAACUUUGGCAUGAAAUGGCAGCUUUGCUAGGAAGUAAUCAAGUUAACUGUUAUGAAGAUGUUGCCAGAUUAUGGCUUAGUAAUACUAAUCAUGCUGUUUUCAAUAUGAUAUCAUGUGCCUUCUUGUGGACAAUGUGGAAAUUUCGAAAUGACAUGCAUUUUGGUCGUGUGAAUUGGUCUGGUUUACAGAUUAUCUGGCACAGAUUGGUAUGCUUAUUGAAGAGAUGGAGCGUGCUUUGCCCCAGGAAAAGACUUACGCAGAUGGACAAUUGCGUGACUUUGCUGGAGAACAAGGUGCAGGAAGCCCCCAGGAUCCUGCUGUGCUGAAGAAAAAAAAGUUGACUAUCGUGCUUGGCCCGGGGACAUCCCAAGCUGCUGGACCGCGACGAGUUUUGAUCACCUGAUUGUCCAUAAGUUGGUGUGAGGGAUGUGGUUUCAAGCGGCAUGCUUAGCUCUUUGUUGUCGAUAGAAAAAUUGUUGUUUUCUCAGUUUUUGCUGUUGAUUUCUAUCCUUUAGGAUGUUUGCGCUGUCAUGCAUUGGUUGUGGGCUUAAACGUUGUAAGACUGUUGUUUCAUUUUCAAUGAAAAUGGAAUGGGGCGGGGGCCUUUGGCUCUAAAAAGAAGGUUCGAAUCUUUUUUCAGGAGAAAUUUGAUAAAAUGCCACAUCUUUCUUUGUACUUUGCCUCAAAUACACACAUUCAUUUUUCUUAGACAAAAUAGCACACCUUUGUUUGACACAUUGAUGAAACACCAUUUUUUAAAUUUUUUUAAUCACUUUUUCAAUCCAGACUCACAUGCCAUGAUUUUUUGGGACCAAAUCACCCCUGCCGAUUUAGAUCGAUCCAUCUUCUCGUAUCCAUCGAACUGCAAAACAGACGGAACGCAGGAAGGGAUGAGGCCACCACUGCCGGCGCCGGACGAGCCCGCCACGCCGUUUCUCUCGCCCAUCUAGUUUAGCCUACGACAGCCUAUAGCGCUAAAGCAAGCAAGCAUUGCUAUGUAUAUGGCUGAUCAAUAGAGGUUAAUUAGAUAGCAUACCAAUCAUGAACCGUAUAUGGCAUCAUGAGAUACAGCAAGCAGCAGCAAAUUGCUAGAGCAGCGUGGGCCUUAUGAGACUGGUCGAGGAAGCCGGCAGCUGCCUCGUCCGGUGUAUGAGGAGGGUAGUGGUGUUCAUCAAUUCAUUCCCUUUGAUCGAUCCAAGUCGAUCCAGAAAUCCAUCCGAAUCGAGAGAUUAGACGAGGGCAAUUUGUUACAAAAAUCAUGACAUGUGGGUCUAGAUUGGAAAAGUAAUUUAGAAAAUGAAAAAUGGUGUAUUAUCAAGGUGUCAAAGAAAGAUGUGCUAUUUUGUCUAAGAAAAUGAAAGGUGUGCAUUUGAGGCAAAGUACAAAGAAAGACGUUGCAUUUUGUCAAAUUUCUCUUUUUUCAGGGUGUUUAUAUCGUGGCUGUUGUGGCUAUAUCUGAGUUCUGUGAUUUUUAAACAAAAGGUUCAAAUCUAAGUUGACGAAUUAGAACCGUUGGAUUAGUAUAUAGAUAUCAUUUUUAUCUUUAUUUUUUCAUCAUCCGUUUUGAAUUUUAAAACACAAGUCAUAUUUAAUGGUUGAGAAAUCAAUUUAUCUUCAACUAGAAAUCAGGCAACUUAGAUAUAGUAGCUCAAUCUUCUGUCAUUUUGAAUCGUGGUUGACUUUGUCAACAGUUGGAUCAUCCGUGUGUCUCUCUUAUUUUUUAUUGAGCUCUAAAAGAGUAAUCCAGAAUAAUUAUAGAACAUCUAUGCAUCGUAUCCUAAUAGAUGCAUUUAAUUGGUACUCCAAUAAAUAAAGUGUUAAGGAGUACCAACUCAAAUUGAGGAUCGCACAUCAGCUGUUCCUUUUUGCUGCUAUGAGCUAAUUUCAGCGAAUUUGAAGAUAAAAAUGGAAUCCUUAGCUUCAAUUCGUCAUGAACAUAUCUUUAUUGCUAAAAUCAUUAGCGGAUUUCAAAAUCAAUGUUGCCCGCUCUUCUAUAGAAUUCCUUGUUUUCAUCAGAAGUUCAAAGAGCUUGUUUUGGUCUUAUUGUUGUCAUCGUUGUUCCAUACGCCUCAACCAUAUCACCUAAUAUAGACCUAUGCAGAUCCAUCAGUAUGGAUGAUACGGUCGUUGGUAAGAAAAGUUUUCAAGAAGGGGGGGGGGUAAAAUGGCGGAAAAGGACAACCUACGAAAGGAGGGGGAGGGAUGGCGAUCUGGAGAAGCGGCGACGUGUUCCAUCAUGAGAAAGGCGGUUGUGUUGAGAGAGAGAGAGAGAGAGAAUCACAUUGCGUUGAAAAGGGCAACAAUCUAAAUUACCCCAUCUAGAUGCACAAUUAGAUUUGCCUAUUGCUCUCAUCCCUUUUCUGGAGUACCAAAGCACCCUUAUAACUAAUGGUGUUAAAAUAUCUUAAACUGUGGUAUUUGUUCAUUCAGGAGAAACUAUGAAUCAUGCAUGCUCGUUUCGGUUUUCUUUAAAAUGUUAUACAUCAUCUAUUUUGAAAAAUUCAAAAUGUGCUUUAUAAAUAUCUAGCCUUGAUCUGUUUUAAAACCAAUAAACCAAAUGAUAGCCUGAAUAUAGUACAUCUUAAGCUUAUUGGUUUUAAAACAAAUCAAAGUUUUUCUUUUGGGAUCUUUUUGUCUGUUCCAUCCCUCUGUAAAUCCAUAACUUGUUACUUUUCUCCCGGUUGAGUUUUCUCAACUACUUAUUAAUGAAAGGCACUUUGUGCUUCUUUCGUCAAAAAAAAAAAACAAAUCAAAGUUUUGGCUAGAUGAAACCAUAAACCCUCCACGAUACAUUCUGAAUCCUUUGAACAUUUUUUGAAAGCAAAAGAAAAUGUGAAUCCACUAUCCAAACUUGCACUAGAGUUUAUGGUCUCUUAGUAUACACAAUUUCAUAGGAGGUUCAAGUUAGAUCAAGCACCAACCAAGUUCAGGGUUCAUUUUUCUUCUUCUUAUUCCUUUGCACAGCUUCAGCUGUCUUCGUGCAGCUACGUACGUAUCCUGAACUACCUGGAGUCGUGAUUAUAACAUUGUAUAUGAUCUACGGGUACGAUGCCAUAACUCAAAUAUCACGGCAUGCCUCCCCAGUGAGAGAGCCCUAUUGGACAAUGUUGGAUCAAUUAAUCUAAUCUCUCCGGUUACAGCGCCAGCGCCGGCUCAUCUACCGCCAAAAAUUGGUGGUCUCGUCUUCGCCCUGUCCUAACCCAGCAGCUCUGCAUGAAACAAAAUCAGAGAUCAUCAUUCAUCGACUAGCAAAUAGCGAAGCACAUUAACACAUUAGUCUCAAAAUGAGGAUGACUGAAGAAAAAAAGAGAGUGAUCUCAACUAGAGUGGCGCUUCAUCUCUCUGGAAACAGACAACAAUGGUAUCAUUGGUGUGGCAGAAGAAGCAAAGAAUGGCAUGAGCCUGCAGUGUGUGUUAGCACACGCGGGCAUGAAGGACAGAAAAUGGCGCCGGGUUAUAUAUAGCUAGGCUAGCAAAAGGCAGCGCUGAGAAGUCUUUUAUCGAUCGAGGACCGGAGCAACCUGGGGUCGGGUGUAGGAAACUCCUGCGAUGCUUCCGUUCUUGUGCCACACCAUUGUUAAUUUGGAGCAAUCUUUGGUGUCCUUUUCUGAGCUGGGAGAAAAGGAUCGAGGGGAAGACCGUGGACUGUUCUGCGUAGGACGGGGGGUUUCCGUUACUUUUCCAUCCGUUUUCCGUGGGUUUUCGGGGGAUUUUCUGGUGAUUUUGGUCUGACUUUCGUGGGACUGACUGCGUCGGGGAGUUCCCGUUCCUUUUCCGUCCGUUUUCCGUGGGGUUUCCUGGGAUUUUUCUAGUGAUCUGAUACCUUGGGACUGCGUUUCGUCGAGACUCGAGAGUCGAGAGAAACCAGGUCGUCGUCUCCGUGUUCUCCAACGGAGGGAGUUUUCGGAUAUGUGACUUUCCUGGAAAAUUGAACGCAGUUUCGGGCGCUUUUUCAUUCGAAACUUCCGUUUACUUGCGUGGGGUCAUUGUUAUGCUCUCUCCGUCCUAAAACAAGUGACAUGAAUAUAUAUAUAUAUUUUUAUACAAAUUCACGUCAUUUAUUUUGAGACAGAGGGAGUACAUGGUUUUGUCACGUCCUGGACGUGCGUUGCCAUCCUACGCCACUCCUCUCCUCCUCACGGACCGUGUCCCGCCAUCCCCCUCAUCCUCAUCCUACAAUCUUCUUCCUCUUUUUUCUCUCGAAAAUCUUCUUCUCCGUCUCAAUGCCUUUGAAUAUCAAUGGUUAAUCACAUAGAACCAUCUUUUAUGAAAGAAUCUUCUUGCAAAGAGCCUUUUAUAAAUUAUUGUUAAUCCAUCCCAAUCAAAAAUCGCUUCACAGUUUUUGCCUUCUUCUAGUUCUAGAAAUGGAUAAAUCAACGAGGACAUGUCUCUGUCCCCUGAUAUUUAAUCAAUCGAGAGAUCAAAAGAAGAAGAGUUGGGUUUCCACAUAGUUAAAACAAUAUGCUAAGGGCCUCUUUGAUUUACAAAACAAAUUAUUAGAAGACACAAUAGUUACGUCAACCUGGGUGUUCGAUUAGCAUGAGUAGAAAAAUCUUAACCAAACACAGUUAAACAAUUUUUUUGCAGAAGUAAAAUACUACUCCCUCCGUUCCAUGUUAAUAGCAUGAGAGUACAACUUGUACUAAAUCCGUGCCAAUUAAUAUAAAACGGGUUGAGUAGGAUCUUAAUAUGAAAAAAAAAAUUCUCGUCUCAUUCUCCGUGCAUAGAAAUUCGAAAGUGGGGUAGAACGAGAUCAAAGAAAAUGUAAAGGGAAAAACUCAUACUCAUCUUUUUCUCCUCAACUUUUUUUUAUGAUUAAAAUAAACCAUAAUGGCUCUAGAUAAAUCAAAACUACCACUGUUUAACUAUUUGGUUUCUGUGUCAUUUCUUAACAAAAGAAGACGGUAAUUGUAGAUGAACCAACUGAGAAAGUUUUCAAAGAUCAAAUAUACUAUGCAUGACAAAGUUAAAUUUUGUUGACCUGUCAGGCUGGAAUAGGACGAGAACGUGCCCGCGUUAGCUCAUUCCGCGCGGACACCGCAUGCGUGCCCGCCGCUAGUAGCAACAACAGUAGAUCUGUUCGAGCGUGCCGUGCGGAAAUGCCAGCGCACGCGCACUCGUGAUAAUUUCCGUAUUUAUUUUUCUCAAAAAUAACACUUUCUGUAAAUUUAAAAUCUCUGUGCGAACGUGACGAGCAAACUAUCUACUACCUUCCUGCUGACACCCGGACCCCAUUAGUCCUCAUCGAGAAGAUAUCCGGUGCUCCCACCCCUUAAGGUGCUACCGUGACGCACGGUAGCACCCUGAAAAAGUUUUCAAUUUUUUUGAAAUAAAUUGAGUAGGUUCAUAAAAUAUGUGUCUAUCAUGUCACAAAGUUUCAAAUCCAAAUUCAUUAUAUGCAUAGAGAAAAAAAAAACAAAUUCAGAUAUGAGUAGGUCGCAAAAAGACAAAAACACAAAAGACAAAAUUUCUGACACUAUUCAUGUUUGUAUUUGUCUUUUUUGUUUCUCUCUGUGAAUAAUAAAUUUGGAUUUGAAACUUUCUAACAUGGUAGAUACAUAUAUUAUGAACGCACUCAGUUUAUUUUAAAUUUUUUGACAUUUUUUAAAAGUGUUACCUAACUCGUCGGGGGGAGGAGUGGAUAUCUUCUCAGUCCUCGUCCUCAUCUCCAACCCCUAAACUCGCUGCACGUGGGGCCACGCGUCGCGCUCUCUCGCUGAGACCACAGUGUCUGUCUCCGUCCCCAGAGGUCGCCGCCAGCCACGAACCCCAUCGGUGCUUUACCCUAGCGUCACCAUCACACCUAUGACUACUCCAAUGACACGUGGGCCUCAUCGCUUACGGCCCCCACCCGUCAGCCAAGUAACGCUCCUUUGCGAAGACUUCACACGGCACCUUUUGGACUCCCAGUCCCAGGGACCCCCAACGGGCGGCACACCCUUCUCCGCAUCCACAAGUCUCUCGCCGGCGGCCGCAGCCAGGGCAAGACGCCUCCUCCCCACAGCAGAUCUCCCCCCUUGCUUCCUCGCUUCGCUUGCCGCCCAAACCCGCUCCAUUCAAAACCCACCCCCAAACCCUAGCCCCAAACCCUCCCCCUAGCAGCAUGGCCGGCGCGGCGCCACCGUCGGGGCCCCCCGAUCCGCCCCCGCUGGAGCCGGAGGAGCCCCUCUCCCGGGAAUACCUCUCGCUCCGACAGGCUGGCGAAGCAAGCGAGGAGGAGGAGGAAGCUUCGCGGUCGCCGCCGCCCCCCGCGGGGGCGCCCGGCGGCGAGAGGUGCAGGGCGAUGAUGGAGGUAGUGAAGAAGGACGCGGUCGGGGUGGGGGGCAAGUGGAAGGUGUCCAAGCUGGUGGUGGACCACAACCACGAGCUGGAGGUGGCGCCGGUGGAGGGAGGGGGAGCUGGUGUGCCGGUGCUCGGGAUGGAGUUCGACUCGGCCGACGACGCCAAGGGGUUCUACCAGGGGUACGGCGAGAAGGCAGGGUUCAAGGCGCGCACGGGUUCCAACCGCCGCUCGGUUGGCACGGGCGCGAUGAUCAUGCAGCGGUUCCUCUGCUGUAGAGGGAAUUAUGUGAAUAGGAAGAGUAAAGCCGCCAAGGGUUUGGAGGAGGUGGAGGAGGGUGCCGCGGAAAAGGGAAAGGGAGAGGUUGGCCCCUGUAAGAAGAGGGGCCGCAAGCCUGGGAAGAAAAAUGCACAGGCGCCGGAGGUGGAGAUGGGCGGUGGAAUAGCGUGCACAGAGAUUGUGCAAGCCGUGCCUAGUAGGAGGAGUUCAAGGAGAGGUAGGGAUGAAAAUGAUGUUGUCAGGAUGGCUGUCGAGAAUGUCAUCGAACCUGAAGAACGAAAUGAUGAGGCGGUGGAUGGUGCACGGAAUGGUUCUGCCGGCGCCAAUGAUGAGGAGGAGGAGGAUGAAAUGGAAGAGGAAGUGGGAACAAAGGAAAAGAGAGGGAGGGGAAGGCCAAGAAAGGCUGUUACAGAGGGCAAUGCCCUGCAGGCAUGUGACCUUGGUGCCAGUGCAUCACAGUGCAACAACGAUGACAGGAAGAAGAUACUUGAUAAAUAUCUCUCGAAGCGACAAACCAGACCUGUCUCCGGCAGGCCUGCUAAGGUAAAUUGCUUACACCUUGUUAUUAGUUGUGAUGGCGAUGAAGGAUAUAUCUCACAUUGCAAUGUUGUAUAUCAUAAUGCUGGAGUGCAGAGUAAGAUGUAUGUAGGCAUCAUUGAUACUUGUUCAUUUGAAAAAAGAUAACUUAGGUACUUGAGAUAUCAAUAUUUGUGCCUACCCAUUUUGUGUCUUUCUUCAUCAAGGGAAUGAAACUGAUUUUCACAUAUGAAAUAUUUGUGCCACAUUGCAAUGACACAAAAUGUCAGUAUAUAGAUGCACAAAAUCCUCAAAAAAGCUCUUCUCAAGUAAAUAAUUCCAAGUAGGGGAAUGUGUACUCUGGUCCUAAUUUCCGCUCAAGCUCAGUUUGCUCCCUUUGUUACCUGGAAGUCAGGAAGCACUGUUUGACCAUGGAUAAAAUGGGUGUUAGUUUUCUUGUAAAACGUGAAAGCUGCCUAUUCUGGCAAGCUGAUAAAAGACACUCAUGUUGCAAGCUCAUUGACUAUUCUAGCCCUCAUUUGAUGUGGGUAACGAUGAUUGCAUGUAGCCAUCCAGCACAUGAUAAACUUAAGGUGUGUGCAUACACCAUGUGACUCCACAUUUCAUUUUCUGUGAUGAAACACAACAGAAGAAACCACAAGUCCUAGUAUCCAAAGUAGAGGGGCAUGAAGUAGCAGAAUCAUAAGUGCACUUUUUUGUUUCAAAGCAUGUGUGCUGUGGUACAUAUGUCAAGACAUAAACAUGUGUUAGAAUGUUGAAGUAUCAAGGCAAUGGGCAUGUACCUACUAAAGUAAUUGCACAUAUAAUAUUGUGUCAUUGUGCUUAGUUUACUUUGUAAGUAUUUGUGCUUGUCCUUUUUAGAUUGUCUCGCGCCAAGCUUUGGCGGAAAGACGUAAGCGUGGUGUUGGCGGUAGAUUUCUUGCAAGCGAAGGACUACCGGUAACUUUGCUUAUAUGUCACCUAUAUUUAUUUAUGAAUGCUCAGUUUUAUUGUGCUAUACGGCUGUUAGCAUUUUCCAUUAAGUGGGUGGUUAGUCGGCCAGUGAAAGAGAAAUGAUAGCACACAGUUGGUGUCUAACUGUUUUCUCAGAGUCAGAAGUCACAAGUUACAACUCACUGAAACUUUUACACACUGGCACAUAACUUGGCACCUUCUAUAUGGAAGAUAUGCUCUACUACUUCAUCCGCAUCUCCAGUUCCUGUUUCUGCUUAAAUUUUAAACAUUAGAUUAUCAACUAUGUAUGUGUACCCUGCAUGAUAUAUACUUGACUUCCCUGGGGCUGAUUUCAAUAUACUCCCGUUCCUGAAAACAGGGUGCAUAUUUUGUUUCUCGCAUACCAAGAAAGAGCAAAACCAUGCGGUUUGUGACUGAUUUACCCCUAAUUAAACAAGCGAACUGUUCGGAACAAGUGCUACAUGCAGAGAAGCCUAGGCGUUGUUGCAGCACACACAACGCAUUAUUAGCUGGUUGCGGUCCCACCACUAUGCAAACUCCAUCAAUAUGGGCAAAAGCUAGGCGUUGCAUGCGCAGAAGCCCGGGCGUCUAAUUAGGCAUGCAGUUACCGAUUUAAUCCUCCGAGGUGAAUAAAUUAGGGUGUAUUUUGUUCACAUUGGGAGCAAUAGGAGAAAUGCGCCUUGUUUUUUGGAACAAACAGAGAAAAAUUAUGCGCCCUGUUUUCAGGAACGGAGGGGUUAGUUUUUGUAGCUCUUCUCGUCGGCCUUUACUGACCUAAGCUUAGUUUGGCAUUGCUGAACUGUGCUGCGCUGAACUUAUUUUAUAAUCUGCUGUGAAGAAAAACACACGAAAGUAGAGAAAAGUUGGUUAGCCAAACACAAAAAUAGUGAACAGUGGGUGAAAAAAACGGGAUUAUGAUAAUCCACCGCAAUGCCAAACGGAGCCACUGUAUCAGAACUCUUGGUGGUUUGUACUUACCUCCAUGUUGCAACUCUUUUAGGCUGACUGGCAUAUUCUGAUUUAUUUUGACCUGUCGUUUCUUUGUAUUGAGAUCUCAUGAAUGUGGAAAUCAUUUGAAUCAAUAAGCAUUGAUUUGCUUCCAGUUCCAUGUAUUAAAAAAAUUCAACCAAAGGCGAAGUCUUUCUGUGGCAUUUAUUUCAUUAUUCUUAUUUGUUGUUCUUGUGGUUGCAGCCUUCACGGCAACUUUCAGAAAGGCGUUCAAAACGUCUUGAGAAGCAAAAUCUUAAAGAAGAAGAGAAGGUAAGCUUAAAUGCAAACUGCUUAAUCACUAUGAUCUUUUUUUGCUCGUGCAAAUGUUGCAUACAAAGGAAAUGAUUGUUUGAGUUUUCUGUAUCUUAACUUUGGUUAGUAACUUGAAAAGGGGGUAAUAAUUGCUGUGAGUUUUGCGCCAUGUAUUCCAUAUGAACUGCUGCCUUGUGUAUUAUUAUGUUCAAGUCUCGCUGCUCACUAACACAUUGUUUCCGCUUUGUCCAGCCUGAGAGCAAAAAAGAUGAAAUAACUGAAGCAGAAGCAGAUCCAGAAACUGAAGUAGUUGCUGGGCCUGGAGGAGAGCCAAAAAUUGGAAUGGUUUUUGUGAAUGAAGACAAGGCCUAUGAAUUUUAUGUUAGCUAUGCUGGAUCUGCAGGGUUCAAUGUCCGAAAAGGAUGCUCUGACAAAACUGCGAAUAAUGUUAUGAGAUCUCGGGCAUAUGUAUGUUCUAAAGAAGGAUUCCGCCUUAAAAGUGUUACUGCCGAACAAAAGAAGCCUCGACCAGAUGCAAGAACUGGCUGCCAAGCACACAUGACUAUUAAAAUCACUACCAGCGGCAAAUAUGUAGUGACUGAGUAUGUGGCCGAUCAUAAUCAUGAUCUCGAAACUCCCUUGGUGGACAUUCAGAUUCUGAGAUCACAGAAGUUAUUAGCAAAGUUACAGCAGCCUCUGGAUCUGCCGAAAGUUGUUUUGAUACCUAAUGAUUAUAAAAAUUACAUAAGGACAAGGAGCACAAAAGAUAUGCCAUUGGGCGAUGCUCAAGCGAUUUGUGAAUAUUUGCAGAGGAUGAAAGGCAAGAAUCCAUCUUUCUUUUAUUCCAUUCAAGUGGAUGAAGACGACCAAAUCAGAAAUGUGUUCUGGUCGGAUAUUAAAUCAAUGAUGGAUUAUAACUACUUUGGUGAUGUACUAUAUGUUGACACAAGAUAUAGCACAGGUCAUUAUGGUAGGCCUUUGUUGCUUUUUAUUGGUGUUAAUCAUCAUAAGCAGCCAACCAUAUUUGGUACAGCAUUUAUUUACGAUGAAUCAGUCGAAUCCUUCAAGUGGUUGUUUGAAACUUUCAAAUCUGCCAUGAGCGGAAAGCAGCCAAAAACAGUUUUGACUGACCACUCUCCGACGAUAAGCGAUGCAGUUGCUUCUGCUUGGCCAGGAACUACCCACCGCUUUUCACUGUUGCAUUUAUAUCAAGAUGCUACCAAGAUAUUAAGGGAUACAUUCCAAGGCUCAGAAACUUUUGCCCAUGAUUUUAGUAGAUCUUUGUACAACUAUGAGGAGGAGGAGGACUUCUUGUCUAACUGGGAAAUCAUUACGGGUAAGUACAAUCUGAAGGAUAAUGAGUGGGUAAGUAAAUUCUUUGAGAAUAGAGAAAGAUGGGCCUUGCCAUUUGGGCGUGAUACAUUCUGCGCAGAUAUUGAAGCCACACUCCAAUGUGAUAACACAGAAGCCAUCCUGGCAGAUAUUCUUAAAGCAGAAAUAGAUCUCCCAUACUUCUUUAACAGUUACAAUAAGUUUUUGGAGGAUAAACGUCUAGCUGAACGACAAGCUGACUACCUUGGUGUUCAAAUGACUCAGAGGGUAGCUCCUCUGCGGUUACUUUGGCAGGCUGCUAAUACAUAUACUCCAGCACUGUUUGAGAUGUUCAGAUUAGAAUAUGAACUGAUCGUGGCCUGCAUGAUUUAUAGCUGCGGUGAGAUUGGAUCGAUAUCUGAGUAUGAGGUAACUGUCAAAAACAGGCCACGGGUUCAUCUUGUUAGAUUUGACUCAUCAGAAUAUAAGGUUAUUUGUAGCUGCAAGAAGUUUGAAUUUGUAGGUAUCCUGUGUUGCCAUAUAUUGAAAGUUCUCGAGAUCAGAAAUGUUAAAGAACUUCCACCACACUAUAUUUUGAAAAGAUGGCGAAAGGAUGCUCAGACUGAACCUCCAGGUUUUGCUGCUGUAGAUGAAGAUCCCAAGUUCUCAGUGUCUAAACGGUACAACUCCCUUUGUCGAACUUUAUAUAAAAUUGCAGCAAAGGCUGCAGAAAACACUGAAGCUCAUACAUUUAUGGAGAACCAAUAUGAUCAGCUCCUGGAGCAAGUUGAGCUUAUUUUGCAAGAAAAGUUGCAUGACAAAUCUUCUUUAAGCACUAUCAUGAAAAAUCAUCAGCAAAAUUUGAUUCAGAAUGAUGCCAGCAACAGUGAACCUCGCAGAGCAAGUGCUAAGAAAAGGAAAAAUGUAGAGAUGCGGCGCCGGCAGCAAAGUCCUCUUGAAUCAAGUAAGAAGCAAAAGGGCAGACAAGGUUUGUUCACCAUUUAAGCUGCUUCAUGCUGGUUUGAACAUUAUCAGUGUUUGAUCUUGAUUAAGCUGUUGCAGAUCUUCUGGAGCCUGAGGAGUGUGAAGUCCCACUUAGGAAUGAACCUUCCACAAUACCAAAUGACAUUCCGAAUCACCUGACAACUCCAACCAACCAGUUCCUUUCACCAAGCCAUAUAAUGCAGGUAAAACUUAUGUUCUCUUUAUAUUUUCCUAAAACCCCUGGUUUGGUGGACAGAGUGAAAGUGAAGGUGAUGAUAAUUAUAGUUUGCUGUUAAGGUAAUUGAAGUAUUAAUAAAUUAUAGCUUCGUCAAACAGGUACCUUAUGUUACACAGCAGUUUGGUCUUAAUUCUCUUCAAGGAUUUCCUGGCAUAUCUCCUUUUGGGCAGGUCAUGAUUAUAUUUUACUGCUUGAAGAAAGAAUACUACUUCUGUACUUUACUCUCACUAUUGUUUUGUCAAUAGAUGCAGGAACCAUCACAUGUUCAUCUUCAGCAACCUCAUCUACAACAAUCACACUUUCUUAGUGGUCCUCAAAUCCACCAGGUGAUUGUACAUUUAUAUAGCGAUGCACUACUCUGUUUGCUUACAGCCAUGUUUUCCUUCCCCAAGGGAGUUUACUCGACAGAUUUCCUUAGCAGUUGCUAUGGUAGGACACUAAGACUUUUAAGUGGUCAUUGAGUUCAUAUCCACACAUUGCCAUCUAGAAUCACUUUCCUCCAUGGGAGAUAUUCAUGUUGGUGUUAAUACUCAGUCAAGUGACUGUAAUCAAGAUUACCCCCUGCGAACUCAUGUGAUAACUUUCGUGCUGACUAAAUUUUCCGAGGAGGCAAAAUGAUACUCUAUCAAAAAAUAUAAGGAUAUAUCGUAAUCUAAGAAAUUCAAAAAUAUAAGAACAAAUUCAUCCUUGAGUUUCCAUCACACUUCCCGCUCCCUGUGUUCUUGUUACUCAUUGCCAAAUUGACUCUUAAUUGCACAUCUACUCAAUCUUGCACUGUGGUGGGCCUAUUAGGAAAUUUAAUAGGGAAUAAAAUGACUUCAGCGCAUUUUUUGGGAGAAAUAUUUCCUUUAGUUGCCUCAGAUUCUCAAAUUUGUCAUUUUUGGAUGGAGGGAGUAAUAACUACUGUUCGUGGUGUUCUGGUGCAGGCUCCCCCUCCAGACAUCCAGUCAUUGCAAUUUCUUAGCAGCAAUCCUCAACUGGGCCACCAGACGACGGAUAGCCAGUACACCAUCCCAGUGUGGGAUUUCUUGUGAUGUACAUUGUGAUGUAUGCCAGAAUGUAGAAACUGUAAAAUAUUGUAGUUGUAAAUUAUGCAACGAAAAUAUUUCUUGCCCAGCUUGUUUAUAUCAGUGAAAUGUGGGGGCAUGGGCAAAACUUGGGCCCAACCUGACAAGCUGACCCAAUUAACCUCGGUAUUUAUGACAUGUGGCCUAACAGUGAGCAGGUAAUUUAUGUACUCUCUCCGGUCGGAAUUACUUGUCAAAAUAUUACAUGUAUAUAGACGAUUUUUAUACAUAGAUACAUCCGUAUUUAGACAAAUUUGAGACAAGUAAUACUGGUCGGAGGGAGUGUAUCCAUAUUGUCAAAGCAACAUGAACUCAGUUCAACAAUUAGAGCAUAAACAGGAAAGUUGAGCAACGCUAUGCUUGUUGGCUUUGCUGAAAAAAUCAGUCUAUUGAGUACAAAAAUUUAGUGAUCAAUUGGUAGACAACACAAUCUUUCACGGGUAUGUGUGACAGGUUAAUGAGGAACCCGUAUCUUCUAUCCUGUGUUACCCCUGAAAGCCUGAAAGCCUGAAAGCCCUAUCAAAUACUCGUCUUCCACUACCACACAAUGGAGGACGUAUGACCAAGGGCAGUUUCUCAGGUGCUUAGCAUUGCGUCGGACUUCUCACUAAGGUACUGCCGCCAGGUCUCGCCAGAGCCUUGUUCUUGAUGCUGACGACCAUCUGCAGAGCAAACAUUCUUGGGUCCGUCGUAGUGGAGAAUGUCCGCAUUAGCAUUUCCGCGCUUCCAGCUGGAAGGUAGCUUUAGAUAAUUGUCAUAGAAGGCCAGAGUUAUCGCCAACUGAAUGCCAUCCCUGAAAAUGGAUUUGCGAAAUGACCAGAAAUGGUGUUACUAUACAGUAGCUGAAUUUAUAUGAUUUUUAUAAUGUACUCACUCCGUCUCAAACUGUCGUGGAUUUGUACAAGAUCUUAUACAAAUUCGGGACACUUAUUUUGGGACGGAGGUGCCGAUGGUGGAUAUUUUUGUUCAGAACACAAUACGAGUCACUGACCUUGGAUUAGCUAGGCUAAGGCCUGUGACCCACACCUUGAUAGCGUCAAUCGUAUUUCUUUUGAGAUUGCGUGGCUCCACCACAAGCACAUCAAUAUCAAGUAAGCACGUGUCCUUGUUAUAAGGUUCUGUAGAUGCCAAACCUGUUGGAGCUGUCCUAUGAACAGCAUUUAGAACAUCCAUAUUGGUGUAGUCGCCAACACGCUUGCUACAAUCUUCAACAGCACCAAUGGCAUAAAUGCCUAAAUCAAUGCGAGCAAGCUCUUCAAUUUUGCCCUGGUGAGGAGAUUGACAUUUCACAUAAGGGGCGGAGAUUGAUGUUUCAGAACUGGAUAUGCAUACUUCAGUGUUCAAAAAUUUCUAUGGAGUUAUAUGCCUAAUUUAUCAAAGAACUUAUCAUGCCAAUAUUGUUCUGCUACAGAUGCAGGUUUGAUUUGUUGGUUGACUGAUUAAAAGCAUUAGCCACUCUGGCAGAAAAAAAUUAUGAGAUCAAUGGUUGUUUGUCUGGAAGUUCCAUGAUAUGUUGAGGCAAGUAGAUAAGAUAUAUGCAUAGUACCUUUAUGACUGAGUCUGCUGAGAUAUAAACAUAUCUCUUCUUUGAGGGUUGAGUUGUUGCGAUAAUGAUUGACGAUAAUUCAUUGUGGAAUGACCAAAAAAAGUUUCCUUCUGGAGUGGCCACAUUUAGCUUAUCCUUGAUUUGCUUUUGACUGAAGAGGUAACAAGUAUGAGGAUGCGACAAAUCCAAAGAGAAAUGAGCAUUUUGGUUUGUUUGCUCACCUAGUAACAGUAAUAUUUGAAUCAGGUAACACUGAUUUUAUCUUGUAGAAGGGCAAUUUGUCAUUGCCUCCUUCAGGUAUCAGGAAAUUGAAGUAUACAUCAUGUGGUUCACUGUCAAACAAAUAAGAAGAAACAUAUUGGCUAUAUAAGGCACUGAAAAAUACAUGAAGCCACAAUUGCGCCAUUAUAAUAUCAUUUAGCAGUGCAAUAAGCACACAAGUAAAACUAUCCGGUAUCAAUUAUCAAAAGGGUUUGUCAGUUUAUCUUUUGCGGACACCAUUGUUACAUGGAAGUGUGAAAUGAUCAUGAUGAUAAAACACUUAUUAGGCCAAUCGAAAUUCUUCCAUAUCAGCUAUAAAAAGUUCUGGUAGUUAAAGAUCACAGUUAUCAUGCCAAUUUCCUCGCAGUAAAAUCAGUGAGAUAUACAUGAAACAAAGAAACAGAACCUUGAGCUGGACAGGGUGGAGUUCGUCAGCACAGCAAGAGUACGAAGAUCCAGACAGCUUAUCCAAGAGAAGAUCUCUAUACGUCCAGAUAUAUCCUGCAGGAAAAAAAAAUACAAGGGUACUUCAAGAAAGCUAGUACCCUACAUUUUCGAUUUUUGGUAACCCAGACUAACUUGUAAAUGAACCAAACCGUGGUCAGUUCAAACCAGUACCACCACUGGCGGAGUAGGCUAUAAAAUACAGUAAACCACUACACAUAAGUUCGAAUUUAACUCCUGUUGAGUUGAUCGCACAUUUGGCCUUCCCAUAUUAUAUAUACUUCAAGAACCCGCGAAAUGGAAACCGAAUAGCAUCCACUCAAUUUUCCCCAUCCGAGAAAAGGAGUGCACUCUACUGAGUGAAGCAGUUAUAAACUGACUGGCACCAAUAAAAUGGCAAUCCCAGUCAUUUGAAUGAAUCUCAUGCCAGCGAUACCGUGGUUGUGGAGGUGAAAUACGUUGAAGAAAUCAAUGGGCAGGGAAUACAGCUCGAAUCACACGCAGGGAACAGACAUGGGGGAGAGCCCGGGGGUGGGACAGACAGACCGAGACGGGGCAGCAGAGAGCAGUAGCGUACCAAGGGGUGGCGCGUGGGGUCGAAGGGGACCCAGUUGCGGCCGGGGUCGGCGGGGUGGCGGAAGUGGGUGGCCGGCAGGAACUGGAGGCCCCCGAGCACGAGGACGGCGGCGAUGGCCAGCAUCUGCAUCCCCGGCCACGGCCGCGGCGCCGGCUCGACGUCGCAGUGGAUGGCGGGCGGGGGCUGCUGCGCCCUCGCGUUGGCCGCGGCCGCCGCGGGGCGGCGCUGGAGGCCUUCCAUGGUGGUGGUGCGAAUGGCUCGAACUUGGGGAAGUCGUCGUCGUGCCCUGCAGCGGGGGUUUGUAGGCGCAAGGCCGGCCUGGCCUUUUUUUCCUUUCCGGUUCUUUUUGGAUCUUAUGGGUGAUCGGGCGGUUCGUUUUAUGCAAGUGCCAACACCGGUUUUGCUAUAUUUGUGCGCUGCCAUCUCAGGAAAAGCCUGUACUUUACUGCCUUGUUAGGAACAAAUAUAUUUUCUUGUAAUGAAUUCUCCAGGUUGGAAUAACUCUUGUUCGAAGCCAUUUUGAAUUGAAUGGUUCUUACAAAAUGACAGGAAAAUCUUAUUUGGUUGUUCUUUGUUUUGGAGGAUUUAUAAAGCAUUUAAGUCAAAUGUAACACGACUUACAUGAAUUAGAUGCACCAAGAGUUAUGGAACUAUUGGAUAGGUGCCAAGUUUGUCUUCCAUAAAGAUAAAUACCUAUGCUAGGUUGCAAAGAUCGAGUUACAACAUCUCUUAAGUUUGCCAUAGACCCAUAGUACUCUCUGGAUCAAUAUUACUUGUCGCGGCUUUGUUUAGAUACGUAUCAUGUUUCAUUGUGUAUGUACAUGCUUAUCUAAACAAAACCGCAACAAGUACAUGGAUCGGAGGGAGUAGCUCCAACCAUGUCGAUCAACUAGCACACAAGUGUUAGGACUAAAUUGAGCCAACGGAUCAAGCUUAGGAUGCCGAAAGAGCAAUUUGCGAGUGCGAGGACUGAACUGAGGCCAUCGCCCAAAGUACAGGAACUGCCCAUGUAAACGGAAAUUUUGAUCAUCAGUUUGCCUUAUUUCUAUUACUUUCUCCGUCCAAUAAAGGAUGCCUCAACUUUGAUUAAAUUUACAUGCAUCUAUACACUAAGUAUGUCUAGACUCUAGAUACAUCGAAAUUUUGACAAACUUGAGCCAUUUUUUAUUAGCAGCACGCAUGAAGCAGUAGCACUUUUUUGAUGAUUUACCGGGGGAGGCAGAUGCUGGCCACAUGGGCCAUCUGUAAAACUGAGUGAGACAGGGACGGUCUGCCCAAAUAAUUGCCCGCCCUGCAGGUUUCGGUCUUUCUCCACUCCGGCUUCGCGUCCGGCCUUCCGGUCUAUCCCCACUCACCAGUCAUCACUCCCCCACCCCACUCGCCCCCCACCCCCUUUAACCCCCAUCACCGCCGCGCCCAGCCGCCGACACAAAGGCCCGCCUCCCCUCCCCUCGCCUCGGCCCGCAGCGUGGCCGAACCAUCCAGCCACCGUCUGUGCGCGCGGCCAUGGCCGGUGGGCCGUCGUCGUGGGGCCCGAGCCCCGCGGCCGUGACGGCGCUGGUGGCGCUGGUGGGGCUCGGCCUGGCCGGCUACAUCGUCGGGCCCCCGCUCUACUGGCACGUGGCCGAGGCGCUGGGCCGCUCGCCGGGCGCCUGCCCCGCCUGCGCCUGCGACUGCGACGCGCUCCCGCUGCUCUCGCUACCCGAAGGUGCGUGCGCGCCUACCGUCCCGCCGCCGACGCACCUAUACCCCGCCCAGAUCUCGCUCGCUGCUCCACCGUAUCGCUCUGGAUCUCGCUCGCGGAGCAGAGCCGCUCUUCUUCCUUUUAUACCGUGCUUUUCCACAAUGCGUCUGUGUUUUAGGCUUUUAGCCGCUAGCUAUUUCGUUUCUGCUGCGGGCGAGACGCGAUAAGGUUGUGCAUACAUAUGCAGGUCAUUUCUGAAUGAUUAACUAGAACUAUACAUAACCCUUGAAGCCAGAACAGGCCAUAGGUCAUUCUGUAGCUAUGAAUUGGGAGUCAUUCUGUAUGCCCAACGUAUGACAUAACAUGGCAUGACACUGAAAGGCCGGUGCCUAUCUUGGCUUGAUGCUAAAGUCCCACCUCUGAUGGCUUCCUUUGCCCAUGCUUUUGAUGCAGCUUACAGGUGUCAAAUUGACUACCCUUGCUCAGGAAAUGGAAUAUUUAUGAUAGAUAGAUGGAAAACUCCAGCCAACAGUUGCCUAGUCAGUCAUGAACGCCACAUAUCCUCAAUCUACUCAAACACGUCUGCUUGCUAUCCAUGGAAAUCAUAUGUUAUGUUUAUGUCUCUCUUUACUCUUUAGCUUCUAUCCAUGAUAUAGACCUCGUCAUGUAGUUUAACUAGUAAGCUCAGCUUCUAGUAUGAUUUUUGAUAUUGUGUAAUCUCUGGGCAAUGUUCUGAGCCUGAAGCCUGUCCAGUAACCUACCUCACAGUGUGGCCACCUGCAAAUCUUAGAGGGUUAUGGGGGGUUUCUUGUGUUUGUUAAGAGUGAAGUAGAUAGGCUUCAACUUAUAAGUCAAUAAGCUGAAUGCCAAGUAGAUGAGCUUCGUAUUCCCUUAGUCAAGUGUUUCAUCUGUUGAUCCUUUUCACCAAAGUUGCAAUGACCAUGGCAAAGUUGGAUAAUUUUGUGCCGAUAGCUAUACAGAGAUCGCAAGCUAGCUUAACUGACAAAAUACCUUUUGUCAAUCCCAUAUGUACACAUGGCCUCUAGGUUUCUCCUCUAGCAAGGAUUUAAGACUCAGAAUAUACUAGAGCAUAUUGUACUGUAUUAAAAGUGGUCGAUGACAAUAACCUCUAUGACUUCUAUGAAUAAAGAAGUGCAACUGCAACAUGAACUGAAUGUUUAGGGGUCAAGGCUAUGCAGAGAUUAUUGUGAUGCUAGUAUGCGCAAAUGCCAUGAUCGAUACCUUAGAAGCAUGGUCUUGUCUGGGAACAUAUGUACUGUUAUAUGUAUGUUCAUAUUAAACCUGGCAAAUGAAGUGCUCAUGGAGAUUUAUUUUGCAAUGAUCUAGUGACUGAUUUAACUAGGUCCAAUUGCUUCUGAUAUUUGCAGACUGUGGCAAACAAUUCAAGGAGGUUAGCAGCCGUGCUUCCGGUGAAGAAACAGAGAAGAGUUUCACGGAGCUACUGAUAGAAGAACUGAAGCAGAGAGAGGAGGAGGCGACGCAAGCUCAGCAACAAGCUGAUGUAAAAUUGCUCGAGGCCAAAAAGCUCGCUUCACAGUAUCAAAAGGAGGCUGACAAAUGCAGUUCAGGCAUGGAUACAUGUGAAGAAGCUAGGGAGAAGUCAGCAGACUCACUGCUCGAUCAAAAGAAACUGACUGCUUUGUGGGAGGAAAGGGCUCGGGAACUAGGAUGGAAACCCGGGAACGGCAAAUCACAUGGGAAUCAGUAGGCGAUGGAUAUGGCAUGCCGAGCAACAGAGAUCUCGUUCACCUCUGGUGACCUCUAUAUCCCUUUCUGCUGCCACGGGCUUCCUUGUCCAUAGCUAAUUUUGUAUCCAGCUUGUACUAUACGGCCAUAGCUGUUUGUGAGCGAUAUGUUAAAUUGGUAUGAAACUCGUCACCUGUAGAUCUUGGAAGUGAUUAUUGGUUGUCUACGAUGGUGGUAACUGAGGAGUUGAUCUUAUUUCUACCAACCUGACGAAGUAUGACUUGUUUACUUCCCAAAUCACCGUCGUCACGUUGGCAUUCAUGUGUCAGUCCGAUGCCAUGAGGUUUCCCUUCCUGUAAAAUACUAUGGUGUGAGGCAUUGUCCCGCGGACGCAGCUUACCUGACGGGCUGCAGGGUAACGUAAGGCUACUGACAUGUGGGCCCCACAAGCCAGUGGCCCCCUGCGACAGUACGUCAGGAAUCCAUCUCCCUGUGCCGCUUGCCGCUUGCUGAUACUAGCAGAGGCGAUAUUUUUCUUUUGAAACUUGCUUGAGAUGACGGUUUAGUAAAAAAGAGACCCCCGAAGACGCGGUUACCCCGAAGAUGCGGUUAAAAAAAAGGACUGGUGAAGACUUCUCUAAAGUAUGUCAGUACUUGUCCAUUGCAAAAUCUGUUGGUUGGGUGAGACAGAAUUGAGCAACAUCGGUUCCUAACUUCCUAUAAACUCCAAAUGGUAUUUCAGCGAUCAUCUACAGAGCAGUCAACAACAUGACAUCUUACGAACAACAACAUUCUGUUACUGUGUUAGGCAGUUGAAGCAAAAUCUCGAGGGCGGUAUAAAGUUGACAGUACACGAAAAACUUCAAUUCCAUCCCUGCUUGGUUGCGUCACGGCAGAGCAUCCAAUAUUGUCUAAUGCCAAUAUGCAUCCAGGGGAACGGAGAAGACGGCAGGUGCAGUGUUGUUGGGAUCCUGCCGCCAACCGAGCAAGUGUCAUGAAAGCCACAAAAGGAAUACGAAUGAAUUAAAGAGAUAAGUAGCAACCUUGCACCGCUGAGAAUUCCAUGAGCCAAUUGUUUGCAGAAGGAGAGAGCAAUCCCAUCAAAAGCUUUUCGGUAAUGUGGUCCUAUCACUUGCCCUGCAUUUUGGCUUUGUUUAUGUUAGCAGGAUCUUGGCUGAAAAAAUCAAUAGGAGAAACUGUAUGCUAAAGAUGAUUUCAUUCUUCUAAGAAUGUUUUCUUCAUUUAUCAUAUGAGAUACAAACCUAAGCUGAAAGUUUUUAGAAUACGUGUGUUCAAAUAAAAUGACAACAUGGUAGAAGGAAGUGCUUGAAUAAGAAACAGAGAUAUUUAUAGUAAGAAAAACACAAACAAACAAGCGAACUUGAAAACUUGAAAACUUUCAAUCCUAGCCAUUAUAUCUCAAAUAAACGGAUUGGGUGAAAGGGGAAACCUCUAAUCACUUGAAAACCCCCAACGUGGGAAAGUUUAGAAGUUUUUUCAUAAAAUAUGUUUAAGCCAUUAAAGGUUCCCCCUGUCAUCAGAUCCCUUUAUUUGAGAUCUAAGUGCUAGGAUUAAAAGUUUCCAGGUUUUUGCCGAAUAGAGGUUUUCACAUGAUACGUCGCCAAUAAACAAAGCAAGUAUGGUAUGAACAAAAGAAAGGUGUACAUUAAAGUCUAGAGAGACAACUUACCGAUAGUGUUAUAGUUACAGUGAAGUCUUGAAACUAAAGGUCCUGGAUGUACAUGGACGAGAUGGUCUGUUUGCCUAUCACCAAAUCCACUGGCUGAACAAUAUUCAACUGAUUGGGCAUCCUCUUCAUCAGUGCAUACAGAUGACAACGACACAGGUAGGAGUAAUAAUCCAGCAGGAAAUCUUUGCCUCCUUGUCACCCAUAGAAUUAAUGCAGCAUAUGGAGUACAGUGGAUUAUACAUAUUGCAAUUUCCAAUACUAUGCACAAACAAAUGAUUGUGCUGCUCAACAUAGUGAAGAAUACAUAGAAUAUAGAAGCUGUGGGUAGAAGAAGCAAGACUGGUGUAAACAAAAGUGAACCAACCACAUGUUGUUCAACCGUAUAGUCAUAGCUAUCUAAUCUCUGCCUAAGAGGAUUCCAUUUGCGCCCUCUGUUAAUAACACAAGCAUGUAUUAGCAAAUCUACAAGAAACAUAAGAAGACUCUAAUGGAGAAACAUAAGUUUUGGGGACUUUAGUUGCCAUAGAUUCAUUUAGAACGACCACAAUUGAUUAUUUCCUCACAUAAAUAAGUAACCGGCUAAAAGAGUCAUCAAAAUAAGAUGGGAAACCUCGCAAAGAAAGAAAGAAAGAUGGGAAACCAACAUCAUUCCAAAGUUUAGUUUAAGUUGAGAUGCUCUGGGGCUAUAGCCAACUUUUUAUUAGCAUGUGCUCUCCCUCUACAAGGGAUCUGGCACCACACUUGCUUCUGAACAUUAGAUAUCCAACCAUCCAACUUGUCAGACUUGACAGUGCCAUAUUACUGUGACAAUGCACUGUAAUAAUUUAGAAACAAAAUAUUGCAAUUAGAGAAUAGUUAACUAAUAAAUCUGAUACUAGUAAGCAACAGAAUCAGGUUUGUGUUGCAGUUUCUUUAUACUUGACAAAAUGCCCUGUGGGGUUUUAGUUUUUCUCUUUUUUCAUUUGUUGUUAGCUUGGAGCUAGGGUUUUGGUUCUCUCGGCUUUGCAGGUUUACCCUUCUACACUUUUGUGCCUUGUCAUUUCUCUUCUAAUAGAAAUGAUGCGUGUUUCGGUGCCGGUUUGAAAAAAAAGAGUAGAAAACAGAGUUGGUGGCUUGGUGCAAACCUAGCCAUAUGAACACGUCACAGAGAUAAUGUAUACGCGCAAUUCAAAAUUUAUCAAAAUAUUCACAGUAACAGAACAUGUUAAAGCACAUAUACAUAUAAACUUUCAUAUAAAGGUAGAUGAGAAGUGUACCGUGCAAGAUAGACAAAUGCAUGGUCUUUUGAGCUGAAGUGUAUAAUUUGUUGUCUUCUUGGUAUGGUGCACAUGUGAUCGUAUUUUUGCCAGAAUAUUUUUACAUGUACAUGUUCUAGUACGACAAAUUCCGUUUGAUAAUUUUUUGAAUUCUACAUUAACAUAAAUUCAAAUAGGUUCGUAUGGUCGUAGAUGCAUAAAUACAUUUACCCAGCAAUGUACCAUGUUUUACCUGAAAAGACGCCACAACGAUGUAACUGUCUGAAUCUGCCUUGAGUAUAUCAAUGAGACUAACCACUGAAGCAUGGUAACAUGCAACGUCGCAAGCUGGAUAAUGUCUAUGAAGAAUGAAACAGGAACUGUGAAACCAAAAAGGAUUCCAGAAAAUGCAAGGCCUCGAACUAUAUGCCUCAGGACGCCUCCCAUGAUGAACCAAAGGGUAGAAUAAAUCUGGAUUGCAUUCAGAGAAAUCAUGCCUAGAAGCUCCGCUAACUCUGUGUUAAGCUUAAAGCCUGCUGGAACACCCAUCAGCCACACACAACCAGAUCUCAAGACAGCAUCUGUCAUGUAGUGGAGAAGAGCAAAAGUCCAAGAACAAAUAAUCUCUGUGUUUAACAAUAGUGCUGCUCCAAGGAUGAAACCCAUCAGAAGAUCGAUGAUAAUACUUGACCACAAUGCAUGCUUCUGGAUCGCAGCUCUGUGUGCAUAUUCGACAUUCACAGAGGAGCUGCAGAGUAUAAGCAGUAAGAUGCUUAGAUAAUGCACCAAGAAUAACUGAAGAGAAGCUUAGUGUUAAGAAUAAUUUAUUUAUCAUCACUACUAACAGCUAAUAUAUGUCAUCUCAACUUCAGUAUUACAGAACAACAAAGGUUCAUUAUAUGAAGGUUGGCAUGAACCAACAAAACAGAAUGAAAUGUUAUAAAUAUAUAAAAGGGAAAUGUAUAACAAUGCCACUCGUCAACUCUGGAACUCUAGAUGUACCAUUAGUGUUCGUGCUAUUUGAAAAUGCCAUUGCUCUGUCAGCUCUCUUUCCUUUUUAUCAUGCCGAGACCUUACAGUCGGGUCAAAACCCUUACUGGCCAGGCUAAUUUGGUUCCCAAAAUGCCCUCCUUCACAACCCAAAUCAUUUUUUCCUGAUUCAACCCCCUUGUCCAAAAUCUCUACCCAAGUUCUAUCUCCAGGAUUGAAUCCCCUGCCUGAUUAGUCAAUCCUAUCUCUCCAGCUGUCCAGCCUCCACAUGGCCGUGAGGCCACAGGCUUACCUCCACAUGUAGCAGCAGGAAGAUGCCUCAGGCUCUGCUUCAUCAACUGCCACUCUGUUAAUGACCAGAGGAUGAGCAGCACUAAUAGAAGCAUGCAAAGUAUGGUGCAGGCACAGCAUGCGGCGCAAUAGCUGUUAUCAACGAGGAGGAAGACGAUGAGUUAGAAGAUGAAGUUGAGGUACAGGCGCAUCGUGGUAGAGGUGGUGGCCGUGUCUGGCAAGGCUGCUGAUCCAUGAUGAUGCUGGUGGAUCAAAUUGCUGCCGCGUCGACAACAUGGUAGAAGAAUGUGAGAGGAAGAAGAAGAAAUACGACGUUGCUGUUCACGUUGCAGGUAGGGAACAGGGAGCUAGUGCAGAGCGUGUGGCGGUGCCGGGAGCUGAGGCACAAGCCACUCUUUGUUGUCAAGCCAUACUGCAUUAAUUUUGCCACCUAAAUCAUCCAUCAUACUACUAAUUACUUUAUCAACAACCAAAAGGAUUUUCAAUCUAGUACACCGUACAUAUACAGUUCUUGCUACUAGAUAGUAAUGUAUUCCUGUAACUUUGUUCUAUCAAGCUAUCCACCUGGCUGUAGCUUCCCUCCAUUUGUUGUCUGUAUUAGCCAUUAAUUUCCUCACGAUCAUUGACUUAAUUAUUACUACUGUUGACCUGAGGCUGAUAAGAUCCAUCCAUCCAUGGACACGCAGACGUGGCGCAGAUAGCAUUUGUCUUACCAUCAAUCUACAGUAGAGAUGGAGACGAUUUAUAUAUGUACGUACGUAAGUUUCCGUGUGUGCCACCAAGGGCCAAACCGGUCAAAGAGCCUUGACCAGACGGUAACGUCUCUGCAUGGCAAAAUGGAAAGAGAAACCAACAGGGCAAUGACAUUUUCAUAAAUAGCAAAAAAUUAACGGCACACUUAAAAUUCCAGAGUUGACUAGUGGGAUACUUGCAUUUAUAAAUUUCUCAAUACAAAAUACAGUAGUUAACCAUCAUAAAGAAAAUAGACCAGUUCAGUUCAGCAACAGUAACCCAGUUGGCACGUCUAGAAUAACUACUCAGUGGUCACUUAAGUUACAAGUAAAUUCAGUAGCACCAGCCAAAAUUACCUUAGGGAGGUAUCUUGGAGUAUAAUUGGCCACUAAAGAAUUUGGAAAAUACUAUUGAUAUGAAAUACUCCCUCCUUUUCACAAAGAAUGGCGCCCACGUUUUUCGAGGUCGAACUUUGACCAACAAUUAGACCAAUUGUAUGUAGAUUAUGUUACACAUUUUAUAUCGUUGAAAAGGUUUUUGAAAUACGAAUCCUUUUGCAACAAAUAAACCUCAAAUCGUUAGUUUAAUUGUUGGUCAAAGUAAAAUCUUGAAAUGCGUGCGUGCCAUUCUUUGUGAAAUGGAGGGAGUACAGUAGUUAACUAUCAUAAAGAAAACAAACUAGGUCCGUUUGGCAAGAGUAACCCCAUUUGGCAUGUCUAUACAAGAUAACUAGUUAGCGGCAACUUAAGACAGUGAUAAAUUCAGCAGUAGCAUAGGCACUCUUAAGUUUACCUUAGGGAGGUAUCUUGGAGGAAAAUUGGCCAGUAUAGAAUUUGGCAACUACGUAUAUGGAUAUUUCUCCAUGAAUGUCUGAAAACCUUUUGUAACAUGAAAUACUCAGGCAUAUGGCUCAAACAUUUUUGAAACAAUUGAAUGAUGAUGUAGACGAUAGUCGAUACAAAAGUAAAAAAUACUCCUGUGAAAUGUUGUACCACCUGAACCAAGGCAUCAAAUCUGAAUAAACAAAUAACAGCCAUGUAAGAGAAGAAGAAAACAGUGUCCAUCACAGAAGAGUAGAGAAAGGAUGAUUCUUACAUAGUUGCAAAAAAGACAUGAGCGACAGAACUAUUGGCAGCAGUUUUCCAAGCAACUGGCAGUUUAGCUGCAUUUGAACAAUUAAGCGCCAAAACAAUCGGAUCCUUCAAAUAUAAAUGUAAACAAGAUUAUCUAAUUGUUCAAAAUAAUACUAAUAACGUUUAAAAGCAUCAAGGCACAUACCAAAUCAAGAACUGAUGGUUUCUUUUGCAGAUUAUUUAUCCAAUUUGGCACUUUGAAGGGGGUCUUUAACCUAUGAGGUGCAUCCUCACCCAGGGAAAAAUGACUUCUACCAGCAAUUGGAACAUCAUACAGUAUAACCUAAAUAAAUUGAAAUGUCUGAAGUAAUUGGUCACAGUAAAACGAUUGAACAGCAAAGAUGGAAAGAAAUUAAAACUAUGGUUAUCACAAAGAUGUUAGGCAUGAGAGUUGACUUACAUACGUGCAAAUGAUUAAGUUCAACCUUCUGGUUAUCAAGAUACAAAUGAUGAAGCACUGGAAUUUGGUUCAUAUUGCAUCCAAAGCUCUUUUCAGACUUGCAGCAGAAGUGCACCCACUUGCCACCUUUCACCACUGACUUCUUGCAAGUGUCCAUAAAACCAUCUAAUACACUACAAUCACAUUCCUGAUUUCUAUUAUUUUCACCUCGGGGUAGAUUUUCACUUCCUAGUGAUCCAUUUGAUACAACAGAACUGCCUUGGUUUGUGUCAAAAUGCUGCUUCUGAAAAACUUGAGUGUGCAGUGGUUGACAUUUUUGUUUACAACAACAGACUUCAAAAUCUCUUGGAAGAUGCAUAACACAAUCCCCAAGGAUGGUAAAUGCAGCAGAUUCUUGUAGCCUCACUGGCAUCCUUUUGUUUGAGGAAAGGAUGAUGGUCUAACAAGAGAGAUAACAUUGAGAAAGGAAGACAACAAUAAUAAAAACAACUAAAAGCAAUCAUAUACUAAAGUCAAUAAUGCACUCAAUCCUCACAUCUCAAGUUUCGUACAGGAAUUAUGAAGUUAGCAACUAACAAUGAUCUUGCACUACAUGCCGUAUCCCCCUUCUCAUAAUGUAUGUAUCCCCAAUUUUUAUAAGGGGACUGGUGAAAACCACAUGGAAACUAUAUUUAAAGUUUUCAACAAUACUAACAAAAUACUCCCUACGAUCCAUAUUAGUUGUCGAAAUAUUACAUGUAUCUAUACGCUGUUUAGUCAUAGAUACAUCCAUAUUUGGACAAAUUUGAGACAAUUAAUAUGGAGUACCCCCUCCGAUCCAUAAAAAGUGUCGCCCACUAUCGGAGGGAGUAUAGUGGGGAAUGAUGUUUAUAAACAUGUAAAUUUUGAGCUCAAACUCAAAUUAAUAAUGGAGGUACAAAACAAAUUCAACAGAGAAUAAUGGCAAACAGUAAGCAUCACCGUUCAUGCUUUUACUUUUUACAUACCUCCCAAAUAAAAUAAACGUGUGUCCCAUUCACAGUAUGCUCUAAGUGCAGCUAAAAGUCAACCGUGGUAACAAAAUCAAGAAAUGUUUACAUUAACAAGAAAUUAGGAUUGUUUGGCUGGUUACCACAUUUUGCAUUGUAGUUUGUCUAUGCUAUAAAUGGAAAGAACCUACUCAAAUGUUUUGCCUUCUUAAGUGUGUGAUAUGUAUUGAAUUAGGUUAAUACGCCUUAAAACAGCAAAACUUGAAUCAAACUGAACACUGCCACACAAACCCCAACUAAAACCCUACUUGAAUUGAAUCCGAGAUAAGCGGAACAAAAAUGGCAAAGUGUACUUCAUCUACCAUUCAUACUGCUGUAAUGUUGCCAUGACUGACCUGGAAGGUGUCGACGCUAGGGAAGGACCGCAAGAUCUCUCCCUCGGAGACGAAGUCCGCGACGACGAUGUCGACAGAGCCCGCGCGGGAGAAGAGCCAUCCGAGCAGAACGUAUCUGGCAGAGCCGGACUCCAAUCCGGGCUGAAGCUGCUGGCGCGGCCACCAAAUCCUGCACCGCUCCAUGCAGGGGGCGGACUAGACGUGGGGCAUCGAGGGAGGGUCGGCGGCGGCGUGAGGUAAGGCCGGUGGUUGCGGCGGGGAGGAGGACCGGCAGUGGGAGUGAAGGAGGGGCCGGCGGCGGGAGGAGAGGAGUUGAGAGGAGGGCGGAGGGGAGAGAGGCGGCGGGAGGAAGGGGCGGACGGCGAGCUGAAGCCGAGUUGCUCGGGUCAGGCUCUGGGGAAACGGGGGUGUUUCACGGGUGGCAUUUGGCAUUUGGUGAACAGGAGCACAAUUUCGGACGCUCUCAACUCUCAAGGGGCGAGAACAGCAGUCCCUUCGAUUCAUAUUAAUUGUCUUAAAUUUGUUCAAAUAUAAAUAUAUUUAUGCUUAAAAAGCAUCUAAAUACAUGUAAUAUUUCAACAAUAAUAUGGAUCAGAGUGAGUAUUGAAAUUCAACUAAGGCUCAGUCUCACUCUCAAGUGCUAUUCUCUUGAAGAUGGACUUUGGAUUGUGAGAAAGGUGUAUUUAAACAUAGGAAGCUGAAAAACAGUUGAGCAAAAGUCCCCGAAUAAACGAGGGACCAAGGGAGCCGACUACUUAUAUAGGCAUAUAUAAAAAAACUAAAUGUUACUUCGCUUACAUUUCAAAUAAUGAAGCAACUCGGUGCUACGGACUUCAACUCGACACUUCUUAGUUUACUGCAACGGCUAGGUUGACUGGUUUGACUAGUUGGAGCAACGCUGACUCAGACACACUCGGAAUCGAUUAAUUAAGUCGACGACCUCGACAUCAAACCUGGUUCCUUUGGUUUCUCUCAACCAACUUCUCAGGAAACUGCCAAACGAGAAAAUGGUGGUUCACACACCAAACUCGGUGGCUGUGAGAUUUCAACGCCAAGGCACCAAGCCCUAUCUUCAGAUAGGCGACUUAGUGAUGUCAGGACCAAACCUCGAAACACCUGUUUGCACUCAAGGAAAGUUUCCAAAUUCUCCCGAACAUGAAAUUAAAUUGGUGAUACUUAGAACCAACUCGGAGACACGACAAUUCACAAUGAAGCACUAUAUACAAGAGAAAGAGAAAACUCAGAAACACCAGCUUCACCCCUGGACGGUUUGGAUUUGAAGCACACUCAGAAGGAAGUUGAGUAAGAUUUUGAUCUGAAUGGAAAACUAACAGUACCAAUGAAAAACUCGAUACUUUCACCUUUGCAGUUCGGAAUCUGGCAAACAUGAAACACACCCCCAACAGUGUCGACUUUAAUCCCGGUCCCACCACAACAAUUAGGGAAGCAUAGAAGCUCUGGGUUUUCUAGCUCCUUUUGAAUAUUUGUAUAAAAUUAGGCCUUCCAGAAUAUGAUACGUUAGAUUUGAAACUUUCAUCUCUUCCUAAAUUUUUGUGAAUGCGACAUUUUUUAGGAUGUGUGUAACGCCCAACAUCACUCAUGGCAGCUCUCUAGGCUCAAGACUGUCCUGACAUACCAAUACAAGUCUUUCCAGCGCACUUUGUGCUCACUCAUGUGCUUCCAAGAUAAACUUCCUGGUCCGUUACCCAUCCUCAAAUUGUUGUGCCCAAUGCGCUCCCGAGAGAAAUUUUCCAGUCGGUCACCCAUCCUCAAAUUGCUCCAAGCAGAUGGGCUCCCAGAAAAGAAGAUGCACCUUAUUGAUAUAGGUAGUCCAUCAAUCAUAUAAAGCAUAGGCUAGUAUGUCACACACACAUCCCUCCUCGAAGGACCUGACAUCCUCGUCAGUCACAUGCCUGAACCAGAUCGUCCCCUCUUGGCGCACACCAAUCUGUACCGUCCCAACGUCACUCUUGGCAGCUCUCCAGGAAAAGAAGAUGUACCUUAUUGGUAUAUGUAGUCUAUCAAUCCUAUUAAGCCAUAGGCCAGUAUGUCACAGUGUGGCUAUAUCUCAGGCGCUUGAUUUUUAAGCAAAAGCUUAAAUCUCAGUCGACGCAUGAGAACAGUUGGAUUAAGAUCUACGAAGUAGAUGGCAUCUCUACUCUCAUCUCUCACAUGCUGUCAUUGGAUUAAGUUUCAACGGUCAAACAAGUCGACUAAUCUCUUACUAAAUAACAGCCAAUUUCUCAAUGGCAAAACCUUUUUUUUUCCAAGUGACGCAAUAAACAUAACAUUCCGUAACAAAAACACCAUAUGAAGAGGACAGAUAAGGUUGGCACUCAUAGCUUCAUGACAAGAAUCUAAAUAUCAGAAAAUAGGUGUUGUAAAUGUAAUUAUCAUGGCGGAGUAAUAACCAAGACAUCUCUUUUGAGAUAUCCAAUUUAAUUAGUGAACAUUUAUAUUGUUAGAUUGGAUCGGCUAGAACGAUUUGCAUCAAACAUUACAUUAACACGUAAUUUUCUAUAUCGGUCUAGAUAGAUAAGGAUGUACUCUCUCCGUCCCAAAAUAAGUGAUGUAAAUUUGUAUAGGUUCUUAUGCAAAUCCAUGUCACUUAUUUUGUGACGAAAGGAGUAUUUUACAGCAGUAUACUCUUGUAAAUAAAAAUCAUUAAUUAAUACUCGUUCAUUUCUUUUACUAGCAUCAUCUUAACACCUCCCGAAAAUCGCUCCCGUCCAAAUAGGAAAAUCAGCCAAAAAGUGUCAGCAAAAAGCCCAAAAAGGCCACGCACGGAACGUCGGAACGCGGCACAUGAAGCAGAGAACAGGGGCGGUGGGGCCCGCGCCCGGCCUUCCACUCGCUGACUGCGCCUUCCAGUUUCCCUCUCCCCGAGCUUCCUCCUCCGCUCCGAUUUUAAAUUUCGAAACCCCCUCCUGCUUCUACCUAAACCUCGCCCCCCCUUCUCCGUCUCCUUCUCUGGCUGCCUGCCACUGGGCGCACGCGGCACGCACGACGCAAUCAGCUCCGCGAGGCGGAUGAAACCUCGGCUCCGCAGCUCGGAGAUUCCGUGCCAGCUGGGGAAGGGGACGCGGUGAGGAGGAGGAGGAGAUGGGGUGCUUGUUCGACUGCUUCCGGGUGGCCGGCGGCGAGCCGAGAGCCGGGCGCUCCCGUGCCCAUCUCGUGUCCUCCGUGGCCCCGGCCGCUAAUCUCAAGGUUUUUGUUUAUUUUUUCUUCUUCGUGCCCCGUGAGGGAACCCGUGUUUCGAUUCUGCGACACACGGAUCAGCUAGCCGCGGCGGCGGCGGCGGGGACUGAUUAUUAAGUUUUGUCUGUGUUGAUCAGUUUGCCGAGAGGAGGGGGAAGCCGUCCAGGAACGCGCUCUCCGCCGUGUUUUUGCGCGAAGGUGAGCAUUUCCGCCUCGAUUCUUCUCAUUCCGUUUUAUUCUCCUGGUGUGGUUCUGAUGCCGUCAUGUGCUUCCUGUUGUUUUUGGUUUUGAAUUGUGGGUGAAGAUGACGGAUCGCGUGCUGCGAGCUCAGGGACGAACCACGGCGCUGAUAGGCAAAAGGUGGAUCGGGAGCUCAUGCACGAGGUAUGGUGAUCGGUUCUGCCAAUCUGGCUCAAUGCAGAUCUGUUACCUUGAUGAGCUAUAUCAUGCGAUUUGAACUGAAUUUUUCUGACUAGUGACAGCAUAAGAAUGUGUUAUGCCACUAUUGUUCUAGAAAAGUAUUAUGUAUUUAUGUCAUCAUUGGUGAACUGAAUCAUGGGGCUUGGUUUUUCGGGCAACGGGUGGGAGUGCUGUACAUUGUGAUUCACACUGAUAUCCUGAUAAAAAAAAUAGCAUUGCACUUGUGAGCUGGCCAUUGUUCAUUUGUUUGAUUGCACUGACCCACUGACAUAGGAAUUGAAGGCUUCAAGCCAUUGCAAGUUCCAUUUGUGUUUAUAAUGCCUAUCCUUGGUUUUUUUAAUCUCUGAAAUCUACUCAGUUGCUGUAGCUAACUGCUAAUUUUGUAUAUGAGGAUGAGAAUUUUGUUACUCAUACAUGAGUCACUGAAGUGACACAGAUUGUACUCUUAGUAGUGAAUUUAUCAUGUUAUUUAUCUUUCUUCCUUUUUGGAGGUGGUCAUGUUACUUAUCAGUGUGAUGUUCUGCACAACAGACUGACUUUCACCGGUAUUAACAGGUCACUUCCCUCAAAAACGGUGGUGUGCAGUUGGAAACUCCAAAGGAAAUUAGAAAAGGGCCUGAAAGCACGGAUCCAGUUUACCAGACUGAAACACAUUCAGCACGGCUACCUGCCUUUUGUGAAAACUUGGAUCUCAUGGAAGUGCUGAAGGCUGAGGAUUGCCAAACUCCUCCAGGGUCUCAUCAGAGCUCCCAUUUACCAGAUGCUAUGAGGUAUGCCAACCUCGAUCUGCUGAUAAUACUAAUGCAUUUAUUCUGUUCCCUGCUUCUGAAGAUACUGGGGUCUUCCUGUUCACCGUAAUAAGUGAAUACAUUGAACAUUUUGGAUGUUUUAUUUCUUGAUGGCAGCUCUUCUUGGAAAGGUUGUGAUGCAUCAAGUCAGCACGAUCCCCAACCUGUGAGUAAGAGCAUAGAAUCAUGCAGGGUGAAUAAUGAGUCUGUGAUUGACUCUGUGAUCCAGUUACCGACCUUAGAUUCAUGCUCUUCCAAGUCUUCACCCUUUUCAACUCCUUCAGAAGUGAAUGCUGAGAUACAGCUCCCAGCUACUACUCAUGCACCUAACUUGGAAGAGGUUAGGAAUGAGAACAGUACUAGGGCUUCUUCGCAGCAUUUAUAUGAAGCUCUGAAUCCUGUUGAAGAUUUCAAAAAUUCUGAAGUGUUGAAAGAAGACCCCUGUCAGCCAGAUAUAUCAGAUGAGAAUCUAAAAUGCGCAAACAAUGGCAGUCUGAUCUCGAUUGAACUUUCAAUGUCUGAUGAAUGUUCCCUGUUUCAGAACUCUGAUGGUUCUGCAUCAUCAUGUAACAAGAUAAGUGAUAGCAUGAACACAGCUUCCGCAGAUAAUUGCGUCGCCUCUGAGGCAACAGUUCUUGACAGCAGAAAGAAGGUGACUACAAACAGUGGUUCAGAUGUGGAACUCCCAAGCCUAUCCCAGUGGUUAAAGCCUCCAAAUCCUAGAAAGGUGAUCAUGGAUGGGACCGAUACAAGCGACAGAGUUCAUUCUGCUAAGAGUUCUGAAGAGGAUAGGCCUAUCAUUGGAAUGGUUGCAGCUCACUGGAAAGACGGAGAGCCAGAGAAUUUUACUCCUAAAUGGUUCGAUGGAAAUGGCAUUCCAAACUCAACAAAUAAGUACAAAGAAGUAAAGUCUAUUUCUGCUUCUCUUACUUUCUAUUAAACAUGUAAAUGUGGCAUGCCUACAAAUAAUGUGUUACAUGAUCAGGACCAGAAGGUGAGUUGGCAUGCGAUGCCAUUCGAGGAGAGGCUUGAAAAGGCUUUAUCUGAAGAGAAGUUGCUUUCCCAAAGGUUCAGAAUUUUCUUCUAUUUCACAAAUUUCUUGAAUGCCCUGAGUGCAUAAUCAUACCUUUGAGCAUGGUGUAAUGUCUUGUUUGAUUUUGGCAGGAAAUGCUCCAGCGGAAAUACAUCACAGUUUUCAGGUGUAGAAGGUGAGGAAAGUGAUACUGCUGCAUCCAACCAUCUAUAUGUCACUGCUUUUACAUGAUAUUUGGUCUGCAAAGAGUUAUGGAGCAUCAAGUUAAUAUGGUUUUCUUGCUGCCACAUUCGUGAUUGAUGGCUUCUGCACAGUUCUGUUCCCCUCUACUGUCCUUCAGUAGGUGGCUCUCAGGAACAAUAUUUUUGUCGGUUACUAUGUAUUGAUGAACCAAUGUUCCAAAACAAAUCAACAUGGUUGAUUUCAUAUAUAAUUGGUAUCGAGAUUCUCAACUUGUGCUGCUCACUGUUCUAUUCUGUUCUCUUCUUUGUGCUGUACUACUUUCUUUUAUGUCUUGUGUGAUAUGCAUUUUUAAUUCUACUACUCGUACUUGUAUUUUAAGUUAGAGCAUGCCUUCCACAGCAGAAAAAUGGUCACUUGUUUCUGUUUGCCUUGAACAAAGUAACAAAUGGAAUCCAAUUUCUUAUCCUUCUAUAAGUUAUUGUCUUCAGUGGUGCUUUUGUUCAAUUUGAAUUUGCCUUUCUGUCCUUGUCUGUGACGAGGUGUAGGUUUUGAAUUUGAUUGUUUCUAGUCUAACACUACUAGCUCCGUAGUUCGCCCAUUCUGUUAGUAUUGCAUUCUGUACUUGAACCCGUAAAAUCUGCUUAUGCAACUAAUCUAAGUCCUAACACGGAUGAAUAUCAUAACCUGAGCAGUUAAUUAACACGAGAAAAAUGUUUGAUCUGGUUGGAUGUUUCAUGCUCGUAUGGUAUUUAUAUUACAGUUUGUUGAAUUUAUAGAUGGUGAUUUCAUCUUCUAGGAAGCCCUUUCAGCCUCCAGAAUGGUACAUCCUUUUCUUUAACUUAACUGGACAUGGCAGUGACCUAAGCAAAGAUGUCUUCUGAGUUUGAUAUAUGGAUUGCCAUGUAAAUCUUUAUUCACUGUCAUACUUCAAGUGAUUCAAACACGUUGAAACACAGCAUCAACUUGGGAGAAAUUUUGUUUAUUCCCUCUAGUGUGCUGGAAGAGUCAAAUAAGAGGGUCAGCACAAGAAAACUUGAAAACGACACAUCGAUUACUUUCGUAAUUUUAACAUCAUAGAUAAUAGUUUUUUGGUCUACAAAUGACAAAAUCUAUCAGAUCAAUUGUGUAGAUUGCACACGGAAGUGCGGAUCAUGCGCAGCUUUGCAUGACUUGUGGGGGCGUAAACCAGUAGUGACAAAACUUAUGCCGACAGGGCUGAUUAUCUUAGCUCCAUUUGACUCUGAAAAUGACAAUAAAUCUGGAGGAAAUAAAAUACUGCUUGUACAUUCUGAUGUUCAGUAUGGAGCAGCACGGCUGCAAUUUUUAAUCUUUACUCUUUGAAUAGUUUCUGCACAUUUCCACAAAGCUACAGAACCUGUCAUGUAUAUGCUUAUCUGAAUGACCUGAACAAGUUACAACAGGAGUGCUCACACAUUGGUCGAUGGAAUAAAACCAUGAUAAGUCAAAGAUUUUUUUUUUUGAAGUCAUGAACUAGUCUGAAGCAAAUAUUCUUUACUUUCUUACACUACCACACACACAACUCAUACAUUGCAUCACAAGCACAUAUACUUCACACAUUAGAUCGCCAGAAAGGAGAAGAAGAAAGAAAGCCCUCUGUGGCGAAGUCUAUCAGCCGGACUAUUGUAUGCGGCCUCUGUGGCAGGGCCCUGCGUGUCCGUCCCUCACUUGACAGCAUUACCUGCUUUGCCGGCGAAUUCUGUAUGCAUCUAAGCAUCUAGCCAAUCUACGUUCUGAAUUCUGAAGAUCGUUCUGAAGCUAAGCAAAGCCCUUUCCCUGCUGUUCAAGCGUAUCUGUAGUCAUAAAUCGCUGCUGGAUGUGGAUCAGUGACCUCCAUCAUCCUGGCGAUCUCCUCCAAGUACCCGUCGACCUUGUACAAGUCACUGGCGGCGGCGAGGCUGUGAUCAUUCAGGUGAAAGGCAAUGGGUGCCGAUGCCGGAUUCAGCGGUUUUUGGUCCGGCAACGGCAGCGUCGGAGGUGGAACGCUGCUCCAUUGCCCCUGGAACUGCUGGCUGAAGAAGCCGCCGUUCGUCGCGCCCAGCUGCAGGUUACCAUGGUGCUGUUGCACGUGGGGGAUAAUGCACGGAGGACCGGUCGUUGCUGCUUGAGCCAUGUAGUCGUCGCCGCCGCCGUCCGACGACUCGAAGCUCCCCGCCGUGUUGGAGCUCGAGUCGGCGGCGACGGCGGUGGACACCGCUGCUGCCGGCGGCGGCCUCCACGUCUGCUGCUUCCUAUAGGUGAUGUUCCUCCUGAAGAUCCUGCAGAUGGUCCACACCUCCUGCAUUUUUUUUCCAGACGCAUGGGUCAAUGGUACGAUCACACUGAUAGCAGCCGAUCCACACGUGCAGGACCUAGCACAACGACUUGUCCAAGUUGCCGGAAACGGAACAUGAUGAAGAGUAUGCAUAUGCUACUUACAGCUUCCUGCAUGCUUGGGGAGGCGUUGGCAGCGGCGGCGGCAGGGAGACGGAACUCGUGCAUCAUCCAGUCGGUCUUGGUGCCCUUACCGGCGCUGCCACGGUAAUAGACGAGGGACUUCUUGAGGCCGAUCGACUCGCCGGAGCUCGCCGCUGCGGCGGAGUAGAUCGGCCGGUCGAUGCCCGUGGCUUUCCAGAACCCGGAGCCGGUCACCCGGUUGGGUCUUAUGCUGUUCCGGUAUUUCCUCCCCCUGAGGCAGAAGAAGUACCACUCUUUCUCUCCACCAACCGUGCUCGCCUCUGCACAGACAUAUCAAUCAUUCAGUUUUCGAAUAAAUCCCCAAAGUGUGAAGGAGAUGAGAGUAUAGAUACCACUUAUACAUGAUCCUAUGAUCUAGUAGGAGUGUCAGAUAAAACUCUUGUUCCGAAAAUUAUGUUUGAAGCCAUAGAUUUAUGCGUCAAAAUUAGUGAAGUGUAUAAUGAGAAGCAGGAACAAGAUUAAUUUAACAAGGGCAGCAUGCAUAUGGAGACAUACUUGGGAGAUCCCAUGGGUCGUGCUUGUAGAUGUCCAUCUCCCGGAUGACCUCGAUGCUGAGCGGCUUCCUCGCCACCUUCCGGCGGAGGUAGAAGGUGACCAGCUCCUCGUCGGUCGGGUGGAACCGGUACCCCGGCAGCGCCGCAUCGUCUUCCUCGCCCAGCACCACCUCCCCGUUGUUCUUCACCUUCUCCAUGGCGAUGCUCUGAUUCUGAUCUCUCUCUUCCUUAUAUGUCACCAUGAUCGAUCAACCGAUAUCGCCUUUUGUUCUUGAAGUCUAGCUUCUUGUUAAUCUAUAUGUCUUGCUUGCUGGUGCUGCUGCUUCUGUACCUGUGUGUGUAGUUCUAUGGAUCUUCUUGUGUUGCGUAUGUAUACGGAGGGAGUAUAUAUAGAUAGCAGGCCCUUGCUGGCCCUUGGAAUUUUGGAAGGAGUAAAGCUUCCAUGCAUGGGAGCCACUGCGUGCAAAGGUGGCAGAGAAAUCAAAAGGCGUGAGCUCAUGGCCUUUGACUCGGCUCCGGGUUAAGAGGGGAAGGAAUAUUUGCAAAGGUAUUCGGUUUUUGGUGUCAAGGGUUGAAGCGCUAGGUUUGUCAUCUGUUCAUUAAUGUGCGAUUCACUUGAGUACCGGGUAAAAUGAAACGGACCAUGUUGCUUGUUUCUGACUUGUUUGAGCGACAAUAUGUGUGCAGUUUGUGCGUGUGGACUGAAAAUUAACCUGCAUGACAAAAAGAGACGGGAGAAAAGGAAUAUAGUACUCCAUCUAAAUUCUUGAUUGAAAUUUACUCAAAUAUGAAUGUAUCUAUUCUUAAAAACUGUCUAGAUACAUGUAAUAUUUCGACAACAAUUUAUGAUCAGAGGAAGUACUAUAUUAGUAGUAGUAUAACUUUAGAGGCACUGUAGUGGAGUAGCUUGUAAUCCGUCCUUUACAAAGAAGAAAAGGUUAAGAAUUAAAACUAGCUUGUAGUACGUCGUUUUGACACACAAAGAAACGAACAAUGGAGGGGGAGCGAGAGAUCGAUUGUAGUCGUCGUUGACAGUGGAGCAAAAUUGUGUGAGCCAUGCUGCGGUAGCACGUACACACAUGACACAUGUAACUUCCAGAAGGCCCUUUGCGUGGAUGAUGCGGACGUUGAUUAGUAUCUUACUUAUAAUCUAAGCACUCAACGAGUAAAUGUGUUUACACUCUUUUUUCUACGAAACAGUCGCAAGGAAUUACUUAUUACUCCCUCCGUCUCGUAACAUGAGGCACGCACGCAUCCCUAAAUUUAGCUAACUAAAUAUAAAUUAAAUAAUUAAAAGAUUACAUCAUUAGAAAGUUCUUUCGAUAACGAAUCCAAUGGUGUAUUUUUUGUUAAGAAACAUACAUAUUUAAUUAAUCAAAUUGAGAAUCUAGAAAUGCGUGCGUGCCUCAUAUUAUGGGACCGAGUGACUACGAUUCGUAGAAAUUCGGCCCGGUGCCCCGUUCACUAAUUUCUCCUUUCUCUUUCGGUGUCACGUCACUUUUCUGAUUUUUUUUACAGCGUCAAUUUCUGAUAUUCUUUCUUCCUCUAUAAAAACUCAAUCUCACUCCCAGGUCCAACUAGACCUCAUAUAAUCUUUCAAUUCGAAAAUGGAAAGCUUCUCUUGGUUAUUGUAUUCCUUUUUCUUCAUCUAAGUGCUCAGUCUGCUAAGGGUGUCAAGGGUGGAGCUGCUUAAGCUCAUGGGGUGCACAUGAGCACAUCCACCGGAUCCAAGAAAAAUAUUGCUUUGCAAUCAGUCCAUAGAAAUGCCGUGUGCACCCAUGUAGAAUAUGCCCUAACUUUUUACCGGUCAUUAGGGCAUGUAUAACGAUGGUAAAAAGUUGUUGGUAAAUUUGUCAUGUAGAACUUGAUUUGUGACACGGAAGUGAAUAAACGAUAAGAGAGCAAGGUUGUAUGAACAAUCAUGCACAAGCUACAAAGGUGGAACGCGAGCAAAGCUUAUAAAGAUCACCUCCUGCUAACACACAUUUCAUUGAGUACUUAAGAUGAAUUCUUAGUUGAUGACGUGGACGCUCUACCUUGCGAGCUACUUCCUCCAUUCUACUAUGAUAUAAGGUGCCAAAACAUUUUGAGUUUAGUUUUGAUCAUCAGUUAGAUCGACAAAAUGAGAAUUAUAUGUUAUAAAAGAUUAUACCAUUGAAAAUUUAUUCCGAUUAAGAAGCCAAUGGUAUAAUUUUUGAUCAUCAAUGCUCUUAAAAGAUUAUACCAAUGGUAUAAUUUUUCUAGCACGUAUCAUUGGGCUAUUUGUUGAUCAAAAUUGAAUCUUGAGCUAUGGACACUCGUUAUAUUAUGGAAUAGAGAGCUUAUACCUAAUUGGUUACUGCAGAAAUUUUAGUCCAGUGCUUAGUCUUAAAGGUUUUCAAAUCCACCUAAUUAAGCCCUUGAAUCUUGAAUUCUUAAUCCCUCAGUUCAAAAUGGAAAAAAUUACUACCACUAAAGUGACAACAGACAUAAUCUUCCAAAGAAAAAAGACACCUUUCUUUAAAAGUCCAAUGUACCUUUCUUUCGAAUAAAAGUGUAAUGCAUCAUCAGUUUACUCAAAGUUGCAUGUCAUUUUUUCCUAGUCAAAGAAAAAAAAAUGCAUAUCUUUUGAGUUUGAAAUGUACCUCUAAAAAAAUGUACCUCUAAGUUAAGUAAGAUUUUAACUGCCUCCGAGACAACCAGAAUUUGCCUUCCCGUAAGAAUGUCUAUACACAUAAAUUUAUAUUAUUUUUUUGCAGGUUAUACACAUAAAUCUAUAGACCUGCAGUUUGUAUUAUAGCCUUAUAGGUGCGUCCAAGAAGGCUCUCUUUUUUCUCGAAAAGUACAUCACGUUUCCCAUUUCAUUGCACGCUAACUAUUCAACGAUGAACAGGAUGGCAACACGUGUAUCAGCAGCAAAAAAACAAUGUUCUGUCUUCAACACAAGGUCUCAAGGACGGCUGUACGUUAGUACUACGUGUCGAAGAAUGUUGGAGCUUGGAAACUGGAAGGGGACUACACGACGAAUCCCGAAACGAAGACGAACCUCACCCCUAGUCAAUUUCUCUGGCCCACCCGGCCCAGAUAUCAGCCGCCGCUCUGUUUGCUGCAGGUGGGCCCAUGGGCCACGGCUAUGUUUGCCGCACGCAUGGAGGACUCCCCUGCAUGCAGCCACAUCCACGUCACUCCGCAUGCACGCAGAUCUUAUCCAACUUUUGAUUCUCAACUUUCAAACACAAUUCACGGUAGGCACAUACUCCACAAUAGUCCCCUUUCUAACAAAAAUCACGUGGAGUACCAAUUUAGAAGUGCGAGAAAGUAAAUAAUGUUUCAUUUUAAAAAUGCUAAAAUAAUCUUUUCCAUUGUACUAAAUUUAUCUUGUACUCUUCCUGUUUUCUAAAUUCUUGUCGUUGUUUUAGUAUAAAUUUGAACUAUAACGAUAAGAAUUUAGGAAAGGAUGUAAUAACACUUUUUGAAUCGUUUUGGUUCGUUCGAACAUUGAUUGUAUUGUAAUUGUAAGAUACUCUCUCUCAGUUUCUCCAAGAAUGACUGCACAUGUUUUGAGAUUUAAUUUUGAUCAACGAUUAUACCAAUUGCAAUACUAUAUGGAUUGCGUGCUACAUAAAUCAUGUCAUUGGCUCAGUAUGUAUUGUUUGUCCGAAAAAAGUUUCAGUGGUAAAAAAUUAUAGUGUCUGAACAUGUUCGUUAGAACUUAUGUGCUUUUUAUCGAUCCGUUGCAAAUUAAUUAAACGGAAAAGUCUACAAAUUUCUGCUGUUUUCCAACCCUUAACUUUGCACAUACAUUUAGUUGUGUUUUCAAAAUCUUGUGAAUCAAAGAGACCUGAAGAUACAUACACAGCCAUAAAUUCAUUAGAGAGAAGUCGUCAGAGACAAUAAAAACAGAUCAACCAAAAGCGAACCAAAGGGGGGGGGGGGGGAAAUGUAGCAAACAAAAUGUGCCCAUGCCUCUGGGCAGAAUAAUCCACCGCCAACGACUAAGUUAUCACUGACAAACGGCCAAGCACACAAAUAUCAAUUGCUUUUCUCCAUCCAUAGUCAAAUAUCACGAACAAAGUACCCCAGAUGAUAUAAUAUUACCCUAUCCAUAGUCAAAUUCUUACCCCGGGUUUUAACUGCGACAACCCGUCGAAGGCUUUGCCCAGACUGUAGCUAGAUGACAAUCGCAUACUACACAUUUGACAUUAACGACCAUCCGCGAUAAGCUUCUCGGAAGCUGCUGCAGAGCUUUGGAAUCUUGCCGUUCCCAUGGACGAACACCAGCCGCGCAACGCAAAGGCGGUUCGAUUGAUCGGUCACUGUCGUUAUCGACUGACCAACCAAUGAAACCAUGUGUACGCACACAGUGGAACUGCGCCAAGAUUAGCAAAGAUCUCACCUUCAGUCCUCCCCUUGGAUAUUCCACACUUUCUAUUUUCAGUAGCCUCCCGUCCCUUUUGAAUCCUCCGAGAAAAAACGGCUCCUGUAGUCCUCUUCUCUAGUCUUGACAAGAGAAAAAAAUUGCACAGGAGGAAAAGGCAGCACGUAAUUCUAUUUGGGUGCAGUACAUAAGCCACAUGAUUAUGUUUGCAUGUAUACACUGGAGUACCAUUUAUUUGUCUUAAAGAGGAGCGAUACCUGUGGUGUUUCUUAAUUAACCAUGGUUUACAUACAACUAAGACUGUAGGUCAGCAAAUACCUAUGGGACGUAUUAGAGUUCGAUUCCAUUGCGGAAGAGGGCCGGAGAAGCCAUGUGCUAAUUGCUGACUAGAAACAAGUGCCAGCUACUUGUAGAUCAUUGCGAUCCAACAAGGAGACAAGGAAAAACUGGAGCAUGUUGGUUAUUCCAUCAACAAGUGUUUGGUCUACUUUGAAAUUUAUAGAUCAGAGAUUUAGAUAGAAGAUCUGCCAGGGCAAAAUGACAAACUUAUAUAUAGAAGUUAAGCGUGCCUAUUACCAUUCAAACGACAGCUGAGUAGUGAAAUCACCAAUCAAAUUGGUCUGGUUAUUUUUCUUUCCUGGUAGGCUAAGAUAUGGUAAAUAUUCUGAUGCUUGUGGAAUUCUAUGGAAACAUAUCUUGUCAGAAAGCAUAUUAUAUGGACUUUGAACCAUACAGCACUAGAGUUGAAAAAUUGUUCACUUUUAUCAGUUCAGCAGUCUCCUGUAUUUUGGUCCUGAAGUGCUACAUCAUAUAAACCUUUCUGUCCAACCAACUUAUAAGAAAAAGGGAAGCUAAAAGCAAGGCCAAAAGAGAACUCAGUACCAACAGACAAAAACUACUUUUUGUGCCUAAUAAUUCAUACAAAGAUUGUAGUAUUAGCAACAUCAUUAUGGAUACUGGAAACACCUCCAUAUGCAGUCUAGAACACAGCUAUGUUGUCAAGGUGGCAACAGGACUACAUAUGAUGAACCCGGACUUACACAACUGAUAUGAGUUGGAAUGGUUCAUAACAUUUAAGAUCCCUAUUUGUUGCUGACAGCUAAAGUCCUACUGUUAGGUCAAAAGUAACAACUGCUGCAACAUAACAGUAGCAUACAGCAUAUGCAAUUAACAUUUGAACUUAGUCCUGGACAGAAAGGAAUAUCCAAGACACAUGCCCUAGAGCCCGGCUAAAAUGCGAUAGGAUCCAUGAGGUCAAGCAGCCACAAUCAACUCCAGCCAUCGCAUUCACGAUUCACGGACAGAAUUAUCCCUUUCAGGUUGGCCGGAUGUAACUUUCCGCGAGCAGUCCCUGCAACAGCAGAGCCAAGGGAAAUAUCAGAGAAGUCUAUGACUGUUUUCAGGUCUGCUCUAGCUAAAUCCUGAUCGUUGUCAAUCACAUUAUGGAUGCCUGUUCUGUCCUUAUUUCUAUUGAUGCUUCGCCGCCAUGGAUACAAGUACAGUGGCAAGAUGAAUCACUGUCCAAGAACAAAAAUGAAGGGCCCCAUCUUUUGGAAUUUAUUCAGCCGGUCCCAAAGUGAUGGCCAGUAUUCAGGAGCAGCAAAUACAGAUGACCUUCCAAUAGUUCUGCCUUUGACUGGAAAAAUGGCAAGGGUUGAAUGUUUUGUACUACUGUAAGACUUUGUGUUGUCAAAUUUGGUAUUUGAUAGUAUUUGAUAUGGCAGGCAGGUCAUCGUAUGCAUGGAUUGACAAUUUGACCUGAGACAUUACUGUGAAUUGGUCCUGCGAUGAAACCUGGUACUACCAUAAAAUGUCUUCAGGCAGAUCUAUGAUUUGGUCAAGAAAUUCAAUGGCAUUCAAGAGACCCAUGAUCUGGUUGAACAAAAGAUAGCUAAUUACUUAAGCCUCUUGCAUGUUCAUUACAUACUGAUUUACCCCAGAAGAAUGGCAUGGCUAUGAUUCAGAGUAUGUUACAGAACAUGACCCAAAGAUUGAAAAAUAAUUAAGGCAGAAUUAGCAUAGUGCUACCUUAAGAUUUAGGACUGCCUUAAUGCCUUCUUCAUCAAAUAUUAGUACUCCUUGCAGUCUAUCUACAGUCAGAAAGUCAAACGAACUUCAACAUUGGUAAGUAUAGUUUCAAACUUCAACAUUAUCAAUGACAGGUUGAAUGUAAGUAGUUUGCGGUCCUUGUCCUUCUAGGGCCUUUGAAGGCAAGCUCUUAAUGAAAAGAGUUAAUGCAAGCUUCGUUGUGUGAAGAAUGUCUGGUACUAUAUGGUGAUAACUGACAAGAGGUUUUGGCACUGCAACAAUGUCAAUAAUGAAUCAGUCUGGACCAUUUCUGUUGAUUUCGACCGCAAAUAAAGGAAAUGGUAAGGAAUGCAUGAUUUUUAUUUCUUGAUUCACGUGGAAAUUGAAUGUGACUUUUGCCAUGCUGAUGGCAGGAAUUGAAUUUUCGGUCAUAUAAACUUUGAGUUAUUAAUUUGGACUAACAAGAGGCUGAUAGAUUUUGUCCUAGUAGGUUAGUUUUCAUAUGGUGAAACAGUGCAGAAAUAAAUGUUCCGACAUGAUUAGUAUUUGACCCGAGACAAAUUAUAGUCAUUUGGUCAUCAUCUAGCCUGAACAAGAAAUAUGAAGUCAAUAGUUUAGAAGAGGUUUGCGAUAUCUCAAUGUUGGAUUUGGAUCACAGCAAAGAGACUUAGUCCAGACUUUCGACAAAGAAUCACACAUGCUAUGCAUUGAAAGGCCACUUUGACACUGGAACAAUAUGAAUCACUGUGUGUUGAAUUGGACGUUUUGCAGUAAUCUGGGAAACCUUUCUGGUUCUCCAUGGACCAACCUACAUGGCUUUUAAGCGUUCUAGAAGAACCAAGGUUGACAGAUUCUCAUUACAGAGUUAAGAUCAACUGGUAUUGUUGAAACAUUUUCUGAAGCUACAAUCGUUCCCUGUCAGUUGGCCACGACAGAAGGUAGGCGGGUUAAAAAACGGUUUGGCUUGAAACUGUACAAACCACUGGGUAUCCUAGCACAUCUCUUUUCUUUGGUUCCAAAUCACCCCACCGAGCUAGUACAAAAAUUUGUAUGGCUGGUUUUCACAGUUUGAAGUUAAACCAUUUUUUAACAACCUAACCAAAGGUUAGAAAAAUGCAGAAUGAGCAUAACAAUUAGAACCUCUCGGCAAUAUAUAUAGGUCACCAGAUAAUUUAUGAAGUUAUGUAACUUGUAUCUUUGUUCAUAUAUCUAUGGUACAAUCAGCACAACAAUGUUAAGUUCGAUGGAAAGCGAAUCGCUACCUCAUCGUGAUGAUUGCAAAAAUACUUCAACUUGUUUUGCAUAGGCUAAAAAACGGAACCAGAUUUCCCUUUUCCCAUGAGCAUGUCCUUGGCCUCGUUUAUCUUAGAAGCAACGUAAUGGCUCCCGCCGCCAUCAGGGUGGUUGGCCACCAUUACUCUCUUGUGGGCCUCCUUGAUCUUGUCCAGUGCAGCACGUUCUCUGCAACAACAGGGAGAAGAUCCCUAGUUAACAAUGGCGGUCGCAGAUUUGCAGUAUCUCCAAGGCAGGCAAAAACAACUGUGCAAGUGUGCAUCUUUUCAGCUGACAGGAUUUCAGUGACCUUAUUCAUGAUACAGUAAACAAUCAAAAAGGAAGAGAAGAAAAUUCACCUUACGCCAAGGAUCAAUGCCGCCUCUCUUCUGCUCAUCGCUGGCUCAAAUCCACCAGGAUAGAAUCGACGCACCCUCGGCAUUGCCGCGCGGAUCCGGAAGGCUUGCCAUGCCUGAAUCAUAUAUCUGCUUCCCAGUGCAGCAGCAGCCACCGAUAACCCAGCUACCAGUGGCGUAGCCUGUCGGUAUCAGAGUGUUUCACUUCAGGACACAGACUCGAUGACAUCAAUAAAUUCAGAAUCAAAUUAAAUCAUGUCAUGAGUAAGCUUGUCAAUUAUGUGCAGGUUCAAUUAGGCAUCCUAACAGACACAUAAAAACAGAAAUGUCAUCAUCGUUUUCUUUGCAUUUACACCGAACAAAUUUGAUUUGGUUCAGCACCACGAAGUUGGAAACCACAAUUAGACAGUUGCACAUGCCCGCGUGGGGUGAAAUUUCAAUCUUAGGUACAUGAACCUGGCCAGCCUGCUAUCUCUAUCUAUGAGUAGUGUUUCUGUAUUUGGACCAGCAAAGCGCAAGGCAAAACGGCUGCUGCUUCCCCGGACCACCGGACAGCACUCGCCGUCGGGGACUGAAAGCCCGACCCCCUCAUGACCCGAAUUCAACCAAACCACCAGCAAUAGCAGCCUACCCCGUCGCCAUCGUCAACAGCGAAACGGAAAGCCUCUUGAAUUAGACGGACCAGCAGGAAAGUUCGCAGGCAUUGUCGUUCCACUGUUCCCGUCCUACACACUACGCUGCUGGCUCGUCGGAACCUUGGAUUGUACCGGGGAGUCAGAAUCAUGCCAUGCGCGUGCGCCUCCAAAGACGACAGCGAGAUCGAAACUCUAUGGAAACACAUGAACAGGGGAGGGGACAAGGAGAAGGGCGUACCAUAGUGUACCGACGCUGUCGGAUGGAACCGCUGGGGCGAGACGGCCGGACCAAAUAAUCCGUCGACGAGCUAGCGGGGAUUCGAGCGGGGGCUGCGCGAUUGACUGCCGGUGGACGGGGGCGGUAGAUAAGGCGACCGCGUGUUCUUGUGCAGCAAGUAAGAGAUGAGGGAAGGAGGAGGUGGAGCGGUUGGUUUCGUGGUCUCCUUUUCUCUUUAAUUUUGUCGCGCUUCUUCUUGGGGAAGAAGAAGAUGCGACUCCUUUUUUUUUCCAAGAAGAAGAACACGGGACGCUUCUGGAGAAGGCUGGAACGCACGCAGCAAGCCGGUUGUGGGCUUGUGGUCUUGUGGGCUCAAGAGCCCACGCGGCCUGUAUAGGGGUCGUGGAUGGGCAGCCCAAAUGUACAAAGGCUGCGGGAUUAUGGAAGGCCCGAGGAAAAAGGAAAAAAGGAUGAAUUCCAUGGGAAAUGAAAGGAACUUUGUCCAAAGUACGGGGUUUUUCAAAAAAAAGGGGGAUGAAUUCCAUAGGAGGAGCGGGGAAAUGUGAAACGAGGGGAAAACCGUACAGUAGAUGUGAAAAUCCAUGGAGAAGAACUGAAGAAGAACAGCAACACCGUGAAACUUUGCGGUCUCUAUAAGCCAUGCCCACAUAGAUAAUCGCUACAUAGUUGCACGUGUAUUAUUUAGUACUUCCUCCGUUUCUAAAUAUUUGUCGAAUAGAGGGAGUAGAUAUUAAUAAUUUCAACUUCGCCACCAAAUUUGACGAUUCGAGGAAAUCUGACAUUGAUUAUCCAUUUAUCCGAUUGGCUCUAAGCUGACUGCGAGAAGUAUGGCCCUUGGCAAUUUGGCAUGUGGCAAGCUCUGUGCUUUCCAAAUUCGCCAAACGUAACCCAAUCACUAAGAACAUGCACAAACACGAAGUAAAGUUCAAACUAAUAAUGUACUCCAAACACAGCGUUCAGAGAUUCUCACCCGAAAAAUUAAUUUCGUAGUUCUACGCGCUUGAUUAUUUCAGUGUCAGCCAUAUUCUUUUGCACGACUGCAGCCCAAAGUCCCAAACACAGUUCAGUCAAGAAAACGCGACGAACUCUGCCUCGUCCGGCGGUGCCGACAACGACUCAUCCACGAGCAUCGGUUCGCCGGCAAGCACGGCGGGCGCCACCAGCGCGAGCGUGUUGGUGUGCACGGCGUACUCCGCGCCAUCCCAUCGUUGCUGUUCCUCAUCCUGCUCCUCCUCCUCCUCUGGAUCCGGCACGGUGACCUCGCGCCUUCGCCGCGUCCGGGUGUCGAACGCCACCAGCCGCCUGCCGGCCAGCACCACCACCUCCGGCCACGCCGCGCCGCCCUGGAACCCCAGGAGCCGCACGCCGUCGUCGUCCAGCCUCCGCACUUCCUUCUCCUCCACGACGGCAACAGAAGCACUCUCCAGCUCACAAUCAUCCCCGCUCCCCUCAGACUCAGAAAGCUUGACCUGACGAGACGGCAGCAGCUCUGUCACGGACACCCGCGUGACCUCCUCCCAGCUGCAGCUCCCGUGCUCACCAAUCAGCCGGAACACGGCGACGUCGCUGCCAUCUCGCACGGCGCAAUGGAGCUUUCCCCCCGCCGACCCGAUCUCCCACAUGCCGCUGUCGCCGGGGCACAGCACGAUCUCGACGCGCCCCGUCGCGGGGGAGUACCCGACCGCGGUGCCGACGCUCGUCCGCCACCACGCGGUCUUCAUCCCGCCGGCGCCGGUUGCCACGCCCGACGCGGCCACGAGCCCCUCGGCAGGGACGAUCGCGUCGUCCCCGGCAGCGACACGCCACGCGCCGGUGCCCGACGUGAACACCUUGAAGCAGUAGGCGCCGGAGCCCGGCGCGACCUCCGCGGCGCAGACGAGCGCGUAGUCGCCGCGGAAGUUGUAGGGGCUCGCAUCGAAGAGGACGACCAUGGCCGGGCGCGGCCAGGUAGGUCGGCAUGGAGGGCACGGGACGGGCGCCCAGGACGCCGUGGCAGGGUUGCAGAGGAAGUAGGCGUCGUCGGCGGGGGAGAAGCAGCAGGCCAGCCCGUGCGAGGAGGAGAGCACGGUGAUGCUGCCCGGCGAGGCCGGCGCGAAGGCGAGCGUCCGAGACGGCACGGCGUCGGAGGAGUCGAAGGGGAGGAAGCCGGAGGUGGGGACGAAGAGCCCCGACAUGCGGCGGGGCGUGGCCGCGUGCGCCACGGCGAAGAGCGGGGAGGCCAGGCGGCGCGCCCAGGCCGGGUGCACGAGGCGGAGGCGCGCGGCCGCGGCGGGCGUCAGGUGCAGCAGCGCGUGCUCCCGGACCACGUCGGCCAGCGGCGCCGGCGCCGGCGCGCACCGGACGCGUUCACGCGGACGCCGCCUCGAAGCUUGACGGCACGCCAGCUGCUGAUCUUCGCUGGUCGACGCGUCGUCGCAACAGGACAUGGCCGCCGACGCCGUCUGAUCCAUGUCUCUGCUCCGCCGCGGGUGCUACGCCCAGAUCGGAACUGACCCGCGGGACCGGAGGAAACUGCUAUGCAGUUUAGUUUCCUUUGCGGAGAAGGCAUCGGCUAUGCUAGGUGAUCGAUCGGGGUCCUCGGUGCGCGACUUGACCGAGGACCAGGAGUCAAGUCAAUGCGUACCUAGUACAUCCUGAACCUUUGACAUGAGAUAUACUGCUUACCUCCAAAUUAUUUCCUUUUCCUCAUUGUGCUUUUUUAUCCUCAACUCCUCGGGCCUCUUUUAACACUAAGAAGUGUUAAAGGAAAGUUCUCAUUUAAAGAGUCCAAGCUGAUUAUCAACUGUCACGCAUCUGGAAACCAUAAAAGCGUAUGCAGCAUGAAACUAUUACUAAAUCAUAUUAUCUAGAGAAAUCAGCAAAGGGGGGAAACAGAAUUACCACUAUAAUUUUCUCAAAGGUCAGAGUAGCCAACUCACCAUUAAUUUCUGGUAUGAAAGAGGCUUUCAUUGUGUUUAAUAUUGGGCAACUCUAAACUAUGGAUGUGCAUAAAGUGGAUGAUAUGACGACAUCAAUUAAGCAAGUAACUGAUAGAACCAAGGGUGCACUUUGCAUAAAACAAAAGGAAGAUAACACACUUCUAUUUCUGUGAGAUCGAGAUAGGCAAUCAGAGGGGGUGAAUGAUUGCGCGGAAGCAAAUUAAAACUUUUCCUGAAAGUUCAAACCCUAAAUCACCUUUCUGUCCGUGAUAGUAAAACAGCCGUAACUUUUGAUUGGAUGAACCAAAAAAUACGUAUGAGUAUGGAAAAGAAAAAUAUUAAAAUUAUCUAACCAACGCAACAAGAAUCAGCUCAAUCGGACUUACCAAUCAAAAGAUAUGAUCAAAAUAGUAACAGCUGACAGAAAGUUACGAGGAUUAAUCUAAAACCAAUUUCGAGGAAUAACAAGAAAGAUGAAUUAAUUGCAAUCUUCUCUUGAUCUCGUGAUAAACCUGCAGCAAAGUAUUAUGAACUUGUGAUGAACCUGCACCAAAAUAUUAGAAAGAUCUAGCACGAAGAUUUCACGAAAAUCCGAAAAGAACAGAGAUGACACCGCCAACGAAUCUCUUUAUUGCAACGAUGUCGAUCGAUUACAAAAGAUGCAACCAUGCAUCCAAGAACUCUACAAGAAUUGAUCUAGAUCCAAAGCUUUGAGUUCCCUCACGUCCUUGCUAAAACCCUAGCUAGGAUGCCCUCUAUUUACAAGGGAAAAUUCGCAACCCUAAACCGAAUCCGAAUCCAACACGGACUCCUCUGUCCCGGUCAGUAUUUUGCCCGUGGGGCCCGCAUACGACCUCGGAUUGAGAUGACUCCAAAAGCAAAGUUGUUCGUCUCGACGACGCUCACAACUUUCAUGUGGAUCACUUUUCCAUCCGACGCCAUCUUGAUGAUGCUACUGUUUAAUCUUUAAACAGCUCUCGUCCAGCCACGGCUGGACCUACAUAUCUUCACCUUGAUGUCACUUCAUGCCAUCAACUCUUCUUGUGAUGUCUUCAAAACUCGACCAUCACGUAUCGAAUAUCUCCAAUACCGUACAUCUCCAGUAUAAACAACAUACGACAAACCAGUGCCCUCCCGGAUCAUCGUAGCCUUCACUUUCAUUGUUCCUUCGCACGAACGUCCCGCAUGACCUUGAUCCUCGACCUCAGCUUCCCAAGCUUCGUCUCUCGAUCCCGUCAUCGACCACGUUCUUCUAGCUCCAGCAACACCUGAAAGUGAACACACAAAUAACCAGUACGAGCACAAGUCCACGACUUGACUCAGGGUAAGUUUCACACAACUCACGCCAUGUUUUCACAUAAGAAACUAAUGGAUCAGCACACCACUAGCAAAGCACUAAGUCCAAACAAGAUACAUGUCAUCACUUAAAUAUCCAUAUUAUCCAAAGUAUCCACAUCAAUGUUUCAUCUAAAACACUUGCCAAUGUUACACAUCACAUACGAUUUCACAAUUUCAUGGGCUCCUUUUGGUCCAAGUAUCUGCCCAACAUUACAGAAAAGAUUACUGAGAUAUCCCUGGUUUUAGGAGAAAGCUAUAUACCUCUUUGGGAAAUUUCAGGUGACUUGGCCUGUUCACAAUCUGCAUGAACAAACAGAUGUAUAAAAUGGAUUAGAUGGCUUGAGAGGAUAAUCUUGCAGGACAGCCACAGCGACCUGCGGCAGGAAAUGAACUAUUCAACCACGCAUACAACGAAUAUUUUGAAGUAGGACGCCUAAAUGAAACAAAUAGGUCAACAACUUGAUUACCUGUUGAACGAAACAACCACUUCUGAAGCUCUCAAACAGUACAAUAGACCAAUCGAUUAUCAUAUGUGAAAUCACUGGAUUUUGCAUAACACAAUUAAUAUUAGAUAUAGAUUUCUUUUCAUAUGUAAGCCACAAAAUUAUCAUAAGAAAGCUCUGAGUUGUGAAGCACUGAAGCUCAUCCACGCCUAGAUGAAAAAAAGGAGCUAGAUCACUGAAAUCAGAAAAAGCUAUGGGUUGCUUCAGACUUUCAGGGAAUGCUGCUUGGAUAUCUCAUACAUCAGUACAUGAUGUAUUGAUGCACCACAUUAAUCUUUUACGAAGAAAAAGCAGAACCAGUUGAUCUGCAUAAGAAAUAAGCAACCCAAGCCUGACAUUUCCAGUCUGAUUAAUUGUGAUUAAGCUUGAGACAGCAAAUACCAAACACCAAGCCUCCAAGCAAGUCUUGAGCGGGAACAAAUAUGCAUUUACGCAUCAAGGCAGAAACCAAGCAUAGCUCUGACUUGGAAGUAAUGAUCACAAUCAAUUCUGCGCUUAAUGCUCAGGAACCAAAAACAGGAAAAUGUUCUUUCUAUUAGUUUACUAACUGGAUGUUACUGACCCACCCUCUGUAUAAUCACUUAGAUCCCCUAAAUCCAUCUCAGAACCAUCUGUAAGAGUGCCAUCAUCCAAGACACCAUCUGAAUCUUCACUUUCGACAUCUAAUACAGCAUCGUUAUCAUCAUCAGCAGCACCACCACCACCACCGAACAAAUAGUCCUCUGAAUCAGACGACUCAUGAUGUUUUCCAAUAUUCUUGUUCUUUCCUCUAUAACCGGUAAGUUGAAGGACUUUCUCUUUCCACCGCACCAAUGGGGCCUUUUUUAUCAACUCCGUCCCAUCAUAUGCCUCCAUCAAGAACACGCUCAGCCGCUUCCCCCUCUCAGACACAUAAAAUACACCGUAAUGCUUCAGUAGCAACCUCAUCAGCUUCUGUGGCAUAACAAACUCACGACGGAAAUGCGUGAGGUGGUCGGUUACCAGCCUCUUCUCCAAUGUGAAGCUCAGUAUCUCGUGCAUCACUGCGACUGCCCUCUUGUCAAACUCCUGUGAACCAGGGGUCAAUUCUCUUGCCUCUGCAUAAGGGGAUAGGUAGGUUGUCUUCUGAAACUGCUCUGUGUUGCCAGUUUUCACAUAAUGGUGAGCUUUUCCUCUAAAUCUGUAGUAACUUUUAAAAUUCGGUGGGAACUUCAUUUGGAAUGGAAGCGAGAGCUCUCCAGGUGUAUGGACAAUGGAGCUGGCAUUGGCAUCACUGGUCAUUGCUGCCACAUUCUUCUGAUGCUCAGUGACUGUCCAGUUUGGGUUCCAAGAUACAAGCUCCAAGUAGUCGACAUCCUCCAAUCUGACCAACCUGAACAGCUCGGGGAACAUGUGCACCCAUCGUGCCCGGAAAUCAUGAGGAAGCCCCAUGUCACGCCGGAAAUGUGCGAUCUUGUCGACGGCCAGGCGCCGUUCCACCGACAUCAUGAGCAGCCUCGUCACAUACUCGGCGGCCGUGCGCGAGUGAUCCUCCAGCAGGCGCGCCUCCUCAUCGACGAGCGCCUCGGCCUGGGGCGUGAGCCCGGCCCACGUGACGCCGCGGCUGUCACGGCAGACCUCGAAGAGCUGCGGCGAGCGGUACACGAAGUGGGCCACCUUGUGCGGCUUGGUGAGGCCGAGCUGCGGGCGCAGGAUCUCGAGGCGCUUGAGAGGUAUGACGUGCUCCUCCUCCCUCUUGAGCGCGUCCACGACGGUGAGCACCUUGGAGAUCACCUUGCACCGCUCGAUGACCACCUCGAGGUCGUUCACGCGCUUCUUCUUGCUCCGCUCCUUCACGCUCCGGCCUCGCGUCAUGAACCGCGCGGGAGAUAGCUGCGACGGGCAGCGUAUUUUGCCUUGCGCCUGAACCUGGCCAAGGCGGCGGAGCAGCUCGGCCAGGCAAUGGCGCGAACAGGUGGUGUGCAUGGCGUCACGGGCGGAGCCUUGAUUUUUGCCUCCUUUACGAAUUGGGGAAGAUUAAGGAGAUGACGCGGAGAGCUAAAGGGCGGAAUCCGUUCGUGGGGUGAUGAGAGGAGAAACGGUGUGGAGCGAGAGAAUCUAAGGGGACAGUAACCGGCGUUGGCGGCGCUCGCGCGAGGAGGAAGACGAGCGACGGAGAGUGGCGCUCGGCAGCGAGUGGGCCAGAAGUUAACAGCGCAUACGAAUUCCUAAACAGGCCGGCCCAUGAAGAAAACUGCUGCAGAUUUUCACUUCGGUAGGGAGGGAGCCGCCGGAGCCACUGCCGGUGGACCUACUGCUCAGAUAGUGGCGCGUUGUGGCUUGGCAACCGUGCUCCGCUGCGCCGCGGCCUGCAAGGCCCUCCGCGGCGCCAUCCUCGACCCGGCCUUCGCCCGCCGCCGCUUCGCGCUCCUGGAAGCAGAGUCCUGCACGGGCGCCGUCUUCGACGACUUCGACCCAUCCCUCCUCCUCGGCGUCUCCUACCCCGGAACCCAGCUACUUGCACAACGGCAAGUCCACCCUCAACACGAUCCAGCUCCAGCUCGGCGCUCGCCGCCUCCUACUGGACGAUGACUCCUCCUUCACGCCGGUGGCCGCCCGCGACGGCCUGCUCGUGCUCCGCCACUACCGGCGCCUCGACGUCCUGCGCGUCCGCGACGUCUUCACCGGCCGGGACACCCUCCUCCCACCACCCGCCAUCCGCGGAGCGUACGCGCCACACGUCUUGCUCAGCUCCGGCAGCUCCAGCUGCUUCGAGCUUCUAAUCGCGGACGCACGCAUGAGCGAAUUCCAGACCUUCUCGUCCGCGGCCGGCCAAUGGAGCGCCGUCCGCCAGGCAACCAAGGCCCAGCAGCACCCGGACCAUCUCUGGCUCGACUCCUCCCGCAACCCCGCCGUCAUCGGCCGCACCGUAUACUGGCUCUUCAGCACGUACGCGGUCCUCCCGGACCGGAUCCUGGCUCUGGACGUGGACUCCGCGGAGGCCACGAUGAUCGAGCUCCCGCCGAGGUGCUUGUCCAGGAUGAUGGCCAUCAAGAAAGGCGACCACCUCCUCCUGGCGUCCGUGCACGGCCGGCUGAGCUUGCUCGUGAGCGAGAUCCACGGGAUAUCGAUGCGGACGCCGCAGCCGGCGUGGAGCCGGCAGGACGUGAUUUGCAGGGCGGAGGUGGAGACGCAGGCGCGCCAGCUGGGGCUGGGGCUGGGAACCUGCCGCUACGUCGCGUACAACUUUCUGCUCGAGGGGUUCGGGGAGGAGCGGUGCCGUCAUCCUGAAGCUGAUCCAGGGCGAACUCCUCCGGCUCGACCUGGGAACCAAGGCCGUCAGCAGUCCAUGAAACGUUGAAUGUCGACCGAGUAUUCUUGCACGAGAUGGAUCUGGUCUCCUUGUUGCAGUCCAUGAAACCCUUCUGCUCUCUCCAUUCUUAUGUACUUACUGCUACAUCAUGAUAGCGCGUGUUGCCGCACCCGUCCCUAUAGUUUGGGCGUAAAUUGUCAGGAUAUAUAGAAACCGGCCGGAUGUUGAUUCAUAUAAUUAUUGAAACGAACACCCCAUAAUACGUACCCAAAAAGAAUAAAAUAAGGUAUAUAAUGAUCAUGAUUCGGCAAGUGAAAAUAAAAUAAUCAUUAUCAGCUCAAAUUCCCCUGGCCGCAAGGUUAAUUAAUAUGCGACGGAGGGUACUGCCCCACAGUAUAGGGGCUGGAUAGGGAGUGCGCGCACUACGUGGCUUACCCCGUGCUCACUUUCCGACAGCCUAGUUACUACCGAAUGAGAAGGCCUCGCGUUUGACUCAGUCAACGUCUGAUGCAUACUCCUUUUCCUUUUUUCUACUGGAUCACCUUUUCCUUUCUCCCUCCGGUGAUUAUAUUGCUGUAUGUGAGAUCUGCUGCUCUGCUCAGAAUUACAUCCAACCAAAAAAAAACUCGACGAGGUUAAAGCCAGAAAAAAAAAUCCGGCACCUCAAAUAUACAUCUCGAUGGAAGAAAAUACUUCUAGAAAUUGAAAAGCGUGUAAAAAACGAGAAUCAACGUCAAAUUACUCUGUUCAUUCCGUGUCAAAACACAAAUUUACAACUAGUGUAUAAAAGUUACCUGUAAUAAAGAGCCAAAAGUAACUUUAACAUUCACAAUUACAUCUAAAGUAAUAUGAAAGUAAUUUUUGACAUUAAAACUACAUCUCUUUAACUCAUAAAAGUAAUUCUUAUACCGUGGAACUACAUCCGGCAAAAUCAGAGAUGGACUCUUAAUCCAGAAUUUACAUCAAUCACCAGUAGACAAAGUUCAGAUCCAACAAAGAAUGGAAAAUAUUAUGAGAAGUAUAAACACACAUGAGGGCGUCUCCCAGAUUACUGCCCCCGAUUGAUCCGGCAGAAAACGAACAGGACGAACAAAUCCUUUCCCAGAUCGGGCGUGGCACCACAAGACAACGCAAAAUCGGUGGGAGUCAACAUUUGGCCUCGAUUUCAAAAAGAAAAAAAAGAGAGGAAGAGAAUCGAGAGAAAAGGACCCUCCCAGCCACGGAAGAGAGACGCCUCUUUCCAUCUCAAUCUCCGAUGCCGGCUGCUCGCCGUCGAGUCGCUCUGCCGCGGCCGCCUCCGAGCACAAAGCCGACGAGGAUGCCCCCGCCUCGAAGAACACGCCGCAGGAGGAGGAAGGACCCGGCGCUCGCCUCCACGCCGGGCCGACGAGCGGACCAGCCACGCGCUGCGGGAGCUCGAGAUCGCAGUGUGGGGUGGGUGGGAUGAGGACAGAGGAGGAAGGAAGGGGCUGCGUGCGUGGGGAAGAAAGAGAAAGGGAUGGAGGGUGGGGCCUACGGUCAUGGAUAAGGUGAGCAAACCAGCCAAGCGAGCACCGCACGUGACCGAAAAGUGCGCAGGCGCAAAUUAGAUUAG